rnacentral:lncRNA from 1 species
UGAAGGUGACUCUCUCUCUCCUCCUCAGCCCCUCUCGUGAAAUCUCUUCCUCUGCAAUUUCGUCGUCGCCGGCGUCUCUCCGUCGCCACCUCGCCGGACGCGCGAAUCCCUAAUUCGCGGCGGGCGGCUGUCUCCGGCGCUUCUCUGUGGCGGAACCUCGCCGACUGCUCAUGCGCUAGGAACCUCUGCGGCAGGAAAUUCGAGAGAUGGACGUGAUAUCCCAGCUGCAGGAGCAAGUCAACACGGUCGCGUCGGUCGCCUUCAACACCUUCGGCUCGCUGCAGAGGGACGCGCCCUCCGUGCGGCUCUCCGCGAGUUACCCCGAACCGCCCCCGACCGCCGCGGAGGACGCGUCCAGCUUCGCCGAGCAGCCCAAGCUGAUGAGUGCUGCUCUUGUCAAAGCCGCCAAGCAGGUUCGUGCCUCUCUUGCUUUUGCAAGUUAUUAGCGAGCUUGCUUACGCCUGCUUGAUGCAAUUGGAAGAAUUUAUUUGGCUAGGGCUUUAUGAAGAUUGAUUACUUGAUUUGUUGUGGCAAGAAAAGAAAUUUACUUGUGUAUGAGAAUUGUAUGUAUGGCUAGAAGUCUAGGUUAUGUCCAAAGUUUUGGCGGAAAGGUCUUCUUACUUCGAUUGGCUUUUGUGCGCAUUUAGUCUCGGUUUGGGGACUCUGUGCUCGUUCUUGCAGAGGACGUGACCAGAUUUCAUUCAUAAAUGUAUACUAUGGAAGUUCUCAUCGGUACAUCACGGAUGUGACGGGUGGUUUUGGAGAUGCAAUGCGAGUUGGGUAUUUGGUUCAAUUUUGUGUAUGCCUCCAUGUGUGUUAGUUAUUCCUACGGAAGAAAACAGGAUCUUCUCCAUUUUUUUCUUGUGGAUUCUGUUGGUGGAUAUAUCUGCCACGAGUAUCUCAGUGUGCAUAUGUACAUAGAAUGUGCUGUGAUUUGGUUUACACGAGUUGAAUAAUCUUUUGACUCAUGUGUGAAAUUGUUAUGCACAUUUGAAAGGGCCACCACUCUUGUGUAAUCAUGACUAUUGUUUCUUUCAAAUGUGUUUCUGCAUCUUAGAGUCCGUAGAAUGGUUUGAGAUUGUAACUCCAUCAGCAUUCUUGAUCUUGAGUAAGGUGGAUUGUUGGUUUCUGAUUUCUAUCUCAUUGGUUUCUGAUUUCUAUCUCAUUCACUUUUGUUUUACUUCAUGCUUGAAGUAAAAUGAUGGUCAGUGUGACAUCCUAAAGACUCUGCGACUCUGCGGCAUCAGUAUAUUCUCGCGGGUGAAAGCAAUUAGCCUCCAUUUUAGAGAUGAAGCAUUAUGCUUCAAGUUAUAAAAUUCGGUCUCUUUUCCACCGUUUGCUUUGGCAAUCUGGAUAAAGUUCUAUCGGAACUUUUUUUCUUCUUUGAUGCCUUAGUAGCGGGACUUCCACUGCCAGAGGGAGGUGAAGGAGCUCAACUCAAAAGGAUUGCAGACCUCCAGGUUAAGAGGAUCCAUGGUUUUUGGCGUCUUUAGUUCAUUAUUUCUGUUGUUUAAGGCUGUUUCUUAUUCAUCCCAAAUUACCUUUGCACAGGCUGAGAAUGAUGCUGUAGGACAAGAGCUUCAGAAGCAACUUGAAGCUGUCGGUAAUUGCCCUAUCGAUGAGGGUGUGAGGGCAUUUGUCUUGUUCACUUAUGUAUGUCAAUUUUUGGUCGAAAGUGAUAUCUUCUAUGAUUUUUGGCAUUGGCAGAGAAGGAAUUGAAGCUGGUCCAGGAGCUAUUCAGCCAGGCAACAGAUAACUGCUUCAAUUUGAAGAAACCAGAAUAAAAAUUGAAGACGCUUCUCUUCUUUACCUUUUUCAUAAAAUUUAUGCAGUAGAGAUGAUGACUGAGAGAAAUAGGCAUUCUACCGUUCGAAUAGUGCAAAGAGACCUGAGAUGUCGCAGCUCUGUGUGGGUGAGUUUUGAAGUCCUUGCCGAGUAAAAGUUUCUCAGUGCACAAAAAGCAUCAAUAUGGGCAUCAAGUCAACCAAACAAUCACUCAAAUGAAGUAGUUCUGGUGAAGUAAGAAGUCUAGUCUUGAAUCUUUAAUUGCAAAAACAAACUGUAAUGUUACAUUAGCGAUGGAAAGUUCUCUGUUUUGUUGUUCACCUUCCUUCCCUCUGAAGUUUUCAAAGAUUGCUUUCUUACUUUUUGGUCCUUCUGAGGAAGGUCUUGGUAUCGGAUGGAGCAUGGGCUUGUUUGCCCUUGCAGUGUAGAUCAAGAAUCAAGAAGGCAACUUUUAUAGUUGUGAAGUUCGAGAAAUCAGAGUUUCCCAUGUUUGAACGAGAGAGGAGAACAGGGCGGGCUUCGGCUUUGAACACUAGACCCCUAGUGGGCGUGCGUCGGGUUAUGGCUAGCUUACCCUCUUUAGGGUGCUCUUCUUGCAGGCUUCGUGGACCCAAAUAAAAGGCCCAACCAUUAGUUUAGAACUCUCCAGAGUGGACGUAGGGUGCGUUUGGGAAGCAUUUUGGGGAAAGUCUUUGGGAAAAUGCAAACUGUAUUUAGUAAAUUGUAGUUUGAAAGUUCUUUGUGAAGUAUUUUGAGCAAAAUGGUAUUUGGGGAAUUAUAUUUACAAAGGACUUUUGUGAUAAAAAAAAUUAUCAAAAGAAAAAUAAAAAAAAAUUAACCGGCAAGGGCAAGGGUCGGGAGACCCUCGAUGAGGGCUACCAGAUGUCGGGUGACCCUCAGCGAGGGCUGCCGAACGUCGGGCGAUCCCGCCGCGACCCAAAUCUGGGGCGGUGAGGGCUGCUAGACGUCGAGCGACCCUCGGCAAGGGCUGCUGGACGUUGGGCAACCCCGUCGCGACCCAGAUCCGGGGCAGAGAGGGUUGCCAGACGUCGGGUGACCCCGCCGCGACCUAGAUUCGGGGCGGAGAGGGCUGUCGGACGUCGGGCAACCCCGCUGCGACCCAGAUCCGGGGGUGGUGAGGUCGUGGGAGGACCUCGCCGCCUCCGGCUCUGGGUCGUAGUGGGGUCAUGCGACCUCGCCGCCCCCGGAUCUGGGUCGGCGAGGUUGUGGGAGGUCGCGCGACCCAAACCUUGCCGCGACCCAGAUAGGGUGGUGAUUGCACCACUCCCCGGCGACGGUCACUUGGGCCACCACGACCAUACUGAGUCAUCAGCGGCCGCUCACAGCUUCGAGCAAGCUGUCAGCAAACCUCAACCGAGAAGAAGAUGACCAUUACAAUGACGAGGGCAAAAUCGGAAAAUCAAGAAUAAGUGAGGAUGGUUUUGGAAGAAAAUUAAAAAAAAAAUGAAUAGUGCAACUUGUAUGCCGAAAAAGCUGAAAGCCCAAGGCACCCUCACACCUACUUUGGGCUUUCAACCUUGAGAAGCCAACUUUGGGCUAAUGGGAAUUUGAAAGUUGUUCCCAAAUACCCCAACUUUGGUCUAAGUAUCUUUGGAAGCCCAAAGCCCUUUGCAAAGCUAAUUCCAAACGCACCGUAAACAACCAAGAGAAUAGUAUAUCCUCUUCUCCAAAAGGGACCAUGAGAAUGCUCGGCUUUUUGGUUGAACUGCCCACAUUGUUGGUGUUGUUAGGGUCCCAGAUGACGGACAUACAUUGCUGGCCUCUCUGGGUCACGUGAGCAAAGGGUCAGAAACUGAGGUUGCCAGUGUCUUUGGUGGGUACUUGGCAUCGAUGGCUUGUUAUGGCCUAAUUUGUUGCCUUCUGCUACCGACUAAACUCUCCACUACAUUUUGGGGGAUGGUGCUAAAUUGGAUGUACUUUUGGGCUAGUGAGAGGAAAUCUUCCUCAGAAAGUUUAGUCUUACACCUAACAUUGGAUUUUUCAAUCUCAUUAAAUAUUUAUGGACAGUCCAGGUUGUUGCCUUUAUCUCUUGGUCAAAUCAGCCACUGAUACUCCAGGAUCAGUUUAGGAGAAGUAUGUCUGGAACUGGACUUGCAUGUCCCACCAAUCUCAAACGGAACUCGUGGGCAAACUGAGGUACCACUUUGAGGGAAACCGCAUCAACAUAUAGGACCCCUUAUCAAUUGAUGUUGGACAAUAUUUGAGUGGCAUGUGGAAAUAUGCAAUUAGGGAGGCAUGUAGGGGCCCAUAAAAAUUUGAACUUGGAACUUCCUAUUCGGAUAGUCAAAUCCAAAACUUAAGCUAUUUGGUGGAGAAAACCACAAGAAUAUAUAUAGCACAUGAGACCAAUUAUCAAGUAAUGUGUGACAAUAUUUCAACAACUAUGAUUUCACAUUCACGAGUGAACAUAGUGAAUUAAGGCACUUUAUACUUUCUAGGGACAGGUCGAUGUGAUCAGGGAAUGAUUUCCUAGACAAAAGCCUUUAGUAUAGGUCCAUGCAAAUAUUUCUAUUGUCCUAGUAAGAUAUUCUUUGUCCAGAGGAUUGGGUACUCUCGGUUCAUUUUCAUCGAGUUAUUCUUCAUGGUCUUGUCAAUUUCUAGUCUCCUUGGAGGCUAGGUGUAGUUCCCCACUUUUUUUGCCAUCAUUCACAUUGACCUCUCUAGGAACCACUUUUGAUUGUUUCCUUCUCCUAACAUUAGCAUCAAAGGCCUCAGAUUAUUCAUCCAAUUCUUUAUAAGACUUUAUCCUGAAUUUCCAAAAGGUCCGAGUGAAUCGAUCGAAAGGAUAUUCCUGCACACUUUCAUUAGGAGACUAAGACGGUGGGCUUUCGUCGCUUGGACCAUCCCUAGCUGGGGAGGCUUUUGCUGGGUUAGAACCCAACUUGUGAUUACUGGAGUAGCUGGCUUCACAAUGGUGAAGCCCAAACAUGCUUCCAGUACUUCGGCAAGACAUUCUAUUCUCCAACUGUGAUCGCCAUAAAAAAUGUAAGGUGGACUUUCGCAAGAUUGUGAUCACCAGAAACUCAAUGAUUUCAAUUAGUAAUAAAAGUCCAAGCGAGGGUGAUCGAUGACCAAUUAAAAUGUUAAAAUUGAGGUUGAAUCCAAAGUAAAUGAAUUCUAACGUGCCAUGAAGUCUCGAGAACUCUGAAAAAAUGUGAAUUACUAAUGAAGUACAAACUGUAGAUUGGAAACAAGGAAAUUGUAUUGUAAUUUUGUUGAACCAGAAUGGAUGGCUUACAUUCCUUGAGGCCAUACUUACUCGAUCACUAAAACUAAACAUAUACCAUUAAUGGCAUUCGCUAGGAUGCGUGGAGAAAGUAAAAAAAACUAACAAAACACAACAGGAAUGCUUCUAUAAACAACGACAAAUAUCGAAACUAGGAAGCCUAAUAUAAAUGAAAUUCAAAUCCCAAUUCAGGUUAAUCUGAUCUACUCUAAAUAACCUCCUCAUCUUCAUAUCUUCACAAUUAAUCAAAUGUGCUAUUGGGAUUUUGUGGUGCCUCCCGUUGAUUCUUCUUUUGUCUUUUAAAUGGACAAUUGCGUUAUACAUUCUAAUCUUCCUCCACAAGAAUCAUUAAACAUCUUCACUUGCACGCUGCUCUAGGUGAUUUGCAACUGCUCUUGAUUUCUUAGCUAUGGUUACUCACCAGUAGAUAAAUCCUCCUUAGGUCAGUCUUUAACUUCUAUGCAUGUUUCCAAUCAAUUGAUAGUCACCUAGUAUCAUGCAAUUGGCUCAAAUACUAUCAAUUAGAAACUCGUGAUCGAAGAAUUCAUUAGAAGUUUCAUCAAUAGGCUUUGUGGGUUAAAUGUAUUAUCAUGGCCUGAUUUGAACUUAAUUUGGACUGUUAACUUCUUCACGUUUGGGCCUAAAGUUUAGCUCCGAUUUCAACAUGGGGUCAACGGAAUAAAAAAGGAAAAGAAAAUUAAAUGCAACGUCUUUCCAUGCCAUCGAGAAUGAAGAAAGAAAGAUUGACCUCUAGGCUGUAGCAAUCGACAAGUGGGAAAUGACCAUUCCAGGGUGGAGGUGGCGGUUGGGUUGGGGGGAUUGAGAUACUUGAUGAAAUAUGUCCACGUCUAAUGCUGCACACUGUUCCUCAAGUAAAUCAACUUUUCCAUCGCAAAUUUCAUGCUAUUAAAGCCGUGAUUUUGGAAAAACCUCAAAUAGCGAUAUAAAGUGCCUUCUUUUUACUCAAAAGAGAAUUUGAAAUAUAACCCGUCUCAAAUAAACAUCCAAAAUAAUCAUUUGGUCUCAAAAAAGGAUCUAGCUCGUCGACCAGUUAACAAAUGCAUCUCCCAAAUGUUUGGUUAGGGAUAUUUUCAUCCAAAAAUAUUCUUUUUCAUUUUCCUUUACCCUGUUCAUCUUCUUCUUGAUCCCACCUAUGUUGUCCCUGCUCAUCAUCAUCUUCGUCAAUGUUGAAGACAGGCAUUGCCCGGAUCAAGAACAGCGGAACUCGUUGGCCACGGGCAAGGGCCGGCGAGGCCCCCCUUGCUAGAUCGGCAGCGAGCGAGGGCUUGCAGGCCGACCCUCUGGCAAGGGUGGCCUUGCCUGUGGCUAGCGAGGACCAUCACGGCCGGCGGGGUUUCUAGAGGUUUGAUGCUCGUGACUCCACGUCGCGAACGGAGAAUUCCCUCUGAAAGUUCGUUCCUUUUUCCUUGAAUGUAUCUGUACGUAUCUGUAGUGCGUCCUUUGUUGACGACUUGUCACUUACAUGUCUCUGUUGGGUCCUUACUGAAUGAGAUGGUUAGCUCGAUUUCUUAUGCCGCGGAGCUUUCUGCUCGUGACGUUGAUUGUUCGGUGGGAUCGGGGGUGGUGGGGGGUGGGCGUAUAGCAAUUCAGAGAAAUCAGAAUUUCCUGUAGUUCGAGGCAUGAUUUGUGAUCAAGGCGGGAGGUGCUCUGUUUGGUGAAAGAUGAGUUAAGCUGAAGCUGCUACUUUCGUCAAGCCGUAUGGCUAUCUCGUCUGUCUGCCGCGAUAGGAUGUCCCCCUCUCGCAGCUUUCAUUCCACUCAUUGCUUUCUGAGGGCCAGCGAGGGCCUGCAAGCCCUCGCCUGCUGUCGAUCUGAUAGGGGUGGCCUCGCUGGCCGCUGGUACCCAAAUUCAGUGUUCUUGAUUUGGGCAAUGCCUAUCUUCAAGAUCGACAAUAAAGAUGAUGAAUAGGGACAGGCAUGGGUGGAAUCAAGAAGAAGAUGAACAGAGGAAAAGGAAACGAAAAAAUAAUAAUUUUCGGAGGAAAGUACCUCUGACCACAUCAUUGGAAUAUGCAUCGAAGAUGCAUCUGUUCACCAGUUAGCGAGUCAAGCCUUCCUUGAGACUAAAUGACUACUUUGGUUCCUUAUUUAAGAGAGAUUCAAAGAGAGAUUCAACUUCAUGUCCUUUUUUGAGAUUAUGAGGGCACUUUAGGUUCCUAUUUGAGAUUUUCUCUAUGAUUUUUGUUGGCUUGUUUUGCUUGCCUUUGUACGAUGGUCACAUGCAAUUAGGCAUCUUGGCUAGUUGGGCAGAACCACCAUAGGGUACUUGGGUUGACAAUGCUCAAGUCGAAAUGUAGUCAGUAGUCCUCAUUAUAAAAAUUGCUAUGGACAAUGCUUGACUCUAAAAGGAGCAAGUGUCACUCUUUAUAAAAAUUGCCGACCAAUUGCUUGCCAUUUAGAUGUGCUUGGUUUCCAUGUAUUCUCAGCAACUAUAUGCGCCGUGAUUUUUGUCAUUUAUGUCUAAUGCUAUAUACUAUUUCUCAAGUAAAUCAACUUCUCCAUUGCAAGUUUUGUGCUGUUAUUGGCUUGUUAUGCUAGUCUUUGUCCGAUGGUCAUAUGCAAUUAGGCAUCCGGGCUAGUUGGGCAAAACCACCAUAGGGUACUUGGAUUGACGAUGCUUAGGUCGAAAAGUAAUCAUUAGUGCUCAUUAUAAAAAUUGCUAUGGACAAUGCUCGACUCUAAAAGGAGCAAGUGUCGCUCAUUAUAAAAAUUACCGACCAGUUGCUUGUCAUUUAGAUGUGUUUGGUUUCACUAUAUUAUCACGCAACUAUAUACAUUGUGAUUUUUUUGUCAUUUACGUCUAAUGUUAUACACUAUUUCUCAAGUAAAUCAACUUCUCCAUUGCAAGUUUCAUAAAGCUGUGAUUUUUGUUGGCUUGUUAUGCUUGUCUUUGUUUAUAACUUACUAUAGAUAGUUUUACUUUUAUUUUAUUUUUUUGGUAUGUCAUUGAGUUUGUGAGACUUAAUUUCAAUAUCAAUGGAACGAUCUUGCUGCUUGUCAAAUUUUUUUGUCAUUUUCAUUUUUUGGAUUUUGCUUUUACUUGAUGAUGUUGCUGGAAUGUCUGUGGUUGUAGCUAAGGUGCUAGUGUGGCUAGUGAUGUCUAGUAGUAGUGGGUCUAUUAUGAUGGUUUGGUUCAAGGCUUAUGCUGUUUCUAGUGCAAGUGUGCAGUGUGCACAUCUUGCACCAGGUGGUGCUGGUGCAAGGCUUGACUUGCAUCAACACCUUCUGCAGCAUACCCACAAUUAGUACAAUGGCUGGUGGUUGGGGUGCUAGUGUGGUGGCUAAUGGUGGUAGCUGGUGAUGCCUUGUGAUGAUGGGUUUGUGGUGGGAAUUCGGUUGGCAGCUCGUGCCGCACUUGGUGCAAAUGUGUAGUGUGCACAUCUUGUAUCAAGUGGUGCUGGUACAAGCUGUACCUUGUGUAGCAAACCCACAACCAGCACAUUAAUUGGUGGCUGGGGUGCUAGUGUGGUAGCCAGUGGUGGUGGUGGGUGAUGGCUGGUGGUGCUGGUGGCCAGUGAUGCUUGAUGGUAGUGGGUCUAUAGUAGGGGUUGGGAGCUCGUGCAACACUUGGUGCAAGUGUGCAGUGUGCAUAUCUUAUACCAGGUGGUAUUGGUGCCAAGCGGGUGCGAGACUUAGCUUAUAAACACCUUCUGCAAUAGUACACCACUAGCACAGUAGUGGCUAGUCAUGGCUCGAGGUGGUGGAUUGGGUACUUGGUGUGGUUGGUGGUGGUGGCUGGUGGUCGGUGGUGACCGAUGAUGGUGGUUGGUGUAAUUUUUAGGGGAAACCUACAAAAAAUGACACUUAACUGAUAACAUUCUAAAAAAUUUAAUAUUUAAGUGUUCACUUUUAACCAUGAGUGAUACUUAAGUUAUCACUUUAAUAAUAACUUGACAAUUAAGUGAUCUUUUUUUCAUCACAAUUAGUACUUAAGUGAUCACUAAAUACAACUUAUGACACUCGAGUAAUCACUCGUGUUUGUCCUAUGUAUAUGUUGGUUUGUAGCAAACCAGAGAAGCUGCUAAUUUAUAUUUAGUUCAACUUAUAUCAACUUCAUUCAAUUCAGUGUUUGCUGUUGGUUUACGUAUAUAUUCAGUUCAAGUAAAGAAGCUACCACAACACAUUAAAUCAAUACACAUCCAUCAUUGUUCGUUUAUAUUCAAGAACAAGUAAAAAUAUAGUAUGAGCAGCAUUUCAUUCACUCAUUCUCUUUUGUUGACCUCUCCACAAGCACAAGAAGUAACCCAUGAUAUAUAUGAUAGCACAAAGAAUAACAAAGCUACAACGAUCUUGUGGACAACACAAACUUCUUCUCAUCUUCCAAAAAAAUGCCUACAUUUGAUCCAAAAUUAUUGUAUUUGUCCACUGAUUUUCAACUAUGGUAGUCGAAGAAACUUCUCAUCUUUCAGUGCCUAACAUUUCAUCAUAAAAUAGGAUAGAUAACAAAAUAAUACCACAAUAAAGGCUUGAUAACAUUUCCGUUCAAUUGUCAUUCUUGAAACUUCAUUCUACAAAUGUUUAGCCGAAGAUGCUUGAGCUUGUAUUGAAUUAACAUCGUCCAAGUUGUCCAUGAGCGUAGAUGGAGGUUGAUGUCAUCCAUCAAGUAGAUUCGAUAUCACCUCUGUGGCUCGAUGAGAGAAUUUCACAUCGACCCAUUUGAAGUAUUUACACUUCGACCAUUCUCUAUAUCGGGCACAUUCAUAAAAUCUUCUCCCCAGAUUCAUUCGAGUCCAUGAUGUUCUUUUUGGACUCGGUAACCCACAAAAACAAAAACGCUUGCCUUCGCCUUCGCUUCAGUGAGAGGAAUUUGAAGCACUGCUAAAAAUCCUACUCUCUUUUUCAAGAUGCAAUGGUGAAAUUUUAGGCAAAUCGAAAUUAAGAUUCGGGAUUAGGGUUUGAACACUUCAAUAGGGAUUUUGGCUUUUUUUAUUUUUUAGAUUUGGGGCAAUUUGGGAGAUGAUGUUGUUUUGAUCGAUUUAGGGCUUUUAUUUCCGGGGGACGGUCCCGUCCUUCAUCUGGUGAGGGUACACACAGUUUAAUGAUGUACAUUCCCAUAUGGACAUAUGGUCUCCUAGGCUGGAUCUCAUUACAUGUUUUCACUAUAAUCAGACAAACUUCUCUAUCAAGAUGGUCUGUAACUAAAUAAGAUAUGAAGAGGAAGUUGCAUUUUCUUUCUCAUUCUUCACUGCAUACAUGCUAUCGUGAGGCAUGAGAAAAUUAAAGGUUUAGAGCAGUAAAAAAGAAGGAACAAUAAUCUGCAGCCAAGAAAGGAAUACUAGAUUUUCAUGACUAUUUGUCGCGACCAAUUUUUUUUCCGGGGUGUGAACCACCUAGGGUUUGGCUAAUAGAUUGCUAAGCCUAGACUUAACUCGGGCUCUCCCAAACCCAUAUCAAUUCGCGACUUAGAUUUAAAUUAUUAACAUGCAGAUAUAUUUUAUUUAGGAGUUGCCACUAAUCUAUUUUUUGGUGGGUCGAUUAGAAACUCCAGUAAAGUAACGGGAUUUACUUUACUCAUACGAACCAGAGAUUUGGGUACGGGGAUUUGAUUACGCUAGAUUUCUCUAACGCCCUNNNNNNNNNNNNNNNNNNNNNNNNNNNNNNNNNNNNNNNNNNNNNNNNNNNNNNNNNNNNNNNNNNNNNNNNNNNNNNNNNNNNNNNNNNNNNNNNNNNNCGCGUCAUGCCAUUAAAAUUUUAUCAUUUGUAUCGCUUUGUUGUUUUACAUAUCCUUUUCAAAUCAACCAUAAUAAUAUUUCAUAUUGUAACGUUAGAUCCUCUAUCUUAGAGCCCGGGCGUUUAUAUGCAUACGGAGAAACCAUGGAAUCGAAUCUCAAUGGAGUACGUGGAUCCUACUAAUAAAUGAAGAUUACUGAAUGUCUCUGAGAAUCUCAGGAAGACGACACUUGGCAAUGACCAAAUUUAGUGACGGAAUCACCCGACGGAGGUACUCAAGCUAAGUUAGAUGAAGAAUGACUGAAGCUGGAGCCACCACGAAUAGUCGUCAUUUGAGAGAAGAAGAAAAUAGAGAGAGUGAGUUAUCAGAGGUGAAGGAUCUGUUUGUUCUAUGAACUGAAAGAGAGAGCGCGUGAAGUCUGCAGCGAUAGGAGGUGGUCCAGUGUUGCUGGGCGACGAUGAUGUUGCAGCAGCUUAGGCGGUGACGCAAGGACGGUGAGCUGCGAUGAAGGUGAAGACGCAGUGAUGGAUAACCCACAUGCAUCUCUGAGACUGACGAAGGAAGAGAAUCAAUCAUUUUUAUAUCUCUCUAGUAUUUGAAUCACCAAGAAUUCUUUUCAAAAGUAUAAGUUUUUUAUGGUACCUUCAUUUCGUAGAAAACUCAAUGAUAAAAAGCAUUUUCGAAGAAUACAAUUAAUUUUCCAUUGUUUGGUAAUAUAUGAUCAAAAACGUUUUUUGAUAGUUGGAUCUCAUUAGAAAGUGAUUUUGAUAUUAUGACUUUAUCUUAGGCAAAAAAAAAAAAUCGAUUUUUAUUUUUUAUUUUUUAAAAGUUCGAAUUUUUAGUUUUUUUUUUCUUUUUUAAAUUCGAAUUUGUAAUUGGUUUUUCAAUGAGUUGUAAAAAGAAAGGGAGAUUAGUUAGAAAAGGGUUUUUUUUUACUAUACCAUUUUCACUAUUAUUAUUAUUAUUAUUAUUAUUAAUAUUAUUAUUAUUAUUAUUAUUAUUAUUAUUAUUAUUAUUAUUAUUUUCUUCUACUUUUUUCAAAUGUAGAUUUGGUUUAUUGACAAAUUUCUUUUGCCAACGAUGUUUUUUUUUUGUCAGUUCUAUGCUAUGCCUACUCCUAACACUCAUUCUCAGACUUUUUUCCCUGUCUCUUGCCAGGCGGGGGGAGUCGGAAACCCCCUUCCNNNNNNNNNNNNNNNNNNNNNNNNNNNNNNNNNNNNNNNNNNNNNNNNNNNNNNNNNNNNNNNNNNNNNNNNNNNNNNNNNNNNNNNNNNNNNNNNNNNNGGGCCUUUUCUAUCUUCCUUAAAUAGCUGUGAUACCAAUUGAUUUAAUUGCAAGAUCUAAUAGUUUUCGCUCUAUAUUGCAUAAUUGGUAUAUCAGCUGUCAAUAGCCAGGAGACUCUAACAAAUAAGUAUUUGGUCAAGAACUUUGAUCAACAACUCUUUUGCCUGAUAGCACAGGAGCUUCUUGGAUUAUAGCCACACAAGUGGUGCACUUUAUUGAACACAUUGGAGGUUUUCUGUCGACAUCCAAACUGAGUUGUUUCCAUCAAUAUAUACCAUGAGUUUGGGUGUAAUUUAGGACUUGGAAAAUAUUCAAACAAGUAAGGGCUUGUUUGUUAAUGUUUUUUUUUUUUUUUUUGGUAAAAGGUAAUAAUUCUGUUUGUUAAUGUUCUUUGUUUCUGUUUAUGAACAAAAUUUCUGUUUUUUUGUUUCAGGGAAAAAAAGAGAACAAAAACGCGUUUAUUUGCGUUUUUGUUACAAAUCUAUUUUUUUUGUUCCUAGGAACACAUUUUGAACAUAAACAAGAAAUAAGAAAAACGUGUUUCUUGUUUAUGGAACAAUUUUUAAGAACAAAUUUUCUCUCUCCUCUCUUUUUCUUCUCUUUUUUUUUUUCUUUUUUCUUUGGCCGGUUGCGGGCCUCGGCCAUGGCCGGCGACCGGCCGUCGAGGGUCGGCGACCUCGUCGAAGCGUCGCCGGCCCCUGGUGAGGCCGAGCGUCACCGGCCCCUGGUGAGGCUCGGCCUCACCUUAGCUGUGCGAGCUCGAGCUCGCUUAGAUCAGACAAGCCCGAGCUCGCCCAGCCAUCGGCGAGGCUCGCCGGCCUGGCGGUGGCCCGGGGAGGCCGAGCCUCGUCGGUGGCUAGGCGAGCUCGGGCUCACCGAAUCUGGGCUAGCCUGAGCUCGCCUAGCCAAGGCGAGGCGGAGCCUUGCGGGUGUGGGGCAAGGCUAGGAGAGCUCGGGCUCGCCGAAUCUGGGCCAACCCGAGCUCGCCCAGCCAAGGCGAGGCCGCCGGCCAAAAGAAGAAAAGAAGAAAAAAGAAAGAAAAAUAAAAUAAAAAUAUUUAAAAAUUAAAAGAAACAAAAAAAAAGAACACAAAUUUACCAAACGUGUUUCUGUUCAUUUUUUUAUUUUCGGAACAAGUUUAUCAAACUCGUUUUUUAUUCAAAAAUUGUUCCUUGUAACAGAAACAUUUUUUUCUAUUUCUGUUCCCUGAAACAAUUUUUAAACAGAAAUGUUACCAAACGCGUCCUAAGUAAUCAUAACUCUAUAAUUCUCCCAUUUAUUAAUAGAUUAUUUACAGUUGACUGUCCCCAUAGAGUAAAUACCGAUAUUCAGAUCGUCCCAUGCAGAUCUCUUCAUUUAUUUACUAUCCCCAUUUAUUUCUCCAGUAACUACGCGUUGAAUUAAUUAUGAGGUUCGAUAAUUUUUGCAUUAGAUUGAAAAACUGACAUCAUCACCUGACCAAUUCCGACGCUUGAAAUCAUUAAGCAAUAGAGACGAGUCCUUAGCACAACAAAAACUAUUCAGGAGGUGGCUCUUUGUAAGAGUCGCCCAAGUUUUCAAAUCUUAUAGAAAUAUCGUCCUUCAUCCUCCAUCAAGAUUGUGCCUCUUUGUCUGUAAAUAGGAGAGUUUUCUGGGGGACGGUCCCGUCCUUCAUCUAGUGAGGGUACACACAGGUUAAUGAUGUACAUUCCCAUAUGGACAUAUGGUCUCCUAGGCUGGAUCUCAUUACAUGUUUUCACUAUAAUCAGACAAACUUCUCUAUCAAGAUGGUCUGUAACUAAAUAAGAUAUGAAGAGGAAGUUGCAUUUUCUUUCUCAUUCUUCACUGCAUACAUGCUAUCGUGAGGCAUGAGAAAAUUAAAGGUUUAGAGCAGUAAAAAAGAAGGAACAAUAAUCUGCAGCCAAGAAAGGAAUACUAGAUUUUCAUGACUAUUUGUCGCGACCAAUUUUUUUUCCGGGGUGUGAACCACCUAGGGUUUGGCUAAUAGAUUGCUAAGCCUAGACUUAACUCGGGCUCUCCCAAACCCAUAUCAAUUCGCGACUUAGAUUUAAAUUAUUAACAUGCAGAUAGAUUUUAUUUAGGAGUUGCCACUAAUAUAUUUUUUGGUGGGUCGAUUAGAAACCCAAAUAAAGUAACGGGAUUUACUUUACUCCUACGAACCAAAGAUUUGGGUACGGGGAUUUGAUUACGCUAGAUUUCUCUAACGCCCUUUCGGUACCAUUUCUUUUAUUUUUUUUUAAAAAAAAAAGGUUUUGCAAGCAGCUAGAAUUGAUUUUAAACUAUUUUCCUAACAUGUGAUGUUAUAAUGCAGGUGCGCAAACCAUCAAUUUAACACCCAAGAAAGCAAUUAAAUAAUGCAGGACUUACCUCAAAGUAACGAAAGCAUCAAUAGCCUUAAAUUAAACCCACAUCAACAACCCUAGAUAUGAUUUCUAAUUAACACGCAAUUUCUUUUUUUUUUGUUUUCAUUUUUUAAUGAGACUAUAAUCCAUAUACAAUGCAAUGCUUUUAAUCUAAUAUGAAAUGAUAUAACAUGGCAACAUGUCCUAAACUAUAUGAAUAAAAUUUUUGUGAUCUCUUAAUCAACAUGCAAUUAUUAAAUAUGCAAUGACUUAAUUCUAAUGAGGUGUGAUGCAAUAUAAUGACAUACAAGAUUAUUUUAACUAAAAUGACAUGCGACAUACAAUUUAAUAUACGAGCUAUAUGUCACGCGACAUUUAUUAAAUGACCUAAUCUAAUGACGGACAAAUUCUAAUUAGAAAUGAACCUAACAAUAAUCACUAAAAUGACGUGCAUUUCAUGAACCUAAUUCUAUAUGACAUGCAAAUGACAUUUUUUAUUUUAAAAAUGUAAUCUAUCCUAGAAAUUGCAACUAAUUUAUCCUAAGACAAAUUUUAUGAAAUUUGAAAUGAUCUAGCUAGAUUAAGAUUCUAUCUAAUUUAAACUAGGGAUUAAGUCAUAUUAAAUCAUAAUUUAAACUAACACAUUAUCUAAAUCUAAAAUGCAAUUUAUCUAAAAAAGAUGAUCUAAAUUUAAAAUGAAACAUGCAAUUCUAAUCUAAUAUGCACAAUGAUUUUUUUGUGUUUUUCUUUAAGAAAUUCGAAAUUAAAACUAACACAUAAUUAAACAUGCAAUUCAAAUAAAAAACUAACAACCUAAAUGAAUGCACUUUCUUUCUUGGGUUAAUACCUUGAAAAAACCUAAACUGUACACCUGUGAUAAAUUUACCCCAAACUAUUUUUUUGACCACCAAAAACCCCAAACUGGUAUACCUUUGACAAAUUGACCUUAAACUGGUACACUUGUGACAAAUUUACCCUCUAUUAGUUUUAAUUAAAUUUUCUUGUUAAAUUAUAAAGUUAAAUAACACGUGAUAAUUGAUCGGUAUAUCAAUUUGGGAUUUUACACUAUGUUUGUCAUAGUUUAUAAUUUUUGUGAUUUUUUUGUGGUAUUAAUCUAAUUUUUCGGAGGGUUUAUUAGUCACAAAUUUACCAGUUUGGGGUUUUUGUGGUCGAAUAAAUUAAUUUGGAGUAAAUUUGUCAUAAAUGUACCAGUUUAGGGUUUUUUUUAUAGUUAGUCGGGGUAAAUUUGUCACAGGUGUACCAGUUUGGGGUUUUUUAUGGUCAAAAAAAUAGUUUGGGGUAAAUUUGUCACAAGUGUACCAGUUUGAGGUUUUUUAAGGUAUUGACCCUUCUUUUUUGGAUUUUUUUAUUUAAAAAUUCGAAAUAAGAUUGCAAUCCUAAAUAUGCAAGAUAAUAAAAACAAACCUAAUCCUUAUUCAGAUUUUUUUUUAUUUUCUUAUUUAAAAAUUCGAAAUAAGAUAGCGAUUUUAAACCUAAGACUAGGAAUAUUCUAAAACAAACUUAAUCCUAAUUCGAUUUUUUUGAUUUUUUUUCUCUUAUGAAAAUAAAAUUGAUCCAAACACAUGACAUCUAAUCAAGCAAGACAAUAUUAAUAUCCAAAAAGUAGCGAACCAUAUCUCGCGCAUGAGAUCGGGUUGGCUAAUUUUAAAUUAAAUCGUGAAUUGAAUCUCGGGCUUGAGAUUGGAUUGUCGAUUUUUGUAAGGGACUGGGAGUCGGAUUUCGAGCGCGAAAAUCGGACCGUUAAUCCCUAGCUUGAGGGACUUUUCAUAUUGGGAUAUCAAUAAUAUAUUAAUGAACAAUUCCACUAAAACAGAAUAUUAAAGAAAUAAUAAUAAAAAUAAAAAAAAUAAAAGAGAAACUACCUAAUAUGAUCUCUUUUUCUGUUUUUUCCUUUCCACACACAGCCGUGAAUCUCCAAGGGGAGAGAGUCGUCGGUCCGGCAAGAGGAACUCCGGCAAGGGUGAACUGGCGGCGACAAGCGGUGAAGAGGUGAAUCGGCGGUGGGCGAGCGCGCGGAGGUGAAUCGGCGGUGGCUUCGCGGACAGGGGCGUCGGAUCGCUGGGAGGUCGAGCAAAGGCAGAGGCAGCAGCGACGGGUUCGGGGCCUGCUGGCGUCGAGCGGACCACCGGGUCUGCAGCAGCGACUGGUCACGGACCGGCGCGGAGGUGCGGGCUACAGGGGACGCCGGGCCAUCGGACGGGCGUAUGGUGGCUCAGGCUCCAGAUCUGGAGCGGUGCUGCGAGCAGGGGCGCUGGGUCGUGCGGCAGUGGCGUCUGCGGAGCUGCGAGCAGAGAUGAAAGGCAGGGGCGCCCUGGCCCGGUGACGCUGCAACAGAGGGCGGAGCGGCCCUGGCGUCGCGGAUCGACACAGCGACGGCUUCGUCGGGCUGCCGGUGUCGUGGCUUGCGCGGGCGGUAGGGACCAGCGCGGCUUCAGCAGAAGACGGCGAAGGAGAUAGGCACUGGAGUAGUAGCAACGAACAGGGCAGGUAACGUCGGGUCGUCGGGGCAGAGCAGAUGCGUGCGGCAGCAGCUCGGACCACCGGCAAAGGGCGUCGCGGGCCAAGAAACUUCAGGUGCAGGCGUAGAUCGGAAGCGGGGCCAUCUGGUGUGGUGGCGCGGUGAGGCGGCGCCGCGGGCGGUCUGAGAUGCGGUCGCUGGACGCCGGGCGCGGCGGUGCUCACAGCUGCGGAGGCGCGACGGAUCGGACGGCGAGGGAGUCCGAGCGGCUUGCGGUUUGAUGGCGUCGGCGCAGCGCGGGCGCGGGUGAAGAGAAGCCGGCGACCGGGACAGCGGAUGGGGGCAGCGAAUGUGGGGAAGAUGAUGAAAGGUAAAUGUCCAAUCACUUCCUCCCCUGUGCUGCUUCUGCUUUUAAUUUUCACUUUCUUUCACUUUUUUUUUUCGCUUUUGACCUUUUCCCUUCGUCGAAAGCACUACCAAACCCGAAGGAUUCCGGCCCCACCGAACGCCGAUCAUGCUUCAGGGGUGUCUAGGACUCGUACCAUUUUACGGUCGCCUAAACGGGGAUUUACCUUCUAGGACUCUGAGUCUGUCUCGGAGUUUGAAUCUGAGUUUGAUCACAAAAAUCUUUUUAUUCUCCUUAUCUCCUAAAUAUUUUCUACUGAUUUUUAAAAUAAGAUCACAACCCGAUUUUCUUAAAUCCCAAAAAUCAUUAUUUCAAAUCUCAAUUUCAGAAAAUGGGCUUGGGCUAACUUGUAGUCUUUAUGGGCUUAGUCCGAUCAAUUUGAAUCCAUCCGCACCGGUCCAAUAAAUAAAAUGCACCUAAAUCUAUAUGCUAUAUAAUUAAUAUUUUUUUGAUAAAAUUAAACCCUAAUUUUUAAUGACUAAACGGGCUGUUAAAAUUUAGGUGUCAACAAUAUUCUCUGCUAGAACUUCAGGACAUGCUAGAACUUCAGGACAUGUAUAAUGAACUUCCUGUCAAGAGAUCUGUUUUUCUUCAUUCUAAGAACCAUUUUACUAAAAAGUUCCACAUGUAUUACAAGAACGUGGACUACCUGUAAAAUAUAACAACAUACAAUUUUCACUCAAACUGUAUCUGCGACAAUGAAGUGAGGAUUCAUUUCUUCUUGCCUCUUCCUUUCUUAUUUUGCUUACCUUUGGACUUGCAAUUGCCCUUGUUCUUGUUCCGGUUUUCCACACCGCCAGUCUGGGAAAAAGAAGAUGAUGAAGCCUCCUGAUCCUUCUUCACUUCACCGGCUUUUUCAGCUUCCCCAACUUUGCCCCUCUCUUCCUCAUUUGCUAAGCCCACUUCUUGUCCCGGCAAUGACGACGCAUUUGCACCAUCCGAAUGCACAACUGGUACUACACUGUCGGAAGAUGAAGAGGAAUCCUUGGAAAAUUCAGUCAGAUCUUGCAACUUGCAAGAGCUCUCAGCACUUCCAUCUUUGGGGAAUAGAACUUUCAUAAUCUCUUCUUUGCAUUUGUGCGACUUCACAUCUAAAAUGAUGGCAUGUGGACAUUUUGAACAAUCUGAAGCAGAAUUGGUAAUUACAAGGGGAUCAUCAACUUUUUCGAAUGCUUCAGCGAGAACACCCACUGAAAUUUCCUGUAAGUUGGGCCUCCGGCAACGUGAAAGAAUAUGAUGAAAUUCUGUAGGUGUUUGCUCAGAAAUCCAACUCUUACCGAGCAAAUCGAAGAGAAAAUGUGGACUGAUGCCAAAAUUCAGGUGAAGCAAACAAACCAAAAGAACCAACUUCAAGACCAACAACGGGUAAUACUCCCUCACAUUUAGGUUCGAAUUUUUGAUCCAUUGUCUGGUAUCAUCCUUAUUGUGAAGAAGGUCCGCAACGGUCCUUGUAACAAACUGAAUGAUGGGCUCCAAGCAAUUUCCCAGGUUAAAACUGAAGCUAGGCUUUGCUAAACCUUCAUGGCAGAUGAGCCAUUCAACUAGAGAAGAUUUCGUUGUAUAAAACUGCCCUUUGGAGCAAGCUAACAAAAUCACAAGUCGUUCCAAGAGAUACAAAAAACAAAUUGGUGUGAUGUAGUCUCUUUCAGUCCUCCAAUUGGCAUUGUAAGCAUCUGCCAAAGCUCGAUAAAGCUUCCAAGCCAAAGAGAUUUCCAUAGGUCCAUCACUCGCCUGAGGAAGGUCUGAUGGUACAUCCCGACAAAUGCAUUCCAUGAAUUCCUCCCAUGGCGUAUUUCCUUUAAAUGAUUUUGCUAUUUUUCCGUACAAAUCAUCGUCGAGCAUUCCAGACCCAAGAACCAAAGUCGCAAGCUCACCCAUCUUCCCAUGUGAAAAAUGCUUCUUCGAAAUUAUCAUGUUCAUUGUUUCUCUCAGUAAAUUACGAGAAGCCUCACUUCCUCUCAGAGAUACCAUAUUCUCUGAUGACGAUAUUCUCCAGUCAAGUGGAAAUAUGCGACCAAAGUACCUCGCACUGGAUGUUUCAAUGAAUCUAUCCAGUGCCUUACCAUACUGGAACGAGUGAUUCGGACAAAGUUCUUGAAGGAACUUGGCAACCUCAUGUAAGAUAGCAAGACAUCUGCUUUGCCAGAAGUUCGACCGAGAACUCUUCGCCAAAAAUUGAUAAAGAGCAUCCAAUUUGUGCAGGAGCACCAUACCAACAGAAGUAAGCUCACAAUACCAGUACUUUUGAGCUGCAGAGACCAAUUGUCUAAGAUCCAAAGCAACCAAUUGUCCUUUUUUGUGAAGAGAUCUUUUAUCUAUGUUUCUGACCCAAUCAGAAUCCGGGUUUAGAAGGUGAUAAGUUAUUUGCAUGUUGUUCUGUUGCUCCAGAACACCAAAGUAAUUCAAACAGAACUCCCAACACGACGUAUUUUCCUUUCCCACCGGCAUCUCCACACAUCCUACACUCUCUAUAAUUCUAACAAUUUUCUCUCUCCAAAGAUUCCAAAAGCAGACCAAUGAGUCAACGGAAAUCUGAUUCUCCAAGGUCAGUUGUUCCGAAUAAUUCACUGGGUCCACAAGCCAAUCAUAAUCCCAACAAAAAUUGGAGAUAUUUUGACGCAGAUGGAAGUCCAGAAUAUUUCGAGCGCACAGUAUUUCACCUCUGACACUUCCAUUUCUACUGGAAGCACUCAAAUGUUCUUUCAUUUGAGCCAAACUGUUCUGUUUAUUUAACAAAAUGCUUGAUUCUACAGAAACAUAUUCAUAGAAGGCAAUAGGCUCAGGCUCUGCGAGAAGUUUGGCUUUUGAUACCAGCUCCUCCUCCUGUGCAAACUGCUUCAAGGGCCACCCUUUGCUUCCAGGAGCCCAAAGGGAAUAGAAUAGUAUGUACCACAGGAUAUUCAUUGACGCUUCUCUGUUUUUUCCGCUCUUCCCAAGUAGAUCAACCUCACGAAGGAUGUCACCUUUCAUCCUCACAAUCUUCGCUGCCUCCAAAAAGUUACCGAACUCUUCCUCCAGACUUAUAAGUUCAUCAAGGCAUCCAAGCCUCUUGAGCAAAUUUCUCAUUGAAUCGAUGCAAUGAAAAGCCUUCACAUACUUCAUCAUGGCCCUGUAGUCUUUGAGGUUGUAGAAAUGUAGGGUACAACUCUCUAAAAAGUCCUGUUCCAAUUUCUCUAUUUCUUUACUCUUCUUCUCAGUUCCCUGCCUUUUCCAAUCCUCAAUGUAUCGCAGACCAAUUUCAAAGAGUUUUCCUUCAGCACAAAUGGACAAGCACUUUGAGAAAAUAUUUGCCCUUGCAUAUGCCUCCGCUGCAAGACUGUAGCACCGUGCGAGAGAGAAACACUCUCCAGCUUUCUCCAAAGCAGAUUCUCCACAUUUAUCCAUGUAUAUUUUACCUGUUGAAGCAUAAACAAAUUUGAUGUCAGUCUCAUUUAUAGAGUGCUGAUGCUCAGAAGAUAAAACAUAGCAAAGGGACAUUUGGAAGCUGCCAGACGUCCUUUUGUUUGUACAGCUCAACUCUGUACCGCUCAACUAUAUUCUCCAAUGUCAAAAGAUGAAACGGGAUCAACAUCCGUAGGUGGCUACAAUACCAAGAAGUUUUUGACAAACCAUAGUCCACAUGGAGCUUUUUUAAACAUAUAGGUCUGAUCAGUGUUAAGAACUUAGCAGCUCAAAUUUUUCCAAACUGCUGAGAGUGCAGAGACAGGUUAUCAUAUAGAAAAUAAUCAACUUUCAAGCCAAGACAUCGACCAUGAAGUCAACAUUAGUAGCGCUUGCUCAAAAUUCACCAAAAGCAUUUGGAAAUUAACAAGUGAGAUCAAACUACUUUUUUUAAAUAUUGAAAGAGGAAAAUCAAUUAAACUGGUAAACAAGAGCGUACCACGCAUGUGGAAAACUAGAUACAGAAGAAUGCGAAGUCAAAUUUCCUCUUUCUUAGGCAGCUUUGACAUAGCUACUACAAGAAGAAAAGUAACGAUGCAGCAUAUCUCCACCUUAUCAUUUUGAAAGAAAUGAAAAGAAAAAUGAUACCUGCCAUCUCAUAUUCCUUCAACAUGUAGAAACACUCUGCGGCAGAGUCGGCCAUUCCAAUUGUUUCAUAGAUCUCAGCAGCCUGCCUUCGAAGGUCAGAAGCCUCUUGUGGAUUUGAAAUGUGCUUGAGAUCUGCAUCUGCUUUGAAAGCAGAGGCCUUAGCUAAUUUCUCCCCAUAUGUGUACCUUGCUCGUUCAAAGCACAUUAUUGCCAUUGGGUAGUUACCCUCACGUAAGAGCUUGCAAAGUUUAAAAAAAAAAGAGAUCAAUAGCUUCUUCAGAGGAGGUGAAAAGAAGAAAAGAAGAAAAGAAGAAAACAUAGUCCUCCCUCAUAAGGAAAAAUCAGUGCUUACACCAAAACAAUGCACUGUCAUUGACCCGAUAACCUCAAAUGAGGAAAAAGAUCAUAGAAAUAUUCCUAUCAUAUUGUUUAUCCAUUGUAUGUCUAAAUGAAGUAUUAGCCAAACUAUUAAAAAACCAAAAAAGCUGGCAUAUUGAUCACCAUAUUUGUACCAUAGAACGUCCACAUUCUACACACUUUUUUUUCUUUUCAGGAUCAGUCAUACUUUUGCAGUCACUAUGGUCAUUCCAAAAUCUCUAGCAUUCACAGAUCAUGUUGACUCCAAAUGAGGCGAAAACAACAAUUCCAUGAAGAGGAAACCACCAAUAAAGAAAAAACAGAAAAACAGCAAACCUUAAAACCUUGUAACUUCCACUCCUCCGGCGUGCUCCUGACCUGCAUUGCUUCUGCAAGGGCAUGAUCUACCAACCUAACUUGAAUGAGGCACUUCUUCUUCCAGUAGUCUAGAAUUGGUUUGGAGAACUCCAAGGCAUUCUCACAAAUCCACAAUCUUUGCCUUGUCCGAGUAAUUGCGACGUACAAUUGCUUCAAUUCAGAGCAUAAUAUAUUGUGCUUCGCAUCAUCAAAACUUGGGGAAGACCAUUGAGAGCUGUUAUCGAGCAAAGCGUGCUCCUUCAUGUAUCCAUAAAUGACCCUCCAUUGACUUUUCAGAGGUGAUGUGCCAAAGAAGUUGUACAACAAGACGUCCUAUACAAUGCCACAGAAAAAAAAAUUUCAGGUAAAAACAUCUGAUUUAUGACCAAAAUGACAGAUUUCAAGUUUCGUGAAUACAUGAACAAUUCUAAAAAAUUUAGCAAAAAAAUUCUGGACUCAUUUCAACACACCAGCCUAUCAAGAACAGCCAUAAAGUUGCAGGAUCGUUGAUAUUGUCUAUUAACCUAGAAGAUGAUAUUGACAUGAGCCCAAACAAAUUCUACGUUAUGAGUAUCUAGAUGCCAUUGUCUACAUACAAAAAAGGGUAUAGUAGAAUGAAAAUGCCAAUCCAAACUUUUUACAGAGUACCAGCUUGCAGCAAAUUGGUCAUGAAAUCUCUAUUCUGCUACUAUUAAUACCCCAUGGCAAACAAUCCAACCUGACCCACACCUACCUGAAAUUCCAACCCCUUGCACUCCACUAUCGUCAGAACUAGCGCUUGCCCUCUCACGAGGUUUGAAAUUUCACUUCUAGAGUGAUCAUCUCGAACCAAAAUAACCUGCUCUGCUCCAAAGCCAACAAAAUUACCACUAAAAUCACAGUUGCCAAAAAUUGAUAGUAUGGCAUUUUCAUCAUUCUCUGAUUCAAGUAAAAUUGGGGCUUCCCCACAUAUAAAGCUAGUUUCAGGGCUUAAAGCAUCAACGGAUAAGGGGAAAAAAUGGUAAAGAAGAUCAACAACACUCUGCGCCAGUUUGAGUAUACCAGCAUGAGUGCGGAAGUUUUGGCUCAAAUGGAAAAUUUUGGAAAGACAUCCCUUUUCCAUUCUGAUAUCAGGUCCAUCCAUUGAAUCCAUCAAGAACUCCUUGUAGAAAAGGGACCUUAUGUCUUCAAACCUGAAGUCUAUUCCCCUUGCAAUAGUUUGUGCAGUGUCACCAGAAAACACAAAGCCCCCAUCAACGUUUCUACAGAUAUACUUGAACAGUGAAAUUUGCCUCAUGGUGAGAUCCUGCACUUCAUCAAUAUAUACAAAAUCCACCACGUUACCAGCAAACUGCCCAUGAAGAAGACGGCAAUGAAGAUCAUUGACAAGAUCGGCCAAAUCAAAUUCACCAUUUUUCAUUUUCAUCUUUUCAUAAUCCUCAAAAGCAUCAUAAAUUUCUUCUCUUCUCUGAAAACUCAGAGUGGAGACACGACCCUCCGAAAUAGAAACAUAAGCUGGUCUGUCAAGUUUGCCUUCACAACCAUCUGCUGGUGGAAGACCACCCUUUACGUGGGACAUUAUUUCAGUGAAGACUCUGGAAGGAUCAAGCCUCCUCCUUAUCUUGUCAUUGAAGUGAGGCCAAUAAACAGCACAAAACUUUUCGUAAGUAACUUCCUUUGCUCUUAGAAGACUUUGUAAGGCCACUGGUCUAGAAUUGAAGGAUUGGCCACGACAAAGAUCCCUUAGAUCGGGGAACCUUUCAAAGAAUGAAACCCCCACAGUUCCAUCUAGCAUCAUCAGAAGCUUACGAAAAGUUAUAACAAGGGGAUAAGAGUUGGGAGAUAUGUCUAAAAAUGAAUCCGGGAUAUCCUUGAAUAAUGCUGCAUCAUCAACAAUCUCAUCAACUGAAGAGCUUUUAACUUUAUGUUUUGCACCACUGCUGGAGCUGCAGGAUUAAUGAAGCCAGCAAUUAGAAAUGGAAAUAUAUAGUUUUAACAAACUUAUGGGAAUACCUCCACUACACAUGCAAUCUCAUAAUUGCUACUUUCAGGUAACUAACAGCAAAAAGGAAAUUAGAAUACGCUGAUGCACCAAGGUUGUAAUGAUAUACUAUGAGACACGGAUAGCGUUUACAUCCGCUGGCAAUAAAAAUUUUCCCCCGCAGCAAGAUUUGUAGAACGCAUGGUCCUUUCUCGAUUCUGGUUAUAAUUGCACAAGUUCUAAAAAGGACGAUUUUCUUUUUAUAUGUACAAUGCCUACAAUCACAAAAUUUAAUGUGAAAGUUUCCAAUAAAAUGGUACUGCAAACUAAAUAAGUGGCACGAAGACCAAAAUAAGGAAUAUUGCUGCACAAACUAAUGUUUAGUUUCAGCAAGAAGAAGAUGUCAAUCUCUAACAUGCAAUGAUUAAAUCUAUUUUCGAGCUGCUAUAUCCGAGUGGUAGCACCCGAGCAUGGCAAAGUGCUGAUUGCCACAUGUUGACCCACGCGCUCUUGCCACAUGUUAUAUUUCCUAUAGAACUCUAUAAAAUGAAGUAUCUUGGUUGUGCAAAUAGUAGCAUGCCAAAGGGGUUAUCUCCUUCUCCCGACUAAUUCUCCCGACUAAUUCAUAAAAAAAAAAAAAAAAAAAAAAAAAAUGACAAUCCAUUAACCCUUGCAUAUGUUUGUUCAUUGUAAAAAUUGCAGAAUAAUUAUUCUAUUGUUCAAACAUCUUCCCAUGACAUUUUACGUACCUUCUAAGUUGAGAUACGUGCUGUUUAACCGCAAAACAUAAUUUUGCACUGACAGUCACAAAAAGCUGGCGCAAUACACAAUCCUCUGCUCCUUCACUUUGGAUUUCCUGAAAUCCCUUGGUUGCUUCAUCAUGCAGUUUCUCAUUUCUAAACAACUUCAUUGUCAGGACUGUAGUUUUACCGGUUCCAGAUCGCCCAAGUAUAAAAGUGCUUCUGGGAAAAAGAAUUAUCUCUUGUUCUUGCUCUGUUACUUCAAACGGAAGACUUGCUUCAUUACCAUCACUGUCAUCGAGCAAAUUUCUGACAAUAUCUGAUGAUAAGGUGUAGAAUUUCAUUAGAAGCAAACUCUCGCUCACUUUCACAUUCUCCACAUACAACCUACGAUCUGAAGCAUCAGCAUCAGAACUACUCCCAAAUUGACCUUCACUAGCACUUCGAUAGCAGACAAAAUCGAAAGUACAUGCCCAGGUCUUCGGAACUUGCAGAUCCCUAUAACCAGAAGAGGCAUGUGAAAUGAAAGAAAAUAGGGGGAUAAGAUCAAUUCAAGAUUUUAGUCAUCUAUCCGGAAAAGAAUGCUUUCUAAUUUAGUAAGAGAUGUGCUACCUAUCUUAAGAUAAGAAGAAAAGAUCAGACUUACCCCUCAAUGCAUUUCUCAUUGCAACGACUAAUAAAAUCAUCACUAUAUGUCUCGAAUAUGCUGUCCAAACGUUUGACCAAUUUUACCACAUCCUCUAAAGGCAAUACAUCCCAUAUCUUCAGGAUUUGGAUGUAUCUCAGUUCCUUUACAAUAUCAGUCGUGCAUAUGACAUAGAAACCAUCAGCUUUGAAUUGUCUUACGAUAUGAGAUGAGUGUUCACAAAUUAUAUCCACAUUUCUCUUCUUUGGUCUCCAGCCACUGGAGAGUUUUGACAGAAGGUUGAUGAUGGACAUCUUUGUCCUGAGUGAUGCCAGCUUUCUGAAAGACUUCAGGAAGUUGUCACUGAAAAGAACCUGAUAAGAUCAAAGAGUAACAAUAACAUACGUUGUCACAAGUUCUAUAAAACUCAAUGCUUAUUUUGAAAAAUAAAUGUAGCCAUAGAAUACUGUUGAGCAAAGUUUUUUACCUUCCACCUUGCAUUUCUGAAAAGUACACUGCUUCUGUCAAGCAGAUCAUCAAGCUGAUUAUUCUCUUUCUUCACAUCUAAGAUGGCUUUAGCCAAAUCCUUGUCAUCAUCAACAUUGAAGAAACAUCCACGACUCUUUGCAUUGUCAACCACAGCUUUCCACACAGAAUCGCUUUUCGUCAGUGUUUUCCCAUUUCCCAGAAUCCACAGACAAUACCUAUAGAUAGGAAAUUAACUCAGGGAUUUACUUGCUAUAUCACCCUAAAAAUGUAAUUUGACACAGUUAAGAGGAUAGAGUACCUGGCCCUGGUAAGAGCAACAUUGGUUCUCUUAGUACUGGACAAGAACCCAAUAUUCCCACGCGAGUUUGAUCUUACAGUGGAUAUUAUAACAAUGUCUUCUUCACCCCCUUGGAAUCCAUCCACUGACUUCACCUUGACCAUAAAGCCCUUGAUAUUUUCGAACUUUUUUCCAAGUUUAGCUAGAACCGCAGCAACCUGAGCUCUAUAAGGAGAUAUGACACCUACUGUCAGAUCUUCUUCUGACCCAUUCCAAGCUGCAAAGAAAAUAAAACCAUCACUACAGUGAUAUUAUUUUUGGCGGGGUGCAAAACUUCGAAAGAAACAUCUUAGGAAAAGAACUAUUAAUGGGCAUCAUAAUCUACACCUAUAUGAUUAAGUAAUACAUGCAAAAUCCAUGAGCUCAAAGCAAUACAUAUAAAAUUCUCUUGACAUACCUCUGUACAGAUUCCUCACUAUCCUCGAGAUAACUUCCACCUCAACAGGGUUUCUAAGGCUACAGCCAUCAUCACCGAUUUGUUCUUCUCCAUCAGGAAUAUUUAUGAAUGAGUAAGGGCCAAACAUCGGCCAUGGCAAACGACUUUUUCUGUAACUUUUGCUCUUCACAUUUGGCCCAUCCAAAAUUUGUUUUUGAUAAAAUUUUGAAGUCGGAAACAGACUUAUUGAUGGAUGCAUCCGAUAUUGUAUAUUGAGAAGUUGCCUCGAAUAACCAAGUGAACUCAAUCGUUCAAACAGACUCCUUCCAAAACCAGCCUGAUUAGAAACCUGUGAAAAGAAAAAACAUGAUAUCAAAUUCAACAGGCGUUAGGUAUAGAUAAUUUAGCCCAUCUAAGCUCAAAUGAAGAGAAGGAGAUUACAAAUCUUUCAAAACCAAAUACGAAGUUCCGUUUCAGAUAUUUUAACAUUACCUUGCUUUCGACCAUAGCAGGCAACUGACACUCAUCUCCAACUAAAAUCAGAUGCUUGACACCAGGGAGUUGCAGAGGAAUUACUGACUCGCAUUCUUUCAACUGGGCUGCCUCAUCGAUUACCAGUAAAUUGAGAGGCUCCAUCUCCACAGAGUACAGCUUAUAUGAACUAGAAGCUGUGCAAAAAAUCAGGGAUGCAUGUCGAUAACAGAAGUUGGCUAUCAUGUCCUCACUCACAAAGUUUGGAAGUUUUAGAUCCUUCAGAGUUUCACGAACAGUUAGCAACAUGGAAAGGCAUUCCUGUCUCUUCAUAUAUAUAUCAUAUAGUGGACCCAUGGAUGUCUCAAACGAAAACAGGCCAAGUUCAUCACGUGAAAGAGUUAUCUCCAUCAUCUCUGAAUCCAACUUCUCUCCACAUAAUAAAGAUUCAAAAGAAUUAAGCAAGUUAAAGAGGGAUGUAAUAUUCUGGAAUUUAGUUCUGGAUAUAUGAGUACAGAAAGUAUAGAGGCAUGCCCGCAGGGGCCGGACAGUUUCCUUGAAUUGGUCCCUGAAAAACUCAAGAAAUGAUUUAAGCUCACAGUUACCAUCUUCUUCACUGCUUCUGCCUUCGCUCCUAUCAUCAUCACUUCCUAGUUUCCUUCUUUUUGCGUGUUCGUUUUCCAAAAAUACGCGGUAUUGACAGACACAGUCAGCAAGAGUAUCUAUCAAGGAAGUUAGACACUGAUGCCAACCAGUGAAUUCAGAAAUGCGCUCUACACGAUGUUCCAAGUAUAUAUCUUCAAUGUCGGAAUCAACUUUCAGCCGCUCCUUGUUCCCAAAAAUAAGCGUGUCUCCAAAGUAACAGGGCAAACUUUCCAUUUCAGUGCUUAUACCACUAUCUGAUUCCUUUAGCAGCUUCAGAACACGAGUUGCCACUUCCUUGAUGGCAACAUUUGUAGGAGCACAAACAAUGGUUCUAUGUUUCCUUUUCAAGAGAGUAAGUAGCAGUGUAGCGACGGUUUUAGUUUUCCCAGUUCCAGGAGGACCCCAUAUCAGGUCGACAGAUGGCUUGUUCUCACAAUGGAGUUUACUGAGACAGGCCCCAACUGCUUUUUUUUGGGAUUCAUUCAGAUCAUGGCUCAAUCUCUUGUCAAGGCUCUCACUCUCAGAACCAUUACCUUCAGUAACACAGAGAUUAGAAACUUUAUCAGCCUGCAACCAAAAACAUAUUUCUUGUGAUAAUCCAGACCAUGUAAAUAUGGUAGAAGGUUCUGAAACUUAAUCGGUGUUAAUAUGACAUAAAGAGCAUUGCACAACACAAACUUAAAUCCCGUGAAAAAUAUAGUAUAGAAAAUUUUAAGGUCUAGUACCAAUGAGUAAGUUGCCUCCAAGGAAGUAAUUUGCCCUAUUUAAGACAUAAUUCAUUCAACUCCAUAUCAUGAAAUGGACCAACUAAAAGAAACAAUCAUCCUAAUCUAUUGAUGAAACAGUAUGGCUUAAAGCAACAUUUAUGUUAUUUUCCUAAUAAACUUACAAAUCGACAGGAAUAAAAUGAAGCUUUGAAGCUUAGAGGAAUAUAAUAGCAAUUUUAAGUCUAAAUGGACCAAAGGUACAGAAAAGGAAAGUCAUACCACCAAAUCUGUGCAGAGAACUUCCUUCAAAAUAUCCAAGUUACGAUACAUAUGCAACACCUUCCAUAUCCUUUUGUUAGUGACUAUAUUUAUCAGGAAAAUUGCAUACAUUGGCUUCCACGAAUUAUUUACUUCAAGGUUCAAUAAUGUCUCCACUUCAAAGUUUGUCGAUGACGUUGCCUCAUCCUCUUCAUCAUCUUCUCCAAUCAUCCUAACUAAUGCGAACGCCCAUCUUCUUCCGAACCUCUCCAAGUCAGGAACAGUUGCUGGCUUAGCAUCAGUUAGAAUCAAGAUAUCUCCAGGCAAAGUUUUGUAAGUUUCCUUGCCACGAGUAUUGGAUUCAUUCCACCGACUGGCCUUAACAGCAUACGAGUUCCCACUUCCCGCGCUUUCCACACAUUCAAUAAUCUCAGUGAAAGGCAGCAAAGAAAUAUUUUCCAAACUCGAGCACAGACUCGCCCGGGUUUCUUCCAGUAAAGGGUAGACGUACGAUCCGAGAUAAUCCUGGACCGACUGAAAUUGAUCCGGUAUAGUCUCCACCUACAAAAACAGCUCGGCCAAUUGUCAAAUAUGACCAACCAACCUUGACAUUUCAAAAAAUACUUUGACCAAAUUCCGUAAAACAUAACAUGUACUCCUAAAAUACCGAACGAGCUUGCUGAACAUAGUAGAAGCAUAAAGGGUUCUAUUCUACUAAGUUGAAUGCAAGAUUCUUAUAAGGCUAGGCUUAUUAAAAGCACAAUCAAACAAAAAAAAGGAACGAACUAGCAUCAUUGGAAAAUUCCCAGGUAAACACCACAUUGUCGUUGAACUUAAACGAGAAUAAAACCAAAAGGGCAUGACAAAAGGGAAAAAAAGAAGAAGCAAAGAUGAGGGAAGAAUAGAGAGAAACCUGGUCAUGGUAGAGGUUUUCGUUGAGAAUGUCAUGAAGAGACCAAGAGGAGACAAUAUCAGUCAGGUCAUUAGUACCAUGUCUCCUCCUCCUGCUCAAACCACCCUCAGCUAUCUCCACACCCACCACUCUGUUUGGGCUUCCUCCCAAACCCAUCUGAACCCACGUACCAAAAUCUUCUACUUGUUUCUUUCUCCCCUUUUCUUGCCCAUCAAAGCACCAGGGAAAAAUCGCUCUGAGGUUUCAAGAAACUUUCGAGGCAAAAAUUGGGCAAAGCUUGUACGGACAUCAUCAGCCCUUUUUUAGCUCCGAAGUGAGCAUUCUUAGCGACGAAGAAGAAUGACACGGGGAAGGCAAAGGGGUCGUCCAUGGACUCUUAAAAGAAGCAACUCGAGGUCUUUUCGUCAACCCACCAUUCGAGGUCUACGGAAGGCGAAAAGAUGGGGCUGGGUCUUCCUCUCGUCUUCCGUACACGGUCUGAUGACUUUCUUUACUGCCCAGGUGCAUGUAAAGAUUCCCGCUUUUCUCCGCUUUUUUAAUGUUUUGAUUUCUUGCAGCCUAAGCUUCGUCGACUGUUUUAUAUCGGAAGCGUAUCAUGGCAUGAGUGAAGUUAAUUUUUUAAGAUAUUAAAAUUAUUUGUUGAUACUGAAAUAAUAAGUAGAUGAAAAAAAAUUGAGCAUUCUUAGCGACGUAGAAGAAUGACACGGGGAAGGCAAAGGCUACCAAAGGAGGCGAAAAUAUGGGUGUACCUCGCUUCCGAACACGGUCUAAUGGCUUUCUUUACUGCCCAAAUGCUUGUAAUGAUUCCCGCUUUUCUGUCCGAAAGGUAUCAUCGCAUGAGUGAGGUUAUUUUUUGAAGAUGUUAAAAUUAUUUGUUGAUAUUGAAAUAAUAAGUAGAUGAAAAAAAAAAAAAGAGGAUAAAUCUUAACCAGAAAAAUAAUGACACGAAUAGUCCCUGCACUUUAAUAUAAUGUGCAAUUUGAUCUUCGAAAUUUUGAUUUGUUUAAUAUGGCUCUUGAACUUUAACCCAAUAUGUAAUGUGGUCUUUGAACUUUUCAAUUGUUUAAUGUAAUCCAUGAACUUUUGAUAAAUACUCAAUACAAUCUCCAAACUAUAUGAAAAUAUUGAAUGUAUUUUUUUAAUUGAUUCAAGAGUAGGGAUGGCAUUGAACAUUUUGAUACAAGUUCAGGAACUGUAUUGAAUAUGUAUCAAAAUUUUAUGGAUUAUAUGAAAAAAAUUAAAAGUUCAUGAACCACAUUACACAUUGGGCUAAAAUUCAGAGACCACAUCAAACAAAUUGAAAGUUUAUGGACUAAAUUACACAUUAGGCCAAAGUUUGGAGACUAUUUGUAUCAUUUUCUCUAACUAGAAGUAGACAAUGAAUGUGAACUUUCUACUUCAAUCGUUUGACUUUUAUUUUUGAGCAUCUAUAUUGAUAUAAUAUAGAAUUAAUAUCAUGAAAAAUCUUUAAUCAUCAAAAACUCUAAACCGAUACACCUGUCCCAAAUUAAUUUUUUAACUAUAAAAAACCUCAAACUUGUAUAUUUAUAAUAACUUUACCUUAUGUUAAUUUUCAUUAAAUUGGAAUAAUACCAUGAAAAAUAAUAAAUUGGUACAAAUGUGAUAAAUGAAAGGUAAAAUCUUAAAUUGGUACAUCCAUUCUAACUGCCACAUAUCAUCUAAAUCAACAAUUUAAUUGUAAAAUUUAACAAAUACUAAUAGAAAGUAAAUUUAUCACAGGUGUAUCGGUUUUUUUAUAAUAAAAAAUUAGCGAAGUAAAUUUAUCACAUAUGUACCAAUUUUGCAUUUUCUGUGGUAUUAACCCUAUAUCAUUAAAAACUCUUUCAAAGAACUGCCGGAAAACUCAAUAUUCAAAAUUGUAGAUAGUUAGAGAUGCCUCCUCAUUAGUUUUGCCAAAUUCUCAACGAAGCAAGGCUACAGUCAUAUGCCUUUUCCGUCGAGUAUUGUCAAUCAAAGAAGAAUCAAAUUGGUAAUUCCUAUCAUCUCUCAGUUACUUAUCUCCAUAAUGAGUUAUAAUAUUUAUGGACUUCCGAAACUUUAUUGAGAGUUAUUUUUAGGAAAGUAAUUGCAAUCACUAUGUUAUGAGUGGUUCUUUCGCUCUGCUUGAAGUUCUACUUCCAUUAAUUAUAAAAUCACAAAUUAUUUUCUAUGUCUUGAUUGAUUCCAUACGACAAUAUGCAUUAAAAAGUCUGCACUGACAUUGUUUCAAGCUCAGCUUGCACAAGUAUAUUCGAUAAGUGCAUUUAAAGCAUUUAGCCUUGGUUAAUACAUUCUUAUAUAAAAUGUUGAAAUAUAACAUUUCAAAAUAUUAAGAUGCGCAAGUCAUUAUCAACAAAUCCAUAUUAAAAAAAAAUGUGAGAGGAACAUCACUUUAAUAAAAGGCCAAUAGAGUAAAAGCUUUUAAAAGGCCAGUUGCCAGUCUCACAAAAUUCAACCAAUUUCGCGCCGAAAGCUAAAAAGAUGUGAUAAGUUCAGGAAUCUAUUCAUGUAUAAUGAGUCAAUGACAUGAUGAUGAAUAGAUACUAUGUUUUAAAGCUUCAAUUCAUUUGUAAUAUGUAGGGCCCAUCGUCAUCAUGCUAUAAGAGUUUUUAUGAUGUUGGCUAUAUUAAUUAAUAUUGAGAUUUACUGUUUUACAAGAUUGUCUAAUGAGGUGAGAUAUACAGAUUUUUAAUUACUCUAAUAUGACACUAGCUUGCGCGGGUUGAAUAGAGCUUGGUUUGUGAUGAGAAGAUAUGUGACUUAAAACUUUAUAUAUAAUACUCAAAUCUCUUUUCUAAUCCUGAUACACAAAUAACUUUAUAUAAAUAGUAGUUGUAGAAUGCAAUUUGUGACGCAUAAUCUCAUUGAGCCAAUAUUACAAUUAGAUCAUUUUUAUUCCACAUUAAGCAAUAUGGAUUUCAAAUCAAAUGCACAAAUCCUUUUAUCUCCAUUUAUUGUGUUCUAAAUUUUAAUUAAGGAGAUCUUCGGAUGGCUUUCACGGCUUGUAUGCACAUGGUGAACCAUUGUGUCACUACGGGGCACACCGGCUUUGCUUCCCAAAUGCAGGCGACGCACUAUGAAAUGCUUCGUCCCGAGGCAUCAUGCGACAGAGCCUUUUUUUCUCGAGCCUGGGUGGGUCGUUGUCUCCUCGUCCUCCCUACAUCCUCGUCCCGAGGCAUCAGCGCAAGUGAUUGGGGAAGAGAUUUAUAAUAGAAAUAAGAAGUAGAAAAAAUAUCUUAUCGUUUUCAGGAACAAUUUUUGGAAAUAAGUCAUUUUCUUUCUUUUCUUUUUUUCUCCUUCCUCAUGCCGCCACCACCGUCUGCCAUCGCUCGCCGCCUAUCUCCGUCCAACAACCAGCUAGAGGAGGAAGAAGAGGAGACGGGAAAAAAAAAAAAAAGAGAGAAAAAAUCUAUAAAAAAUUAUUAAAAAAUUAAAAGAAAUUCUACGGCACAAAAAAACUUGUGGGUCGUACUAAACACAUUCUUGCUUUUUUCUAUUGUGAAAAUAAAAAUUUUAUAUAGUUACCAAAUACGUUAUUUUAUUCCAAAAUUACUCCAGAGAAUAGAAAUAGAAAAUAAUUAUUUUAAAAAAAAUUGUUUCCGAUAAUAGAAAUGUUACCAAACAUGUUUGGUGGAUACAUUCCUUAAUGAAGUCAAUAUUCUCGGACAUUAUUAAAGUUAUCUAAUGCACAAUGCGCUGGCUGUCGUCUAGUAAAUCGUAUAGAAAAAAGAGAUGUGAAAUGAGUGUCACUUUAGAAAAAGUCAGAAGUUCUUUCGACAUAUAGCAUAUAAAAAGUCACGCUGGCAAUCUCUCGUUUCAUUCGCAAAGCCAAGGAAAAUCUCCCAUUAACCUUACAUACUCAAGUAGUGCCCUCAUUGAGACAAACGAUAAGGCAAACACAUCUAUGUUUGAUGUAAAAGUCCACGAAAUGUUCUAUCAAGUUCAUGUGGAACAAAUGUCUGAAACAUUGGUACAGACAUCCAUAUUGAUAGAUUAUUAAAAAUCUUUAAAAGGUUUGCCCGAAAACUCGACACUUAAAAUUGUUAAUAGUUAGAGGCACCUCAUCCUUAUUAUUUUUGUCAAAUCCUCGACAAAGCGAGUUGCUAUCAGACGUCGUUUUCUAUCAAGUAUUGUCAAUCAAAGGAGAAUCGAUUGGGUAAUUCAUAUCGUCUCUUAAUUAUUUCUCUCCAUAUGGACUUCCAAAACUCCAUUGAGAGUGCGUUUCAGAAGAGUAAAUGCAGUCACUAUGCUAUGUUGUGGAGUGUCGCUCUUUCACUUUGCUUUCAGUUCUAUUUCUAUUAAUUACAAAAUCACAAAUCAUUUUCUACGUUUUGAUUUAUUCGGGACAACAAUAUGCAUUAAAAGGUCUGCACUAACAUUGUUUCGAGCUCUCCUUGCACGAUUAUACUGAAUAAGUGCAUUUAAAACAUCCAGCUGUGGUUAAAACAUUCUUAUAUAAAAAUGUUGAAAUAUAAUAUUUUGAAAUAUUAGCAGAAUCCUUAGAUUUUUAUCGUUAUCUAGCAUGAUGCGUGGAUCGUAAAGAUGGCACGAGAUAAUCACUUUAAUAAAAGGUCAAUAGAUGAACCAGAAACAAAAUUACCCUGCUAAAGAAUGCUGAAAAUGAUUGGGUGAGAGAGGAACAACUUUUGAAGCAGAUGACAAAGAUAUACUUUAAAAAUUUGUAUGAGUCAGUGGGGUGUCGAGAUUUUCAACCUAUCCUUCACCAAAUUCCAACCUAUGUUGAUGAAACGAUGAACCAACAGCUAGUAAAAUCUAUUACUUUGGAGGAGAUUACGGCUGCAAUGCAACAAUUAGGAACUACUAAAGCUCCAGGACUGGAUGGGCUUAAUGGACUCUUCUUCAGGAAUCACUGGCUAGCUAUAGGCCAGGAUAUUUUUAGGGAGGUACAGAAUUUUCUUGAUAUGGGUUAUCUAAAUCCAGACAUGAACAGAACCCAAAUCACCCUAAUUCCUAAAAUCCCGAACCCCGAAAAGCUUGAACAAUUUUGCCCAAUCAGCCUAUGCAAUUUUGUCUACAAAAUCAUAUCCAAAGUAUUAACCAAUAGACUUAAACCUCUGCUACCAAGCCUUAUUGCUGAAGAACAAAGUGCUUUUGUAAGGGGUAGACAAAUUCAAGAUAAUAUCCUCAUUGUGCAGGAAGUACCCCAUAGGAUGCGAACUCGAGAGAGGAAAAGUAAAUUCCAAGCCAUCCUAAAGUUAGAUAUGUAGAAGGCGUAUGAUCGGAUUGAAUGAGACUUCCUUCGAGAAUGCUUAAUCAAGAUGGGUUUAUGUGAUAAGUGGGUACAAUGGGUGAUACAAUGCGUUUCAACGGUUUCAUUUAGUAUCAAUUUCAAUGGGGAACUCCUACCUUCAUUCAAGCCAACCAGAGGGAUUCGAUAGGGUGACCCACUAUCCCCUUAUCUCUUCAUUUUAGUGGCAAACACCCUCUCUAACCUGAUGAAGCAAGCUGUAGUAGAUGGUACACUCCAAGGAAUCAAGCUGAAUAGAAGUUGUCCUACUCUAUCACACUUGCUAUUUGUGGAUGACUCAAUUUUCUUUCUCAAUGGAACCAUAUUAGAAUGCCAAAAUCUGGCGGCCAUUUUACACCAAUAUUGCUUUGCAUCAGGCCAGGCUAUUAAUCUUAAUAAGUCAGGCAUAUAUUUUAGUAAAAGCCGUCCAGUGAACUUGAGAAGAAAUAUGGUUUCAGAAUUGAGAGUUCCAGAGAUAGAGAAAACAUGAAAGUAUUUAGGAAUUCCUUCGGAUUAGGGAGUCUCGAAGAAAGAUAUGUUCGCUUGGAUUCUAGCUAAGUUAAUAUGAAGUUGGAAAGCCAAAAGGAUAAUUUGUUGUCAAAAACAGGGAAUGAAAUAUUGAUUAAAUCAGUGGUACAGGCCAUUCCUCAAUAUGCAAUGUCCAUUUUCAAAAUCCCUGUUUCAAUUUACAAAUCUAUUGAGAAGAAAAUUGCCAAUUUAUGGUGGAGAAAUAGUAACAAAUCUGCUGGGAUUUAUUGGAAAAAAUGGGAAACUCUGAAACUUAGGAAGGAUGAGGGGGGUCUAGGCUUCAAAGAUUUACUUGCCUUCGAUACAAGUAUGUUAGGGAAGCAAGCUUGGCAUUUUUCACAACAACCUCAGUCCCUGCUAAGCCAAGUGAUGAAGGGUCUCUAUUACCCACAAGGUGAUUUUUGGAAAGCUAGAAAAGGUUCCCAACCUUUGUGGGGAUGUCAAAGCAUUAUCCUUGGAAGAGACUCUAUAUCACCAUUUGUUAUGUAUUCGGUGGGAAAUGGAAAGAAAAUUUCGAUUCGAGAAGAUAAAUGGUUGAGAAGUAGACUCAUUGGUGGCCCAGCAACAAAAAAUGAGCCGGUUAAUGUGGCUGGACUAAUAGAACCAGGAACUGGGAAAUGGGAUGAACCAAGGGUAAGAUCGUUGUUUGAUGAUCAAAGAGUGAAGGAAAUCCUAGCAAUCCCUAUUGGACUACCUACUACAGAAAACAAAUUGGUCUAGAUGAACAACAAGUCAGGGUCCCAUAUAGUUAAAGGCGGUUAUUUCACCACUAGAGAUGGAUCAGCUAGCACACAUACAAUAACAGCAACUUCAUCUCACCAAAUGAAACCUCAACUUUGGAAAUAUAUUUGGCACUUCGGAACUCUACCCAAAGUCAAAUUAUUUCUCUGGAAUGCAUGUCAAAAUGCAUUGCCCACACUGGAUAACUUGCACAUGAGAAGAAUAAUACCUGCCCCAUUAUGUCCCAUAUGCAAACAAGAAGUUGAAACCAUUGAACAUACCCUCUUGCUCUGCCCAUGGACAACUCAAAUAUGGUGCGCUACCUCCCUGCAAAUCAAAAUAUCAAGAUUUGGUUUAACAAGACUCGAUGAAUGGCUGUGCAUGUUAAAAUAAGACCCACAAGGAGAUCUGAAGUUCGACCUAACCGCAACAACCUUAUGGUGCAUAUGGAAAGAUAGGAAUCACUUCAUUUUUGGACAACGUCCGCUGCAUCCGCAACAAACAUUGUUCAAAGCCUUAGCUCUACACGAGAACUUUGUCACGUGGAACCGAAAACCAAAGGGAGAGAAGACAAGCGAGACCCAGACUUACCAAUGGCAAUCCCUCACCUCAGAUGUGCUGAAAGUUAACAUUGAUGCCUAUUUUGUCCGGAAUGAAGAAGCGGCUACAACUUCUGAGGAGAACAAGGGAUCGAACGAAGAAGCGACUGCAAUUUCGGAGGAGAACAGGAGAUCCAUCGCUUGCAUUUGUCGAGACUCCAAGGGGUGAAUCGUUGAUGGCUUCUCGAAGUUGGUGGUGGUUUCCUCGGCAGAACAGACGGAGGCCAUGGCUCUUCUCAAAACCCUAGAGUUCCUUUCUUCUAGAUCUGAGUUGAGGCUGCAAGUACACUCUAACUGCCUUCCGCUCGUGCAAAGUGUUCUGGCUUUGACAGAAACAAGUUGGGAAGUAGAGGCUAUCGUGGACCGGAUAAAGACCAAGCUAAAUGAAUUUUCUCGCCUUUCUCUGGCCCAUUGUAGCAGGGAGUCUAAUAGGACGGCAGAUUGGCUUGCAAAAGCCCAAAGAACUAACUGUCUUCCUAGUAAUUGGAUAGCUAAUCCCCUACCCAGCCUUUUUGAUUUGUUAUGUGCUGAUGCUUUUGAUGUAUUUCCUCCAAACUUGGCUAAGUAAAUCCAUAGUAACUGUAUUUUCAACCAAAAAAAAAAAAAAUCAAUCGAUUUCGCACCGAAUGCUAAAGAGAUGUAAUAGGUAGGGGAAUCUAUUCACAUUUGAUAUGCCAUUCACACAAUGAUAGAUAGAUAUCAUGUUCCGAUGCUUCGAUUCGGUAAAUUGUAAGACUUGUCAUCAUCGUGCAUGGUGAACCACCGCAUUGCUACCGGUGGAGGUAUCAAAAUGGGUUUAAAAUCCAUAUUUUGACUCAUAUUUAAUGGUGUGAGUCGUAAAUGGGUUACCUUAAAUUUUAAAAACAAGCUUAAGUAGGUUAUAAAUGGGUUACUUAACAAUUUAAUUCGUCUUAAAUGUGUAUUAAAUAGGUUACGUAACAAGCUUAAAUGAAUCAUAAACAAGUCAUUUUUGUUUUUAAAAAAAAUUUCUGACUUUUUCUUAUAAUUUUUUUAUUUUUUUCUUUUCUUUUGUUUUCUUUUUCCUUUUAAAAAAAAAUCUUUCUUAGUUGGUGGCUAUCAUGAAGACAAUUGGCAAACGGCCACAGACAAGCUCGUCGACCUUUGGCACUGGCGAGGCUCAAGCCUUGUCAAUUUGGAGAGACUUGAGCUAGCUAGAGGUCAUCGAGCACUAGGGGCUAGCAAGCUCGAGCUCGCAAUCCGACCUCUAGCAAGGCUUGAGCUUGCCAACAUCGAGUAAGAGUUUAGCCUUGUUAGAUCUGGAGAGGUGGAGCCUCGCCCUCCACUCUUGCCCAAGGCAGGCUCAGCUCGGCUAGAUCCAACUUUGGUUGAUUUUAAAUUGUGAAUAUCUAUAUUGAUGUACUAUCACAAAAACUUCUCACAGGAUUGCCUGGAAACUUGAGACUUCAAACCAUAGAUAGUUAGAGGUGUCUCAAAAAAGUGAGCCGCCAACUACUUGUUAUCUGAACAAUUGAAUAUGUUUAUUAUUGAGUUCUUUUUUUUUCUUUUUAUCAAAAGAGAAUCAAUUACAUAAUUUCUACCGUCUCUUAAUUAUUUUUGUCCCUAACGAGUAGACUAUACAAAUACUAUUGAGUGUGAUUUUAUUUUUCACUUCGUUUUAAAUUUUAUUUGAUUUAUUAUAAAGUCACCACUCAUUUUCUAUGUUUCAUCAAUUCAAUAUGACAAUAUGAAUAUGCACUUACUUUGUUUCACGUAGUUCCUUACACAAUGGUCUUCGAUAUUCCACAUGUCCAACUUUGGUUGGUACGUUCCUUGAUAAUGUCAGAGUAUGAUAUUCCCAAACAUUAUUAAAGUUAUCUAACGUGCAAUGCUCGGAUUGUUGUCUAGUAAAUCGUACAAAAAAAGAAACGCAACAGGAAUAUCGCUUUAGUAAAAGUCUGAAAUUCUUUAGACGAACGGCUUUUCAAAAAGCCACGUUGGCAAUCUCACAUUUCAUUCGCAAAGCCGAGGAAAAUCUGUCCCCAUUAACCUCACAUAAUUCUACAGUUCCUAUUAUUGAGACAAAUGACGAGGCAAACAUAUUUAUGUUUGACGUAAAUUCCACAAAAUGGUAGAUCAAGUUCAUGUUGGACAAAUGCCUGGAACAUUGGUACAGACGUAAGAAUUACUGGUCGACCUAGAGUGACCCCCUGAGAAGUAUAGAUAUUUCAAUAUUAUGACUACAGUCUACAUUAGACUUGGGAAUCUAUAAUAUGUAUUGUCUGAAGAGGCCAUGAGAACCACGACACCCGAUUUUAAUAAUAAUUAAGUAUGCACAUAAACGAUGUCCAUAACUCGUAAUUUAUCAAUCGAAGAAAAGGUAGAAAGAGAUUUCUUCCAUCUUGGAGGAAAGUAUAGCCUUAUCCAAUGUUCAGCCUAACAUUUUAUCUUACUAUAAGUGGUCUUUCAACAUGUGUAAAGGAGAUGAAAUCAGUCCCACUUACAAAAAUUUGGGAUUCAAAAGUGCCUGAAUCUGGCUCGAUUACAAUUUAUGAUCAUGUUAACGAGUGGCCAGAUUUUUGUUUAUCAUUCGUCAUUUAAUCUGAUAUCGCAUCAUCUGCAGCACAAUUAUGUAUGUGCCGAAAAAAAAAAAAAUCUUUCGUAUCGUGACAAUUUUACAUUACAUAUGAGAAGUCAAAUCAACUCUGAAAAGCCAAUCAGUGUAUAUGGCGCCUGGAAAUGGAGUCCUGAAAUUUCAAUGUCUUGAGGGACAUCAACAAGCUGCCUCUUUGCGUUGCUGGGUGUCCCAUCCCUCAGUAUCUCGAAGUUGAUCCCGUAAUUGGAACUCGAACCGGCUUCUUGAAGGAGAUCGUUUUCGCGCCAUGCAUGUUGACCGUGAUCAUCGAUGGCCGCCGACAUUUGCCCCAACUAAGCUUUGCUUAGCAUGCCUCUUAUCCCGCUGGGCCCUGAUGGCCUAACAUGGUACCUAGACCUGAUUUUGGUACUUUUAGUUCCCUUCUUUGAGUAGAUUGCUUUCGCUAUACAGGAAUUUGAGAUCUGCAGUGCUUAUGAUAUAGGUUUGAGCAGCUUUCCUCCAUUCAGAAGUUACCAGAUCUCUGGCCUUGACUGUCUUUAAGCAUCGAAUAGGGCCUCCGCCUAUUUCAAUGGCCUAGAAGACAGCCACUUCCGCGGCUUGCUCUGCACACCCUGGUUUAGAAGUUUCAGAGGCUGAGUGAAAGUUUUCAGGUUUCAGUUGUCCAUCAACACUUGGCCCCAGCAAAAGAAGCCUAAAUGAGAUAUUGCUCAAUUUAUCUGGUCACACUGCCCACAUACUCUGUUGAUGUUAUAAUCCUAAACGAUGGAUAUGCAUUGCCGGCACAAAGCUAUUUGAUUCCAACAUUCUACUAGGGGAAUGUCGCUCAACCAAGGGUGUCCACACGACUAGUGGUCUGAAUCCGAGAUGCCAUCAUCUUUGGUGGGAACGAUACAUAUAUGACUAGUUGCAGCCUAAUCUGUUGCCUGGUGCUACCAAGUAAACCCUCGACUACAUUCCGUCGAGCCAUGCCAACUUAGGUUGAGCUUUUGUGGACUCCUGAAGGGCAAUCUUGUGAAGGGGGACUCCUUAGGUUAGGCUAUCCCUUGGUGGGAGUUCGCAUGACUUUCACGCCCAUCUGGAAUUUGUCCUCCAUGCCGCAACUUCCAUCGACCUGCGUAUCAGGCCCAAUCUGCACGAUACUUUCUUCUCUAGGGGUGAGGUCAUAUGAUGCCAUUGCCAUGCGCUCGUGCAUGAGAAAAAUCCCUUAAAAGUAGGCCGCGAGCUGAUCGGUUGCUUGAGAAAGAAGCCUAAUGCCAUCUGCACAGGGUCGACAGUCCUGCAUCUUCUUGGAGUAGCCCUUCAAAGAUGAUGAUUCAAGAUCAGAUGAGCCUCAAUGCGGGCCAUGGGAUGGACAGCUAGUUAUUGUUCUACAAUGAUAGUGACAUGCUAGCCCCUUUGAUCGAUAUAUGUCGAGCAAAUCUGCGUGAAGAGCCUGAUCGAAGAGGUCCUUGUCUACUUUCAUCGUUUCCUUUUUUUUUCCUAGAAAUCUCAUUCAACCAAAUCCGCUUGUUAUUGUUUUUCAAUGUACUAGCACGGAACAGAGUUCCCUGCUACUACAUUGCGAACAAGUUGGUAACUAUCACAUACCAUGUUGGUAACUUGUUCAUCUAGUUGUGUAUGGGUAACUUUCAACAGGUUAAAACAAAUAUCAAAGUUUAUUUAUUCCUCAAAUUUACCAACUAUUUUAAUAAUCUACCCACAUUUACUUUUGUGACUUACCAACCAUUUGAAAUUACUAACCAACCCAUUUGAAAUUACUAAAUCUUAAUUUGAUUGAUAUACCAACAUUCAGUUAUCAACUUGUUAUAGAAACUGAUUUCUUUGUGAUUUACUUGUGAUUACCAAUGCUUUCGAAGCACUGACUUCAUUUAAAAAUUUCCCACUUUAGUUUCACUGACAUAUCACCAUUCAUCACGUUAACAAAGUGCACCACAACAGCAAUGGGGUACAAGCCAAGCCAGGCCGGCCGGCAGCCCCCCAUCCCGGACGCCCUAGCUGAUGAUGAUCUACCGGACGCCCUAGCUGAUGAUGAUCUAGGGAAUGUCCACUUUCCCGGCCGUGCACUUCUGCAGGCGUAUCGCCGCCGCAUAGUCCCCAUAGGCCUCAUGCCCAGAGAAGUAGCCUGUUCAGAGAGAAUGAGUACUUCAGCGUGUCCCUGCCAGAUUCAAGCCCAAAGGUCCUUGUCUGAUCGGACAUAGCAUUGUAAAAGCCGUAGCAAUACGCGGCCUGGUCGGUGUUAUGCUCGAUGAUGCUGCCCAAGAACUGAACUGCCUUGCUCCUAGUGUUCAUCCAGGCCGGGACACCCCACGGUAGGUCGCCACCCGGCCCCCUUAGGGCAUCCCUGGGUGGGAACAGCCCCCCGGCCUCCAUGGCAUUGUCCAGUAUCUCGAAAGUCAGGCUGCCUCCCAUGAGCCGGAACAGUUUCCAGUAGCUGCCCGCCACCCUCGUCUCGGGCUCCAUAGCUGGGAGUCUCGCCGCCGCAGAGCUCGUGCAGAGGCACGAAACAUGCUGGCAACGUUGGGACCCGUCGCCACAGCCUGCUUCCUCGAGAUGUACACCGUCUGAUGAAUUUUCCUAUAGCACGAAUGCACGUAAAAACUACUUCUUUUCCGUCAUUCCACGCCUGGGUGGGUGGAUUCAGCCCUCUCUUUUUCGGACCAGGCAAGUCCGAUUCAGGCAAAAGAUUUUAGAAGAAAAUGAUGAGAAGAACCGAAAAAGAAAUCUUGAAUUCUUGCACCCCUAAGCUUUCUACAUGUACUAGGCCUGUCUGCUGUUUUUUCCUGUCCGAAAUGUAUCAAGUCAUGGGUAAAUUUUACUUUUCAAGAACCUACCUAUGCUGAAAAUGAUUUGAUCACUUCGCAUUUAAUAUUGUGCAUCUAUAUCUGUCUAUUGUUACAUACGCUUUCCAAAGGAUUACCUAGAAACUUCAAGACUUAAGCAAUAGAUGAUUAGAGAUGACUUCUCCUUAUUAGUUUUGCCAAAUUCCUAAACAAAAAUAGCACCUAAACAAUUUGACGUGUUUUCCAUUCCAGUAUUUUUAAUUGAUACAAAAUCAAUUAUGUAAAAUUCUACCCUCUCUCGAUCAUUUCUCUCCAUAACCAAGUUUAAUAUUUACGGACUUUCUAAAUGUUAUUGAGUGGCCCACUUCAGAAAAAUUAAACAUAGUCAUAAAUUAUCUAAAUAAUAAGCUUUUAAAAAAUUGAAUCGGUAAUUUCACACAAUUUAAAAAGUUUCAUAUGAACAACUGAGCAAAAUCCAUUGCAUAAAUUUACAUAUUUCUAUAUAUCAUUGAGUUUAUUGAGACAAAUAUAUCUAUGCGGACAUAAAAGUCCAUGAAAUGAUCUCUUGAUUCUACUUUCAGAGUGAACCCCUUUAAAAACCCCCCCCCUUCUCAAAAAAAAAAGAAAAAAAGGACCCGAAUAUUUUAAUUAAAAAUUCGGAUUUUCUCUAUCAGUCUAGUAAAAUCCAGCAUUCAAACCCGCAAUAUGAGAAGGAAACCCGAAAUCCUGCGCUCGUUCUCCUGAAUCCUCCUGCGCCGUGCUUCCGCCGCACCCCGCCGGUCCCUCCGUCCGUCCAUAACCUGAAGGCUUCCUCUCUCUCUCCCUCAGCCCCUCUCGUGAAAUCUCUUCCUCCGCAAUUUCGUCGUCGCCGGCGUCUCUCCGUCGCCACCUCGCCGGACGCGCGAAUCCCUAAUUCGCGGCGCGCGGCUGUCUCCGGCGCUCCUCUGUGGCGGAACCUCGCCGACUGCUCAGCGCUAGGAACCCCUGCGGCAGGAAAUUCGAGGGAUGGACGUGAUCUCCCAGCUGCAGGAAAUUUGGGGACUCUGUGCUCGUUCUUGCAGAGGACGUGAGCAGAUUUCAUUCAUAAAUGUAUACUAUGGAAGUUCUCAUCGGUUGAUCACGGAUGUGAUGGGUAGUUCUGGAGAUGUAAUGCGAGUUGGGCAUUUGGUUCAUUUUUGUGUAUGCCUCCAUGUGUGUUAGUUAUUCCUACAGAAGAAAACGGGACCUUCUCCACUUUUUUCUUGUGGAUUCUGUCGGUGGAUAUAUCUGCCACGAGUAUCUCAGUGUGCAUAUGUACAUAGAAUGUGCUGUGAUUUGUUUUACACGAGUUGAAUAAUCUUUUGACUCAUGUGUGUGAAAUUGUUAUGCACAUUUGAAAGAGCCACCACUCUUGUGUAAUCACGACUAUCGUUUCUUUCAAAUGUGUUUCUGCAUCUUAAAGUCAGUAGAAUGGUUUGAGAUUGUAACUCCAUCAGCAUUCUUGAUCUUGAGUAAGGUGGAUUGUUGGUUUCUGAUUUCUAUCUCAUUCACUUUUGUUUUACUUCAUGCUUGAAGUAAAAUGAUGGUCGGUGUGACAUCCUAAACUCUGCGACAUCAGUAUAUUCUCGCGGGUGAAAGCAAUUAGCCUCCAUUUUAGAGAUGAAGCAUUAUGCUUCAAGUUAUAAAAUUCGGUCUCUUUUCCACCAUUUGCUUUGGCAAUCUGGAUAAAGUUCUAUCGGAACUCUUUUUCUUUCGCAGUUUGAUGCCUUAGUAGCGGGACUUCCACUACCUGAGGGAGGUGAAGAAGCUCAACUCAAAAGGAUUGCAGACCUCCAGGUUAAGAGGAUCCAUGGUUUUUGGCAUCUUUAGUUCAUUAUUUCUGUUGUUUAAGGCUGUUUCUUAUUCAUUCCAAAUUACCUUUGCACAGGCUGAGAAUGAUGCUGUAGGACAAGAGCUUCAGAAGCAACUUGAAGCUGCCGGUAAUUGCCCUAUCGAUGAGGGUGUGAGGGCAUUUGUCUCUUUCACUUAUGUAUGUCAAUUUUUGGUCGAAAGUGAUAUCUUCUAUGAUUUUUGGCAUUGGCAGAGAAGGAAUUGAAGCUGGUCCAGGAGCUAUUCAGCCAGGCAACAGAUAACUGCUUCAAUUUGAAGAAACCAGAAUAAAAAUUGAGGACGCUUCUCUUCUUUACCUUUUUUGUAAAAUUUAUGCAGUAGAGAUGAUGACUCAGAGAAAUAGGCAUUCUACUGUUCGAAUAGUGCAAAGAGACCUGAGAUGUCACAACUCUGUACGGGUGAGUUUUGAAGUCCUUGCCGAGUAAAAGUUUCUCGGUGCACAAAAAGCAUCAAUAUGGGCAUCAAGUCAACCAAACAAUCACUCAAAUGAAGUAGUUCUGGCGAAGUAAGAAGUCUAGUCUUGAAUCUUUAAUUGCAAAAACAAACUAUAAUGUUACAUUAGCAAUGGAAAGUUCUCUGUUUUGUUGUGCACCUUCCUUCCCUCUGAAGUUUUCAAAAAUUGCUUUGUUACGUUUUGGUCCUUCUGAGGAAGGUCUUGGUAUCGGAUGAAGCAUGGGCUUGUUUGCCCUUGCAGUGUAGAUCAAGAAUCAAGAAGGCAACUUUUAUAGUUGUGAAGUUCAAGAAAUCAGAGUUUUCCGUGUCUGAACGAGAGUGGAGAAAAGGGCGGGCUUCGACUUUGAACACUAGACCCCUUGUGGGCGUGUGUCGGGUUAUGGCUAGCUUACCCUCUUUAGGGUGCUCUUCUGGCAGGCUUCGUGGCCCCAAAUAAAGGGCCCAACCAUUAGUUUAGAACUCUCCCAGAGUGUACGUAAACAGCCAAGAGAAUAGUAUAUCCUCUUCUCCAAAAGGGGCAAUGAGAAUGCUCGGCUUUCUGGUUGAACUGCCCACAUUGUUGGUGUUGUUAGGAUCCCAGAUGACGGACAUACAUUGCUGGCCUCUCUGGGCCACGUGAGCAAAGGGUCAGAAACCGAGGUUGCCAAUGUAUUUGGUGGGUACUUGGCAUCGAUGGCUUGUUAUGGCCUAAUUUGUUGCCUGCUGCUACCGACUAAACGAUCCACUACAUUUUGGGGGAUGGUGCUAAAUUGGAUGUACUUUUGGGCUAGGGAGAGGAAUUCUUCCUCACGAAUAUUAGUCUUACACCUAACAUUGGCUUUUUCAAUCUCAUUAAAUAUUUAUGGAUAGUCCAGGUUGUUGCCUUAUCUCUUGGUCAAAUCAGCCACUGAUACUCCAGGAUCAGUUUGAGAGAAGUAUGUCUGGAACUGGACUUGCAUGUCCCACCAAUUUCAAAUGGAACUCGUGGGCAAACUGAGGUACCACUUUGAGGGAAACCGCAUCAACAUAUAGGACCCUUAUCAAUUGAUGUUGGACAAUAUUUGAGUGGCAUGUGGAAAUAUGCAAUGAGGGAGGCAUAUAGGGGCCCAUUAAAAUUUGACUUGGAACUUCCUAUUCAGAUAGUCAAAUCCAAAACUUAAGCUAUUUGGUGGAGAAAACCACAAGAAUAUAUAUAGCACAUGAGACCAAUUAUCAAGUAAUGUGUGACAAUAUUUCAACAGCUAUGAUUUCACAUUCACAAGUGAACAUAGUGAAUUAAGGCACUUCAUACUUUCUAGGGACAGGUCGAUGUGAUCAAGGAAUGAUUUCCUAGACAAAAGCCUUUAGUAUAGGUCCAUGCAAAUAUUUCUAUUGUCCUAGUCAGAUAUUCUUUGUCCAGAGGAUUGGGUACUCUCGGUUCAUUUUCAUCGAGUUAUUCUUCAUGGUCUUGUCAAUUUCUAGUCUCCUUGGAGGCUAGGUGUAGUUCCCCACUUUUUUUGCCAUCAUUCACAUUGACCUCUCUAGGAACCACUUGUGAUUGUUUCCUUCUCCUAACAUUAGCAUCGAAGGCCUCAGAUUAUUCAUCCAAUUCUUUAUUAGACUUUAUCCUGAAUUUCCAAAAGGUCCAAGUGAAUCAAUCGAAAAGAUAUUCCUGCACACUUUCAUUAGGAGACUGAGACGGUGGGCUUUCGUUCCCUGGACCAUCCCUAGCCGGGGAGGCUUUUGUUGGGUUAGAACCCAACUUUUGGUUAUUGGAGUAGUUGGCUUCACAACGGUGAAGCCCAAACAUGCUUCCAGUACUUCGGCAAGACAUUCUAUUCUCCAAUAGUGGUCGCCAUAAAAACAUGUAAGGUGGACUUUUCACAAGAUUGUGAUCCCCAUAAACUCAGUGAUUUCAAUUAGUAAUAAAAGUCCAAACGAGGGUGAUCGAUGACCAAUUAAAAUGUUAAAAUUGAGGUUGAAUCCAAAGUAAAUGAAUUCUAACGUGUCUUGAAGUCUCGAGAACUCCGAAAAAAAUGUGAAUUACUGAUGAAGCACAAACUGUAGAUUGGAAACAAGGAAAUUGAAUUGUAAUUUUGUUGAACCAGAAUGGAUGGCUUGCAUUCCUUGAGGCCAUACUUACUCGAUCACUAAAACUGAACAUAUACCAUUAAUGGCGUUCCCUAGGAUGCGUGAAGAAAGUAAAAAAAACUAACAAAACACAACAGGAAUGCUUCUAUAAACAACGACAAAUAUUGAAACUAGGAAACCUAAUAUAAAAUGAAAUUCAAAUCCGAAUUCAGGUUAAUCUGAUCUACUCUAAAUAACCUCCUCAUCUUCAUAUCUUCACAAUUAUUCUAAUGUGCUUUGGGAUUUUGUGGUGCCUCCCGUUGAUUCUUCUUUUGUCUUUUAAAUGGACAAUUGCGUUAUACAUUCUAAUCUUCCUCCACAAGAAUCAUUAAACAUCUUCGCUUGCACGCUACUCUAGGUGAUUUGCAACUGCUUUUGAUUUCUUAGCUAUGGUUACUUACCGGUAGAUUAAUCCUCCUUAGGUCAAUCUUUAACUUCUAUGCAUGUUUCGAAUCAAUUGAUAGUCACCUAGUAUCAUGCAAUUGGCUCCAAUACUGUCAAUUAGAAACUUGUGAUCGAUGAGUUCAUUAGAAGUUUCAUAUAGGCUUUGUGGGUUAAAUGUAUUGUCAUGGCCUGAUUUGAACUUAAUUUGGACUGCUAACUUCUUCACGUUUGGGCCUAAAUUUUAGCUCCGAUUUCAACAUGGGGUUAGUGGAAUAAAAGAGGAAAAGAAAAUUAAAUGGAUAUGUACAGUACAAGUCCUAAAACUUGUCAACAAAGUGCAAUUGAGUCCUAAAACUUACAAAAAGUGCAAUCAAGUCCUAAAACUUGUAAACUUGGUUCAAUUCAGUCCUUUCGUUAACACCGUUAGUUUAUGUUAACGGAAAUUGCUGAUUUGGCUUAUUUUAAUAUUUUCUCUCUCCUACGUGGCAAUUAGGGCAAGAAAAAUUGUGCACGUAAGCGAAACGACGUCGUUUUGUGGGUAUUACCAUUCUCAAAACGACAACGUCUCUCCUCUGUUUUUUUUCACGACGUCUCCUCCUCCGUUUCUCCGUUUCUUUACGACAUCUCUUCGAUUCUUCCUCUCUCGAAUCAACGAACCCUAAGCCCUAAAUCUCGCAGAUCUCUUCCCUCUUCCCCUCUCGAAUCAACGCAACCCUAAGCCCGAAAUCUCGACGCAGAUCUCUUCCCUUCUUCCCGUCUCGAAUCAACGCAACCCUAAGCCCUAAAUCUCGACGCAGAUCACCGCCUCGCGAGUUGCAGUUCUUCAUCAAACGCUGGUGCGAGUACGCGCGACACUCAUCCCACGAGAGCCUUGGCGGUGGAUCGAGCGGCGCCGACGGUGGAGGCGAGUGGAUUGAGCGGCGUCGACGAUGGAGGCGAGGUGAAUUUGUUUGCACCGCUCGCUUACUCUGUGCUUGACAGGCUGAAGUCUUUGGACCAGUUGACUCAGAUUUCUUCUCUCAUGUGUAUUGGGGAUUGUGAUUACCGGAGCCGAGUCGCGAGGAGGUCGUCCCGGAGGUGAGGGUCGAGGAUCGCAAUUCCUUGGACGAGGCUAAGCAAAGCUCUCCUGAUUACCGAGUGACAGGUCAUUUUCUGGAUGAAUCGUGCGUGCGCAUGUGUGUGGAGAAUGAUUGAUUGCACUUGCGCGAUGCAUGUCCUCCGUUUGCGUAAAUUCUUUUGCUGCUUCUUGCUGGUGUAUCCGCAGGCUAGUUGUGGGACUUUGUGUUGUUAUGAUACCUCUACAAUGGAACAGUAGCUCGCUGAUUUUGAUGCUUGAGAGAUCAUAAACGGUAAUCAAUUCGAUUGAAAACGGUUAGCUGAUGUUUCCUUAGACUUGGCUUGAAUGCGUACCUCGCUUUACGAGGAUAAUCACCCAUCCCACCACCUUGCUAGGCAUUCUAGAUGUUUAUAUAUCAAAUUUGUCCUUUGUCGUAGUAAUUCCAUUAAUUGAGAUCACAGAUGCAUGCUGAAUUUACAUUAAAACUCACUCUCAAAUUUGGUUGCUAAUUCUACUGCUUGGAACGAAUAUAGAUCAUUUAAACACUGCCUACAAAAGAACUGUCAUAGGUAUCAACUUUCAUAUGAUUGUCCUUGUUCAUAUGCCAUUGUGGAUGUCAGUUAUUUGAAUAAAUACUGAUACUGCAGUUUCACCAUCAUUCAAUUCUUGUAAUUGAUGCUGUGGAUAAUCAACAAUGCCUACAAAAGAACUAUCGUAGGCACGUUUAAAUUGAACUUCUUUACAUCACAUUGUUCAGUAAUUAUUCACUAGAAUCAUCAUCAUGGCUGAUAAAUGUACAUGACCGUUACACAGUACCUGCUUAGUGGUGUCACAUGACUAUGAAUGUUUUCAAAGAACUGUAACUUAACAGAAAUCAGUUAAAGAUUAGAUGGCCUAAUGAUAUAUUGCCUCAACAACCAGUUCUGUCAAGAAUUAUCCUCUUUUGGAAUUAUCUAUGGAUAUAACAUUUUCCUGUUCUUCCCCAUUUUUUUAUGCUUGUUGCUAUCCCAUAAUCCUUUAAGUUGAAUCUAUAGAUAUAGUUCCUUUUCACUGUCGAUGACGACAGUGAUUGCAACUGUAUGUAUNNNNNNNNNNNNNNNNNNNNNNNNNNNNNNNNNNNNNNNNNNNNNNNNNNNNNNNNNNNNNNNNNNNNNNNNNNNNNNNNNNNNNNNNNNNNNNNNNNNNNNNNNNNNNNNNGAAGUCAUUUUCUAGCUACAGGAUGAGUUGUUGGUGUUCCAAUCUUGUGAGGAGACUUACGAUCACAUCUUUUUUCAUGAUGCAUUUGCAGUAAUCUGGUUGGCAACAACUUUGCAUUGGACAACUCUGACAGAAGGUAAAUGCCUAGCGAUUUUUUGUUUAUGAUGCUUGAGAGAUCAUAAACGGUAAUCAAUUCGAUUGAAAACGGUUAGCUGAUGUGUCCUCAGACUUGGCUUGAAUGCGUACCUCGCUUUACGAGGAUAAUCACCCAUCCCACCACCUUGCUAGGCAUUCUAGAUGUCUAUAUAUCAAAUUUGUCCUUUGUCGUAGUAAUUCCAUUAAUUGAGAUCACAGAUGCAUGCUGUAUUUACAUUAAAACUCACUCUCACAUUUGGUUGCUAAUUCUACUGCUUGGAACGAAUAUAGAUCAUUUAAACACUGCCUACAAAAGAACUGUCAUAGGUAUCAACUUUCAUAUGAUUGUCCUUGUUCAUAUGCCAUUGUGGAUGUCAGUUAUUUGAAUAAAUACUGAUACUGCAGUUUCACCAUCAUUCAAUUCUUGUAAUUGAUGCUGUCGAUAAUCAGCAAUUCUGCAAAGCUCAGUAUUAGUAUUCACUAAUCAAGCCUUACGGUUCGAACCAUGACUUGGAGAAGCUAUCGCCGCUUCAAUGAUUUAAAAACUUUUAGCAUUUAAUUAGCAAUUGCAUCAUCCAUGAAGGAACCUUAAAUGUUUCAAUGAAAGUCAUAAAAAUAAAGGAAUUUUUCUUGCAAUAGAAUUAUCUGCUUUUGGUUUAGUCAUAAGUUCAUGCUGCCAUACUGGUCAACUGAAUAAAAUUUUCUUCUUUUAUCUUAGCCUUCUCCCUUCAGGAUUAAACUGUCUUCAGCAGAAUUUUCCUUGCAACAGGGGGAAAGGAAUUUGUAAGUCCAUAUAACCUUUUUCCCCUUAAUACGCUUUCCUUUUGUUGAAUGCCUCAACAAGAGGAGGACAGGAGAUUGGGUUUAUAGCUACCUUACAUAUUUCGAGGGAUCACUUCGCCGGAGGCUCCGAGAUUUGGGAAAGUUUUCAGCGGGCAGUUCAUUGCUCAGGCAUAAUUAGUUCAGUUUACUAUCACUUUCAACUCCUUUUUUGCCGAUGCAGGUUUGCUGAUGCUUGUAUUGGAGGGUUGACUACUCUCAAGGUCAUCCAUCAACAUGGGUAUGUUUACCCUACCUAUUUCUCUUUACAAGUGAAGUCAUUAGUAGUUUUUAGAUGAAAUUUUACGAUUGAAAGUGCUAUUUGUUUCUAUUCUUUUGUAGGUCCAACGGGCAACAACAAAGUUUAUCUCACUGUUUUCUUUGGAGGUAAAUUUCAAGCUGGACCGCCCUUAGAAUACGUAGAUGGAAGGGUCGAUGUUGUUGAAGUAGACAUAAGUAAGGGUUCAUUAUCCAACAUAAUUUCAGCUGUUGAGGUUCUGUGUGGGCGUAAGAUAGAAAAGCUCUUUUAUAGAGUUCCUGGAAGUACUAUUCUUGAAGAUGGAGUAACUCUUAGGUACUUAUGGGAUAACUCCAAUGUGAUAGAUCAAUUUUAUCAUCAUCUUCACUCUGAAAAUAUUGAAUUGUAUGUUGAGCACGUCGAUGAUGAAGAAACGCUUGAUGAGAUAGGGGGAGUUGAGAUGGAAACUGAAGGUUUGUUUGAUGUGAAUAUAGAAAGUGUUAAUAAUGUGGCUGAUGAUGUGUUUGAAAAUAUAAUUGGAAAUGCCGAUGGUGAUGGGAACCAGCUUGAGGGUGAAAGUAGGAAUGUGGAUGAUGAGAAUGAUGAUGCAUGUAAUUUGGUGGAUGUUGAAGAGUCGAGUGACGAUGAUGAUUUUGAAUUGGUUAAAGCAAGAAGAAAUUUAAAAGAAUUUUCAGCGAGACAUAGACUCAAAAUUGGAACUAACAUUGAAGAAACUUCUCAAUUAGACAUUGGCUCUCAAACUCCAUUAUCAGUUGAUCCUCUAAUGGUGGAUGUGUCUGGGUGCGAAACAUAGUACUAUGAUUCAGAUGAAGAAGAAAGUCUUCAUUCAGAUUUAGAUAAUGAGAGUGAAAAAGAAGAAAAUGAUGUUAUUUCAAGAAGAAGGAGUAGGUUUCCAUCAUAUGAUCGAAAUUGUAAGAAUCCAGUAUUUGUUGUUGGCAUGACAUUUGAAGAUUCAAGUGAGUUCAAAGAUGCAAUUUUGAGGUACUCAGUGGCUGAGCAAAGAGCAAUUAAAUACACCAAGAACACUACUGGAUUUGUAAAGAGCUAGGUGUGCCGAAGCUAAUUGUAACUGGAUGAUUUAUGAUGCUCUCGAUAGCCAAACUGGAUCAUUCCAUUUGAAAAAGUACAUUGAUGAGCAUAUAUGUGCUAUUACUUUUGAGAAUAAGAGAGUUUCUAGUUCUUUUUUAGCUAAACACUUCAUGAUUCUCAUUUCUGCAAUGCCUAAAGUUAAAGCACCUCAGUUGAAGAUAUUGGUUAGAGAACAGUUGGGGGUGAAUGUCACUGUGAGCCAAUGCAGGAGAACAAAGCUAAAAGUGUUAAAGGAAUUACAAGGCAAUUAUAAGAAAGAGUAUGCACUGAUGUACGAUUACUUGGGAGAGCUUUACAUUGCAAGCCGGGCGAGCACAUUUAUAAUGAAAGUUGAAAGACCACUACCAGAUUCCUUACCAUUAUUUGAUAGGACUUACAUUUGCUUUGAUGCCUGUAGGAAAUGAUUUUUGGCAGGGUGUCGGAAGAUCAUUGGAUUAGAUGGAUGUUUUCUUAGGGGAUUGAUCAAGGGUGAGUUGUUGUGUGCUGUGGGGAGGGAUGCUAACAAUCAAAUGUAUCCAGUAGCAUGGGCAGUCGUAAGAAUUGAGAAUAAGGACACAUGGAGCUGGUUUAUCAACUUGUUGAAAGAAGAUCUUGACAUGGGUAAUGGUAAUGGAUGGGCCUUAAUAAGUGACCAACAAAAGGUAUGUAAUACUACUAUCGCUCAUCUUGAAUUUGUUUGAAACAAUGUAUAUAAUGAUUUCUAAUAUUAAUGUUUUCUUUUCUUUUUUUUUAUAUAUUAGGGCCUCAUUCCUUCAGUAGUUGAACUUUUGCCAAAUGCAGAACAUAGAAUGUGUGCGAGGCAUAUAUAUUGUAAUUGGGGUCAAAAAUACAAAGGAAAGCAGUUGAUGAGACAAUUCUGGAAAUGUGCUAAGAGUACUAAUAUGUCAGAUUUUGAGGUGCAUAAACAAAGAUUGAAGGAAAUGACUCCACAAGGUCAUGAUGAUCUAUUCCAGAUUGAGCCAAAGCACUGGUCUAAAGCCUUAUUUGACACCGACAUAAAAUGUGAUGUUGUUGAUAAUAAUCUUAGUGAAGCUUUCAAUGGUAGGUGUGUGGAAGCUAGGUGUAAGGCCAUUGUGAGUAUGCUUGAAGAUAUUAGAAUCAUGAUUAUGAAUAGAAUGCACAAUCAAAGGGAUGCAUGUGCUAAGUGGACAAGGAAUUAUGGUCCAAGGAUUGUGCAUAAGUUACAUCAGAAUACAGUGGCUAGUAGAUAUUGCCAUUUGAUAUGGAAUGGAGAUCAAGGAUACGAGAUUAUGGAAAAUGGUGACAAAUAUGUUGUAGACUUCAAUUUGAAUACUUGUUCUUGUAGAGCUUGGAAAGUUAGUGGAAUCCCAUGUUGCCAUGCUAUAUGUGCAAUACACCACAAGAAAAAUGAUCCGGGUGACUACCUAGCCGAUUGCUAUAACAGGAACAAAUACUUAAGUGCUUAUCAAUUCAUGAUGCCUACUGUGAGAGGACAGAAAUUUUGGGGUAAAACUAAUAAAGAAGCCCCUCAGCCCCCACCGAUCAAAAAGAUGCCUGGUAGGCCAAAAAGGAGUAGAAGAAAGCAACCACUUGAGCUUGUAAGAGAGAACAUAAUGACUAAAGAGGGUAAGCGAAUGACUUGUUCUACUUGCCAUGUGGUUGGACAUAAUUGUAAAGGAUGUCCUCUGAGAAAGGUAUUUCUUAACUAAUUGAUUUUGUUGAUUCUAAGCCUGUUGUCUUGUCAUCAAUGCUUACUAUGUGCUUUUUAGGCCCAUGCAAAUGCACCUGAAGCUCAAUCUCAAGCCAAUUCCAGUGGAUCAAGGCCUAAAAAAAGACAAGUAUGUUGUGAUAGAUUCAUGCAUUGUAAGUUAUAAAUGUAAAGAUUUCGAUUUACUAAUGACGUAUAUAUAUGCAGGCUAAAGCUACAGCAACGGCAAGUACAACUCAAGGAGGAUCCAAAGGCCAUAUCAUUGCUUCUGCAGAAGCUAGUGCACUUGUACAGAUAAUAGUGGGCAGACAAAUUCUUCAGCCAAUGCUUUUGCAGAAGCUAGUGCACAAGUAGAAGAUACUUCUGCCAAUGCUUUUGCAGAAGCUAGUGCACCAAUUGAAGAUACUUCAGCCAAUGCUUUUGCUCAAGUCGAUGUGCCAGCAGAAGAUACUUUAGUCAAUGCAUGUACAGAACUCACUGGACCAGUGCAAGAUACUUCAGCCAAUGCUAAAGCUCAGUCUAGUGUAAAUGAAAGAGGAUGUUGGGCUACUGCUAAUGUAAGUGGAUGUAGUGGACAAGCCAAUUCUUUUGCUAAAGCUAGUGUUAAUCAACGACAAGGAUUUUUUCGUGCUCAAGCCAAUGCAAUAGCUAGCAGCAGACCUCAAAAAAUCCCGGUGAGUAAUACCUCACCAGCCAUGCAUUCAUGUGUUGUAAUUACAUUGUCACAUUCGAUUUUUUGUUUUUUUUUUCAGUUUAAAAGACCUGCCAUUGAAAUGGAAACGAUACAAGGGCAGUCACAACCGAACAAGAAAAAGAAAAUGGUAUGUUUACACAACUCCUAAAAACAACCUUCAAAUUCUCAAUGUGAGUAUGUUUUAACACUUUACAAUGGGAACUGAUUGUCUCCUUGAACUAAAAACAUACCCAUUCUUUUGUAGCCUAUCUCAACUCAUACAAGAUUAUCGAAACAAUCGGACAAAGGAGUAGUUUUAGGAGCUUCAAUGGAAAAAGCGCAUCCCCAAGCUAGUGCACAGCCUCAGUCAUCUCAAAGUGCUCUUCAAAAGCAUGUUGUUGUGAAGUCAAAGCCACCAUUGCAACUCCAGGACAGUUUGCAGCUUCAAGCAUUAAGAACUUAUCCUCGAAAGCACAUCGGUGUAAAGCCAAAGCCACCAUCGCACCCCCAGGCAAGUUCUCAGCCUCAGUCCCAAAAACAUGUUGCCAUAAAGCCGAAGCCGAAGCCACCAUUACAACCGCCAAUGAGUUCACAGCCUCAGUCAUCUCAUACUUCAAUUGCUCCCGCAAAGCCUAUUUGGAAGUGAGUCACAAAAGGCACACCAUAUACAAUUAAAAGCUCACGACUUAUGAAUCAAGCGCACGAUGAACCUGGUGGACCACCCGAGAUAGUUCAACCACCCGAGACAGUAGACUUGGAUUGACGUGCUUGCUAAAUGUGUCUUGUCUCAUGAAAGUUGCAACAAGAAAUUCUCCUUUAACAUUAUCUUGGGUGCUGUUUUUGCUGGCCAAUUUCUUAUAUGGUUUGUGGUUUGUAGUGUUUUGUAGCAAUCAAUUUUAGUGAUUUUGUAAUCACCAAAGAACGUGUUGGGACUGUGUUUAAUGACUCGUCCCUUUUGCUGUAUACAUUUGAGAAUAUCGUAUCCGUCUCUUUGCCUCUUGGAUGCAGUAGUGCAAUGUGCAAAUUUAUCUGCCUAAGAAAAGAGCACCUUUGUUUUGCAUCCGUGUAUCUGAGGCAGCAUGCCAUGGUACGUGCAUGUUCCUUUUCAGUUUCUUUAUUUGAAUAGGAGUUUUAUAUAUGUUGAGCACCUCAGUACAGUCUCCAUAUAUAUUCACAACUUACAUAAUGUCAAAAAGAAGGUUGCGGUGGAGGGAAUGUUCGGCCGUUUUGAGUUAAAAAAAACUUGUCUAUCUCUAGAUACCUUUCAUUACAUAGUACACACCGAUAUUAUCGAGACGAAUCCCCAUUAGAGAUUAUAUUUGGCAUCUAGAGCUCCUUUAACAUCAUCUCAAGAUUCUGUUGUUUCUGCAGUGAAUCGUCAUCUCGUUUCGGCCAAGAUUUCAUCGCGUACACACCGCUCACAUUGGGUGGUACCUCGUUCUCAUCCACGAAGACAUUGCCUUCGUAAGUCACUGCCCCUCCAUCUCGAACUCUGCCAUUGCCAGUUACUUCUACAAUCAAUUUCGGAAAACCAAUGCUCUCUUCACGAAUCAGACCCUCCCUUGCCUCUCCUAUCAACUUCUCAGUCCUUUCGCUUUCGAGGAAAGAAACCCUUUUGAAAGAAACCAGAGAGGGCUUGCUUGGAAAGUUCUUUCCUUUCUUCUGACGUAAAGCCAAGAAAGAGAGAGUCGUGCAAGCUAACAUUCGUCAGAAUGCAAAAGCAGUAUAAUUUGUCAAGGCAUGGAAAGUCCCGAACGGGGGGUUUGAAACUUUUAAAAAUCCAAAGAGCCGGCUUUGUCACGUAACUCCCUUUACUUCAUGCCCCAAACAGUACCUUUUUCUCUCCUUUCUAAAUGCUUUUGAUUUGAUGAAGCAAAAGUUCGAAGGGCGAGGGCAGCUUAUAUAGAGGAAAACAAGCUUCCCAGACUUCAUUUCCAUAAAUACCUGAGAGUGCUGUCUUUUUUCCUUUGAUGGAACAUUUAAAAAAUCAUCAUCCAAAUAGCAUUCACUGAAAGAACACACGAAAUUGUUUACAUUUCCACGCAACAUGAGUUUCCUAAUUUUACAGGGCAAAAGAGAAUCGGGAUAAAGUAAUUAAAUACAAACUUAGAAACAAGGUACUAUGGAAGACUUAGAAACUUCUCAUUGGCUUUCACAUUAAAUAUAAUCCCCAUAAUGAUAUAACACAUGCAUAGAAAAAAUCCCAAUUGAUAGAGCAUCUUCCCUUUCUUCACUCGUGCAAGCUCUUCCUUUAAAAGUCCAUUUUUCGCCUUUUGCGCCUUCAUUUUAGCUAUCAGUGAGCUUACAUAAUCGUCGUUGCAUCUGGAUUGGCUUGACUCCGAUAGUGCUUGAUUUCUUUCAAGCAGUUCGACUAUCAUGUCCCUCGCUUGAUCCGGUAUUUUUUGGUCAACCCACAUGAAGAAAUUGCAGCAACCUGGAUCAUCAAACUUAGCACAUCCAUAGAACCUUCUUCCUGCGUUUUUCUUUGUUUUUGCAAUAAGAAGUGGUGAUCGAAGACCACAAUAGCAGGUUAACUCUGAUUCGACCUCAUUAGGAGUUACACCACUUGAUUUAGAAGUUGUUGCCCUCAUUCUUCUUGUCGCCAUAUUAAAAAAGCAUAUCACAGUUGCAAACUAGCAAAACCUACACCAUAGGAGAAUAAAGGCAUGUUAACCUUCAAAACAAACAUGUAAUGACAACUUAUUCACAGAUAAAGACCACAUGCCUGCUGUCCUACAUUUAAUCUUAGCAUGUGUCGCAAAACUGUACACAGUAGCUAGAGACCUCUAAGACGAAAAUAUGGCCAUGCGAUAUAAAUCUUGUUUCCAAGAAUAACAUGCACAUGAAAAUAAGUUCAUGGAAACUAGAAAUCUUCUUUUCUUAACAUCAUCAAGCAACAAAAAGCAUAUCAAGCAGUGCAUUGGAUUCCAUCACAUAAGAAUUGUGUAAGCAAUGGACAAUGAGACAAAUCAUUUGGUAUCGUCAUCGACAGUGAAAAGGAACUAUAUCUAUAGAUUCAACUUAAAGGAUUAUGGGACAGCAACAAGCAUAAAAAAAUGGGGAAGAACAGGAAAAUGUUAUAUCCAUAGAUAAUUCCAAAAGAGGAUAAUUCUUGACAGAACUAGUUGUUGAGGCAAUAUAUCAUUAGGCCAUCUAAUCUUUAACUGAUUUCUGUUAAGUUACAGUUCUUUGAAAACAUUCAUAGUCAUGUGACACCACUAAGCAAGUACUGUGUAACAGUCAUGUACAUUUAUCAGCCAUGAUGAUGAUUCCAGUGAAUAAGUAUUGAACAAUGUGAUGUAAAGAAGUUCAAUUUAAACGUGCCUACGACAGUUCUUUUGUAGGCAUUGCUGAUUAUCCACAUCAUCAAUUACAAGAAUUGAAUGAUGGUGAAACUGCAGUAUCAGUAUUUAUUCAAAUAACUGACAUCCACAAUGGCAUAUGAACAAGGACAAUCAUAUGAAAGUUGAUACCUAUGACAGUUCUUUUGUAGGCAGUGUUUAAAUGAUCUAUAUUCGUUCCAAGCAGUAGAAUUAGCAACCAAACGUGAUAGUGAUUUUUAAUGUAAAUUCAGCAUGCAUCUGUGAUCUCAAUUAAUGGAAUUACUACGACAAAGGACAAAUUUGAUAUAUAAACAUCUAGAAUGCCUAGCAAGGUGGUGGGAUGGGUGAUUAUCCUCGUAAAGCGAGGUAGGCAUUCAAGCCAAGUUUGAGGACACAUCAGCUAACCAUUUUCAAUCGAAUUGAUUACCGUUUAUGAUCUCUCAAGCAUCAUAAACAAAAAAUCGCUAGGCAUUUACCUUCUGUCAGAGUUGUCCAAUGCAAAGUUGUUGCCAACCAGAUUACUGCAAAAUGCAUCAUGAAAAAAGAUGUGAUCGUAAGUCUCCUCACAAGAUUGGAACACCAACAGCUCAUCCUGUAGCUAGAAAAUGACUUCAAGUACUAUAGAGCAUCCCAUGAGCAAUAAAAGAUUGAUAAAGUGCAAAAGAAGAGUCCUCACUUUAGAUAUCUAACUAAAAGUAUAAAUUAUCAUUUUCCGAAUGACAAAAAUACAUACAGUUGCAAAUCAUUGUCGUCAUCGACAGUGAAAAGGAACUAUAUCUAUAGAUUCAACUUAAAGGAUUAUGGGACAUCAACAAGCAUAAAAAAAUGGGGAAGAACAGGAAAAUGUUAUAUCCAUAGAUAAUUCCAAAAGAGGAUAAUUCUUGAUAGAACUGGUUGUUGAGGCAAUAUAUCAUUAGGCCAUCUAAUCUUUAACUGAUUUCUGUUAAGUUACAGUUCUUUGAAAACAUUCAUAGUCAUGUGACACCACUAAGCAGGUACUGUGUAACGGUCAUGUACAUUUAUCAGCCAUGAUGAUGAUUCUAGUGAAUAAUUACUGAACAAUGUGAUGUAAAGAAGUUCAAUUUAAACGUGCCUACGAUAGUUCUUUUGUAGGCAUUGUUGAUUAUCCACAGCAUCAAUUACAAGAAUUGAAUGAUGGUGAAACUGCAGUAUAAGUAUUUAUUCAAAUAACUGACAUCCACAAUGGCAUAUGAGCAAGGACAAUCAUAUGAAAGUUGAUACCUAUGACAGUUCUUUUGUAGGCAGUGUUUAAAUGAUCUAUAUUCGUUCCAAGCAGUAGAAUUAGCAACCAAACGUGAAAGUGAGUUUUAAUGUAAAUUCAGCAUGCAUCUGUGAUCUCAAUUAAUGGAAUUACUACGACAAAGGACAAAUUUGAUAUAUAAACAUCUAGAAUGCCUAGCAAGGUGGUGGGAUGGGUGAUUAUCCUCGUAAAGCGAGGUACGCAUUCAAGCCAAGUUUGAGGACACAUCAGCUAACCGUUUUCAAUCGAAUUGAUUACCGUUUAUGAUCUCUCAAGCAUCAAAAUCAGCGAGCUAUUGUUCCAUUGUAGAGGUAUCAUAACAACACAAAGUCCCACAACUAGCCUGCGGAUACACCAGCAAGAAGCAGCAAAAGAAUUUACGCAAACGGAGGACAUGCAUCGCGCAAGUGCAAUCAAUCAUUCUCCACACACACGUGCACGCACGAUUCAUCCAGAAAAUGACCUGUCACUCGGUAAUCAGGAGAGCUCCGCUUAGCCUCGUCCAAGGAAUCGCGAUCCUCGACCCUCGCCUCUGGGAUGACCUCCUCGCGACUCGGCUCCGGUAAUCACAAUCCCCAAUACACAUGAGAGAAAAAUCUGAGUCAACCGGUCCAGAGACUUCAGCCUGUCAAGCACAGAGUAAGCGAGCGGUGCAAACAAAUUCACCUUGCCUCCACCGUCGGCGCCGCUCGAUCCACUCGCCUCCACCGUCGGCGCUGCUCGAUCCACCGCCAAGGCUCUCGUGGGACGAGUGUCGCGCGUACUCGCACCAGCGUUUGAUGAAGAACUGCAACUCGCGAGGCGGUGAUCUGUGUCGAGAUUUAGGGCUUAGGGUUGCGUUGAUUCGAGAGGGGAAGAGGGAAGAGAUCUGCGAGAUUUAGGGCUUAAGGUUCGUUGAUUCGAGAGAGGAAGAAUCGAAGAGAUGUCGUAAAGAAACGGAGAAACGGAGGAGGAGACGUCGUGAAAAAAAACGGAGGAGAGACAUCGUCAUUUUGAGAAUGGUAAUACCCACAAAACGACGUCGUUUCGCUUACGUGCACAAUUUUUCUUGCCCUAAUUGCCACGUAGGAGAGAGAAAAUAUUAAAAUAAGCCAAAUAAGCAAUUUCCGUUAACAUAAACUAACGGUGUUAACGGAAGGACUCAAUUGAACCAAGUUGACAAGUUUUAGGACUUGAUUGCACUUUUUGUAAGUUUUAGGACUCAAUUGCACUUUGUUGACAAGUUUUAGGACUUGUACUGUACAUAUCCAAAAAUUAAAUGCAACGUCUUUCCAUGCCAUCGAGAAUGAAGAAAGAAAGAUUGCCCUUUAAGUUUUCCGGUGUUGGUUGAAGAUCCCCCCCCCCGGGGGGGGGGGGGGUUGGGUUGGGGAGAUCGAGAUACCUGAUGAAAUAUGUCCACGGCUAAUGCUGCACACUAUUCCUCAAGUAAAUCAACUUCUCCAUCGCAAGUUUCAUGCUAAUAAAGCCGUGAUUUUGGAAAAAUCUCAAAUAGAGAUAUGAAAUGCCCUCUUUUUACUCAUAAGAGGAAUAUAGUCCAUCUCAAAUAAAGAUCCAAAAUAAUUAUUUGGUCUCAAAAAAGGAUCUAGCUCAUCGACGGGCGAACAAAAGCAUCUCCCACGUCUGGUCAGGGAUAAUUUCAUCCAAAAAUAUUCUUUUUUCGUUUUCGUUUACCCUGUUCAUUAUGUCUAAUGCUAUAUACUAUUUCUCAAGUGAAUCAACUUCUCCAUUGCAAGUUUUGUGCUGUUAUUGGCUUGUUAUGCUUGUCUUUGUCCGAUGGUCAUAUGCAAUUAGGCAUCCGGGCUAGUUGGGCAAAACCAACAUAGGGUACUUGGAUUGACAAUGCUCAAGUCGAAAAGUAAUCAUUAGUGCUCAUUAUAAAAAUUGCUAUGGACAAUGCUCAACUCUAAAAGGAGCAAGUGUUGCUCAUUAUAAAAAUUGCCGACAAAUUGCUUGCCAUUUAGAUGUGUUUGGUUUCAAUAUAUCAUCACGCAACUAUAUACGUUGUGAUUUUUGUCAUUUAUGUCUAAUGUUGUACACUAUUUCUCAAGUAAAUCAACUUCUCCAUUGCAAGUUUCAUAAAGCUGUGAUUUUUGUUGGCUUGUUAUGCUUGUAUGUUUAUAACUUACUAUGGAUAGUUUUACUUUUAUUUUAAUUUUUUGGUAUGUCAUUGAGUUUGUGAGACUUAAUUUCAAUAUCAAUGGAACGAUCUUGUUGCUUGUCAAUUUUUUUUGUCUUUUUCAUUUUUGGAUUUUGCUUUUACUUGAUGAUGUUGCUGGUAUGUCUGUGGUGGUAGCUAAGGUGCUGGUAUGGCUAGUGAUGUCUAGUAGUAGUGGGUCUAUUAUGAUGGUUCGGUUUGAGGCUUGUGUUGUUUCUAGUGCAAGUGUGCAGUGUGCACAUCUUGCACCAAGUGGUGCUGGUGCAAGGCUCGGCUUACAUCAACACCUUCUGCAGCAUACCCACAAUUAGUACAGUGGCUGGUGGCUGGGGUGCUAGUGUGGUGGCUAAUGGUGGUAGCUGGUGAUGCCUUGUGGUGAUGGGUUUGUGGUGGGAAUUCUGUUGGCGGCUUGUGCCACACCUAGUGCAAAUGUGCAGUAUGCACAUCUUGUAUCAGGUGGUGCUGGUGCAAGCUGUACCUUGUGCAGCAAACCCACAACCAACAUAGUGAUUGGUGGCUAGGGUGCUAGUGUGAUGGCUAGUGGUGGUGGUAGGUGAUGGCUAGUGGUGCUAGUGGCCGAUGAUGCUUGAUGGUAGUGGGUCUAUGGUAGGGGUUGAGAGCUCAUGCAACACCUGGUGCAAGUGUGCAAUAUGCAUUCUUACACCAAGUGGUAUUGGUGCCAAGCGAGUGUAAGGCUCAGCUUACAAACACCUUCUGCAAUAGUACACCACUAGCACAGUAGUGGCUAGCCAUGGCUCGAGGUGGUGGAUGGGGUACUUGUUGUGGCUGGUGGUGGUGGUUGAUGGCCGGUGGUGACCGAUGAUGGUGGUUGGUGUAAUUUUUAGGGGAAACCUACAAAAAUUGACACUUGACUGAUAACAUUCUAAAAAAUUAACAUUUAAGUGUUCACUUUUACCAUAAGUGAUACUGAAGUUAUCACUUUAAUAAUAACUUGACACUUAAGUGAUCUUUUUUUCAUCACGACUAGUACUUAAGUGAUCACCAAGUACAACUUAUGGCACUUGAGUAAUCAUUCGUGUUUGUCCUAUGUAUAUGUUGAUUUGUAGCAAAUCAGAGAAGCUGUUAGUUUAUAUUUAGUUCAACUUAUAGCAACUUCAUUCAAUUCAAUGUUUGCUAUUGGUUUAUGUAUAUAUUCAAUUCAAGUAAAGAAGCUACCACAACACAUUGACUCAAUAUACAUCCAUCAUUGUUGGUUUAUAUUCAAGAACAAGUAAAAAUAUAGUACGAGCAGUAUUUCAUUCACUCAUUCUCUUUCCUUGACCUCUCCACAAGCACAAGAAGUAACCCAUGAUAUAUAUGACAGUACAAACAAUAACAAAGCUACAACGAUCUUGUGGACAACACAAACUUCUUCUCAUCUUCCAAAAAAAUGCAUACAUUUGAUCCAAAACAAUUGCAUUUGUCCACUCAUUUUCAACUAUGGCAAUCGGAGAAACUUCUUCUCAUCUUUCAGUGCCUAACAUUUCAUCAUAAAGUAGGAUAGAUAACAAAACAAUACAACAAUAAACACUUGGUAACAUUUCCAUUCAAAUUUUAUUCUUGAAACUUCAUUCUACAAAUGUUUAGCCGAAGAUGCUUGAGCUUGUAUUAAAUCAACAUCGUCCAAGUUGUCCACGAGCAUAGAUGGAGGUUGAUGUCAUCCAUCAAGUAGAUCCGAUAUCACCUCUGUGACUCGAUGAGAGAAUUUCACAUCGACUCAUUUGAAGUAUUUACACUUCGACCAUUCUCUAUAUCGGGCACAUUCAUAAAAUCUUCUCCUAGGAUUCAUUCGAGUCUACGAUGUUCUUUUUAGACUCGGUAACCCACAAAAACAAAAAACACUUGCCUUCACCUUCACUUCAAUGAGAGGAAUUUGAAGCACUGCUAAAAAUCCUGCUCUCUAUUUUCAAGAUUCAAUGGUGGAAUUUUAGGCAAAUCGAAAUUAAGAUUCGCGAUUAGGGUUUGAGCACUUCAAUAGGGAUUUUGGCUGAUUUAAGGUUUUAGAUUUUGGGCAAUUUGGGAGAUGGCGUUGUUUUGACCGAUUUAGGGCUUUUAUUUUGGACAACUAUGAAAAUGGCAUCGUUUUGGGUCAGUCAGAGCUGAGUCAGCUCUCCAACAAGCCACGUAGGCAAACAAAAUUAAUAAAAAAAAAUUAUCACGUAGGAUUUUCAACGGGGUUUGCCAGAAGUAGCACUCAAGUAUCUCAUUUUUUAAAAAAAAAUUAUACUUAAGUGUCACUUUACUAACUUUUAGUACUUAAGUGUCCUCUCAUGCUAAGUUUUAACACUUGAAUUAUUCUUUUUCCAGAAAAUAUCUAUCUAAAUCCCAACUUGCUUUGUCAUGCUCAUGCUUGCUUAUCAUACUCAUAUUUCUCAAUUUCCGAAGUUCAAAAUAUUGGGAUUUAACCCAAAAUUACUUGAAAAUUUAAGUAUAUAUCCAUUGCAUUUACUCACCUUUAUAAUCAAAUGCAACUACUUUGCAUAUUUAAUAUUGUCGUGAGAGCAUCGGCCAGAGUAGUAAGUGAAAGGAGGAUUUUGCAUGAAGCGUUUCAAAACCAGCCAAAGGAUCGGCUUAACCAUCUCUACUCACGUGAAUCAAAUACUGCAACGGGUGCCCUCUCAUUCCCUUGGGAUUAUGUUGUUUUUAUCUCCAUAAAGCCCUUCAAUUCUGUUUGGCUAUCUCGUUCACCCUCUUCAGCCAUUUAAUGCUUUCAGCUUCAGUAAAGCUAUCCUCUAAAUCUCCCAAUUGCUCCGCCCAAAGACAUCCUCUAACCGUAAACCUGCAUAGCAUAACUUAACACGUCUAAGUUUAGUUGCACUUGUGCAGGUGUUCGAUUAGUAGAUGCUAUUCAGAUAAGAGGCUAAUCUGAGGACCGAUGCAACUAACCUAGCCACACAAAUGCCUCUUUAUCCCAACCCAAGUGUGAUGCAGCUGAUAAGCCCCAUGGUGAUCGAAGAAAUUGAAUCAACAAAACAAUAAUUAAUAUAGCAAUAAAUAAAUUUCAAGAAAUUUAAUUAUAAUCAUCCUAGCAGACGGACUGAUGAUUAAAGUAACAAUUAAUAGUGGAAGGACACAAAUAUUUUCUUAUGAAGUAGAGUUAUGAUGAUAGAAUAUUGGGAUAAGUGCAUUGAAUGUUCUAGAAUUUCUCACGAAAGUGCAAUUGAGUUCUAAAUUUUCAAAAAUUGCAAUCAAGUUCUAAAACCUGUCACAAAAGUAAUUGUGUUAUAAAAUUUUUACGAAGUGCAAUCACGUUCUAAAACUUGUUGGGAUUUUCUAUUUAUCAAGUUGGACGAAGUUAAUGGAAUAUUUGAUCACAUUGACAAGUUUUAUGACUUGAUUAUACUCUCUUUUUUUUAAAAAAAAGUUUUAGGAUUUAAAUCACUUUCUAAAUGCUCUAAGGAUAAGUAUUAUUAUCUCUUGAAGUCCUUCUGAGCUGAGAGAAUUAAAAACUUCAUUGAUUUGAUAAAGAGUAUUAUUAUCAAGAGAUAGCUUGUUGAGUUUUUUGUUGACUUCAUAACGUCCAGCAGUAUGGCCUUCUUUUCCACAUUGAUAGCAUGUUAUACUUCAAUUGAUUUUUUUUUAUUUUUUUUUAUUUUUUAUUUUUAGUUUGAGAAGGGUAGGAUGAAGAUUUUCAGGAAAAAAAAAUUAGUGUGAUUUAUUUAUUUAUUUAUGAUUUGGUUUUUUUGACCUUCUAUAAGAUAAUUAUCCCACCAACAUUUUAAUUGUCCAAUAAAAUAGCCAUCGAUAUUCUAAAUGUUCUUCACAUCAAACAAUCAUGGUCUCCAAUGCGUAUAAAACACAACAAAAUGUAUUGUGAAAUAUUUUUGUGAUUAUUUAUAUUUCAAUCAUAUCGUAACGUGUCAUUGCCAUUAAAAUUUUUAUCAUUUGUAUCACUUUGUUUGUUUUACAUAUCCUUUCCAAAUCAACCAUAAUAAUAUUUCAUAUUGUAACGUUAGAUCCUCUAUCUUAGAGCCCGGGCAUUUAUAUGCAUACGGAGCAACCAUGGAAUCGAAUCUCAGUGGAGUACGUGGAUCCUACUGAUAAAUGAAGAUUGCUGAAUGUCUCUGAGAAUCUUAGGAAGACGACACUCGGCAAUGACCAAAUUCAGCGAUGGAAUCACCCGACGAAGGUACUCAAGCCGAGUUAGAUGAAGAACGACCGAAGCUGGAGCCACCACGAAUAGUCGUCAUCUGAGAGAAGAAGAAAAUAGAGAGAAUGAGUUAUCAGAGGUGAAGGAUCUGUACGUUCUAUGAACUGAAAGAGAGAGCGCGUGAAGUCUGCGGCGAUAGGAGGUGGUCCGGUGUUGCUGGGCGACGAUGAUGUUGCAGCAGCUUAGGCGGUGACGCAAGGACGGUGAGCUUCGAUGAAGGUGAAGACGUAGUGAUGGAUAACCCACAUGCAUCUCUGAGACUGACGAAGGAAGUGAAUCAAUCAUUUUUAUAUCUCUCUAGUAUUUGAAUCACCAAGAAUUCUUUUCAAAAGUAUAAGUUUUUUAUGGUACCUUCAUUUCGUAGAAAACUCAAUGAUAAAAAGCAUUUUCGAAUAAUAUGAUUAAUUUUCCAUUAUUUGGUAAUAUAUAAUCAAAUCAAAAACGUUUUUUGAUAUUUGGAUCUCAUUAGAAAGUGAUUUUGAUAGUAUGACUUUAUCUUAGGCCAAAAAAAAAUCGAAUUUUUUUAAUUUUUUUUCUUUUUUAAAAGUUCGAAUUUUUAGUUUUUCAUUUUAUUUUUUUAAAAUUCGAAUUUGUAAUUGGUUCUUCAAUGAGUUGUAAAAAGAAAGGGAGAUUAAUUAGAAAAACGUUUUUUUUUACUAUACCAUUUUCACUAUUAUUAUUAUUAUUAUUAUUAUUAUUAUUAUUAUUAUUAUUAUUAUUAUUAUUUUCUUCUUCCUUUUUCAAAUGCAGAUUUGGUUUAUUGACAAAAUUAUUUGCCAACGAUGUUCAGUUUCUUAUUUUUUUUACCCACGGUUCUCAACAUUUUCACGAUUAAACCCAAUUUGGAGCACGUCCAUUGAUUUUCCUCUUAUAUUUAAUAAUCGUGUUAUGAAAAGAGUAAAAUUAUCAGCAUUUGACAAAGCUUUUGCUAACAAAAAAAAAGACAAAGCUUUUGCUAAGCAAGUUCAUGACAUCAUCACAACAUUCUACUUCAACUUCAACAUACUCAGAAUGCUGCCUUAGUUCUUCCGAAUCAAAGUAGGUCCAUUGCUUCAUGUUUAAAUUUGUGUACCUCAGUUAAGACUAUGCGGAGUGGAAUUCUUGACCGAACACUUGUCUGUUGAAGUCCUCAUAGCCAUUGGAGCUUAACCAAGGCCUUUUCUAUCUUCCUUAAAUAGCCGUGAUACCAAUUGAUUUAAUUGCAAUAUCUAAUAGUUUUCGCGCUAUAUUGCAUAAUUGGUAUAACAGCUGUCAACAGCCAGGAGACUAACAAAUAAGUAUUUGGUCAAGAACUUUGAUCCACAACUCUUUUGCCUGACAGCACAGGAGCUUCUUGGAUUAUAGCCGCACAAGUGGUGCACCUUAUUGAACACAUUGGAGGUUUUGUUUCGACAUCCAAACUGAGUUGUUUCCAUUGAUAUAUACCGUGAGUUUGGAUGUAAUUUAAGACUUGGAAAAUACUCAAACAUGCAAGUGAUCAUAACUCUAUAAUUCCCUUAUUUACUAAUAGAUUAUUUACAGUUGACUAUCCCCAUAGAGUAAAUACCGACAUUCAGAUUGUCCCAUGCAGAUCUCUUCAUUUAUUUACUAUUCCCCAUUUAUUUCUCCAGUAAUUACGCAUCGAAUUAAUUAUGAGGUUCGAUAAUUUUUGCAUUAUAUUGAAAAACUGACAUCGCCUAACCAAUUCCGAGGCCCGAAAUCAUUCAGCAAUAGAGACGAGUCCUUAGCACAACAAAAACUAUUCAGGAGGUGGCUCAUUGUAAGAGUCGCCCAGGUAUUCAAAUCUUAUAGUAAUAUCGUCCUUCAUCCUCCAUCAAGAUACAGGUUUGGCUCACCGUUGUGCCUAUCCGUCUGUAAAUAGGAGAGUUUUCCGAGGGACGGUCCCGUCCUUCGUCUGGUGAGGGUACACACAGGUUAAUGAUGUACAUUCCCAUAUGGACAUAUGGUCUCCUAGGCUGGAUCUCAUUACAUGUUUUCACUACAAUCAGGCAAACUUCUCUAUCAAGAUGGUCUGUAACUAAAUAAGAUAUGAAGAGGAAGUUGCAUUUUCUUUCUCAUUCUUCACUGCAUGCAUGCUAUCGCGAGGCAUGAGAAAAUUAAAGGUUUAGAGUGGUAAAAAAGAAGGAACAAUAAUCUGCAGCCAAGAAAGGAAUAGUAGAUUUUCAUGACUACUCUCUGCUAGAACUUCAGAAUAUGUAUAAUGAGCUUCCUGUCAAGAGAUCUGUUUUUCUUCAUUCUAAGAACUAUUUUACUAAAAAGUUCCACAUGUAUUUACAAGAACGUGGACUACCUGUAGAAUAUAACAUACAAUUUUCAUUCAAACUGUAUUUGCGACAAUGAAGUGAGGAUUCAUUUCUUCUUGCCUCUUCCUUUCUUAUUUUGCUCACCUUUGGACUUGCAAUUGCCCCUGUUCUUGUUCUGGUUUUCCACACCGCCAGUCUGGGAAAAAGAAGAUGAUGAAGCCUGCUGAUCCUUCUUCACUUCACCGGUUUUUUCAGCUUCCCCAACUUCGCCCUUCUCUUCCUCAUUUGCUAAGCCCACUUCUUGUCUCGGCAAUGACGACGCAUUUGCACCAUCCAAAUGCACAACUGGUACUGCACUGUCGGAAGAUGAAGAGGAAUCCUUGGAAAAUUCAGUCAGAUCUUGCAACUUGCAAGAGCUCUCAGCACUUCCAUCUUUGGGGAAUAGGACUUUCAUAAUCUCUUCUUUGCAUUUGUGCGACUUCACAUCUAAAAUGAUGGCAUGUGGACAUUUUGACCGAUCUGAAGCAGAAUUGGUAAUUACAAGGGGAUCAUCAACUUUUUCGAAUGCUUCAGCAAGAACACCCACUGAAAUUUCCUGUAAGUAUGGCCUCCGGCAACGUGAAAGAAUAUGACGAAAUUCGGGAGGUAUUUGCUCAGAAAUCCAACUCUUACCGAGCAAAUUGAAGAGAAAAUAUGGACUGGUGCCAAAAUUCAGGUGAAGCAAACAAAGCAAAAGAACCAACUUCAAGACCAACAACGGGUAAUACUCCCUCACAUUUAGGUUCGAAUUUUUGAUCCAUUGUCUGGUAUCAUCCUUACUGUCAAGAAGGUCCGCAACAGUCCUUGUAACAAACUGGAUGGGCUCCAAGCAAUUUCCCAGGUUGAAACUGAAGCUAGGCUUUGCUAAACCUUCAUGGCAGAUGAGCCAUUCAACUAGAGAAGAUUUCGUUGUAUAAAACUGCCCUUUGGAGCAAGCUAGCAAAAUCACAAGUCGUUCCAAGAGAUACAAAAAGCAAAUUGGUGUGAUGUAGUCUCUUUCAGUCCUCCAAUUGGCAUUGUAACCAUCUGCCAAAGCUCGAUAAAGGUUCCAAGCCAAAGAUAUUUCCACGGGUCCAUUGCUCGCCUGAGGAAGGUCUGAUGGUACAUCCCGACAAAUGCAUUCCAUGAAUGCCUCCCAUGACGUGUCUCCUUUAAAUGAUUUUGCUAUUUUUCCGUAAAAAUCAUCUUCGAGCAUUCCAGACCCAAGAACCAAAGUCGCAAGCUCACCCAUCUUCCCAUGUGAAAAAUGCUUCUUCGAAAUUAUCAUGUUCAUUGUUUCUCUCAGUAAAUUACGAGAAGCCUCACUUCCUCUCAGAGAUACCAUAUUCUCUGAUGACGAUAUUCUCCAGUCAAGUGGAAAUAUGUGACCAAAAUACCUCCCACUGGAUGUUUCAAUGAAACCGUCCAGUGCCUUACCAUACUGGAACGAGCGAUUCCGACAAUUAAGUUCUCUAAGGAACUUGGCAACCUCAUGUAAGAUAGCAAGACAUCUGCUUUGCCAGAAGUUCGACCGAGAACUCUUCGCCAAAAAUUGAUAAAGAGCAUCCAAUUUGUGCAGGAGCUCCAUACCAACAGAAGUAAGCUCACAAUACCAAUACUUUUGAGCUGCAAAGACCAAUUGUCUAAGAUCCAAAGCAACGAAUUGUCCCUUUUUUUUAAGAGAUCUUUUAUCUAUGUUUCUGACCCAAUCAGCAUCUGGGUUUACAAGGUGAUAAGUUCUUUGCAUGUUGUUCCAUUGCUCCAGAACACCAAAGUAAUUCAGACAGAACUCCCAACAUGACGUAUUUUCCCUUCCCACCUGCAUCUUCACACAUCCUACACUCUCUAUAAUUCUAACAAUUUUCUCUCUCCAAAGAUUCCAAAAGCAGACCAAUGAGUCAACGGAAAUCUGAUUCCCCAAGGUCAGUUGUUCAGAAUAGUUUGCUGGGUCGACAAGCCAAUCACAUUCCCAACAAAAAUUUGAGAUAUUUUGCCAAAGAUGGAAGUCCAGAAUAUUUCGAGUGCACAGUAUUUCACCUCUGACACUUCCAUUUCUACUGGAAGCACUCAAAUGUUCUUUCAUUUGAGCCAAACUGUUCUCUUUAUUUAACAAAAUGCUUGAUUCUACAGAAACAUAUUCAUAGAAGGCAAUAGGCUCAGGCUCUGCGAGAAGUUUGGCUUUUGCUACCAGCUCCUCCUUCUGAGCAAACUGCUUCAAGGGCCACCCUUUGCCUCCAGGAGCCCAAAGGGAAUAGAAUAAUAUGUACCACAGGAUAUUCAUCGACGCUUCCCUGUUUUUUCCGCUCUUCCCAAGUAGAUCAACCUCACGAAGGAUGUCACCUUUCAUCCUCACAAUCUUUGCCGCCUCCAAAAAGUUACCAAAUUCUUCCUCCAGACUUAUAAGUUCAUCGAGGCAUCCAAGCCUCUUGAGCAAGUUUCUCAUUGAAUCGAUGCAAUGAAAAGCCUUCACAUACUUCAUCAUGGCCCUGUAGUCUCUGAGGUUGUAGAAAUGAAGGGCACAACUCUCUAAAAAGUCCUGUUCCACUUUCUCUAUUUCUUUACUUUUCUUCUCAGUUCCCUGCCUUUUCCAAUCCUCAAUGUAUCGCAGACCCAUUUUAAAGAGUUUUUCUUCAGCACAAAUGGACAAGCACUUUGAGAAAAUAUUUGCCCUUGCAUAUGCCUCCGCUGCAAGACUGUAGCACCGAGCAAGAGAGAAACACUCUCCAGCUUUCUCCAAAGCAGAUUCUCCACAUUUAUCCAUAUAUAUUCUACCUGUUGAAGCAUAAAUAAAUUUGAUGUCAGUCUCAUUUAUAGAGUGCUGAUGUUCAGAAGAUAAAACAUAGCAAAGGGACAUUUGGAAGCUGCCAGAAAUGCUCUUGUACAGCUCAGCUCUUGUACGGCUCAACUAUAUUCUCCAAUGUCAAGAGAUGAAACAGGAUCAACGUCCGUAGGUGGCUACAAUACCAAGAAGUUUUUGACAAACCAUAGUCAACAUGGAGUAUUGCAACUGACAGCCACAGCUUUUUUUUAAACUUAUAGGUCUGGUCAGUGUUAAGAACUUAGCAGCUCAAAUUUUUCCAAACUGCUGAGAGAGCAGAGACAGGUUAUCAUAUAGAAAAUAAUCAACUUCCAAGCCAGGACAUUAAUCAUGAAGUCAACAUUAGUAGCACUUGCUCAAAAUUCACCAAAAGCAUUUCAAAUUAACAAGUGAGAUCGAACUACUUUUUUUUUUAAUAUUGAAAGAGGAAAAUCAAUUAAACUGGUAAACAAGAGCGUACCACACAUGCAAAAUACUACAUGCAGAAGAAUGCGAAGUCAAAUUUCCUCUCUCUCUUAGGCAGCUUUGACAUAGCUACAACAAGAAGAAAAGUGAAGAUGCGGCAUAUCUCCACCUUAUCAUUUUGAAAGAAAUGAAAAGAAAAAUGAUACCUGCUAUCUCAUAUUCCUUCAACAUGUAGAAACACUCCGCUGCAGAGUCGGCCAUUCCAAUUGUUUCAUAGAUCUCAGCAGCCUGCCUUCGAAGGUCAGAAGCCUCUUGUGGAUUUGAAACGUGCUUGAGAUCUGCAUCUGCUUUGAAAGCGGAGGCCUUAGCCAAUCUCUCCCCGUAUGUGUACCUUGCUCGUUCAAAGCACGUUAUUGCCAUUGGGUAUUUACCGUCACGUAAGAGCUUGCAAAGUUUAUUAAAAAGAAAAAAAAAAAGAGAGAGAGAGAUCAUUAGCUUCCUCAGAGAAGGUGAAAAGAAGAAAAAAAGAAAACAUAGUCCUCCCUUAUAGGAAAAAUCAGAGGUGUAGACUUACACCAAAACAAUGCACUGUCAUUGACCUGACAACCUCAAAUGAGGAAAAAGAUCAUAGAAAUAUUCCUAUCAUGUUGUUUAUCCAUUGUAUGUCUAAAUGAAGUAUUAGCCAAACUAUUAAAAAACGAAUAAAGCUGGCAAAUCGAUUGCCAUAUCUGUACCAUAGAACGUCCACAUUCUACACACUUUUUUUUCUUUUCAGGAUCAGUCAUACUUUUGCAGUCACUAUGGUCAUUCCAAAAUCCCUAGCAUUCACAGAUCAUGUUGACUCCAAAUGAGGUGAAAACAACAAUUCUGUGAAGAGGAAACCGCCAAUAAAGGCAAAACAGAAAAACAGCGAACCUUAAAACCUUGUGACUUCCACUCCUCUGGCGUGCUCCUGACCUGCAUUGCUUCUGCAAGGGUAUGAUCUACCAACCUGACUUGAAUGAGGCACUUCUUCUUCCAGUAGUCGAACAUUGGCUUCGAGAACUCCAAGGCAUUCUCACAAAUCCACAAUCUUUGCCUUGUCCGAGUAAUUGAGACAUACAAUUGUUUCAAUUCAGAGCAUAAUAUAUUGUGUUUCGCGUCAUCGAAACUUGGGGAAGACCAUUGAGAGCUGUGAUCAAGCAAAGCUUGCUCCUUCAUGUAUCCAUAAAUGACCCUCCACUGACUUUUUAGAGGUGAUGUGCCAAAGAAGUUGUACAAUAAGACAUCCUACACAACAUCACGGCAAAAAAGUUUCAGGUCAGAACAUCUGAUUUAUGACCAAAAUGACAGAUUUCAAGUUUCAUGAAUACAUGAACAAUUUUAAAAAAUUUAGCAAAAAAAAUCUGGACUCAUUUCAACACACCAGCCUAUCAAGAACAGCCGUAAAGUCGCAAGAUCAUUGAUAUUGUCUAUUAACCUAGAGGAUGAUGUUUUUUUUUUUUUUUUUUAGUCAGUCCUACUCUAUUCCUACUCUACACUCACUCUCAGACUUUUGCCCUGCCUCUUGCAGGGCGUGGGAGUCGAAACCCACUUCUGAAACUUACGCGUCCCCACCCCAUCCCUCCCUGAGAAGGUGGGGAUUUGAACCCCUCACCUCCCCCUUCCAUGUUGGAAGAAUGGCCACUGGGGCGAAUCCCAGUGGUUUAGAGGAUGAUGUUGACAUGAGACAAAUUCUACGUUAUGAGUAUCUAGAUGCCAUUGUCUACAUAACAAAAAAGGGUAUAGUAGAAUGAAAAUGCCAAUCCAAGCUUCUUACAGAGUAACAGCUUGCAGCAAAUUGGUCAUGACCCAUUAAAAAAAAAAAGGAUCUUGAAAUCUCUAUGCUGCUCCUAUUAAUAUCCCAUAGCAAACAAUCCAACCUGACCCACACCUACCUGAAAUUCCAACCCCUUGCACUCCACUAUCGUCAGAACUAGCGCUUGCCCUCCCACGAGGUUUGAAAUUUCAUUUCUAGAGUGAUCAUCUCGAACCAAAAUAACCUGCUCUGCUCCAAAGCCAACAAAAUUACCACUAAAAUCACGGUUGCCAAAAAUUGAUAGUAUGGCACUUUCGUCAUUCUCUGAUUCAAGUAAAAUUGGGGCUUCCCCACAUAUAAAGCUAGUCUCAGGGCUUAAAGCAUCAACGGAUAAGGGGAAAAAAUGGUAAAGAAGAUCAACAACACUCUGCGCCAGUUUGAGUAUACCAGCAUGAGUGCGGAAGUUUUGGCUCAAAUGGAAAUUUUUUGAUAGACAUCCCUUUUCCAUUCUGAUAUCAGGUCCAUCCAUUGAAUCCAUCAAGAACUCCUUGUAGAAAAGGGACCUUAUGUCUUCAAACCUGAAGUCUAUUCCCCUUGCAAUAGUUUGUGCAGUGUCACCAGAAAACACAAAGCCCCCAUCAACAUUUCUACAGAUAUACUUGAACAGUGAAAUUUGCCUCAUGGUGAGAUCCUGCACUUCAUCAAUAUAUACAAAAUCCACCACGUUACCAGCAAACUGCCCAUGAAAAAGACGGCAAUGAAGAUCACUGACAAGAUCAGCCAAAUCAAAUUCACCAUUUUUCAUUUUCAUCUUUUCAUAAUCCUCAAAAGCAUCAUAAAUUUCUUCUCUUCUCUGAAUACUCAGAGUGGAGACACGACCCUCUGAAAGAGAAACAUAAGCUGGUCUGUCAAGUUUGCCUUCACAACCAUCUGCUGGUGGAAGACCUCCCUUUAUGUGGGACAUUAUUUCAGUGAAGACUCUAGAAGGAUCAAGCCUCCUCCUUAUCUUGUCAUUGAAGUGAGGCCAAUAAACAGCACGAAACUUUUCGUAAGUAACCUCCUUUGCUCUUAGAAGACUUUGUAAGGCCACUGGUCUAGAACUGAAGGAUUGGCCACGACAAAAAUCCCUUAGAUCGGGGAACCUUUCAAAGAAUGAAACCCCCACAGUUCCGUCUAGCAUUAUCAGAAGCUUUCGAAAAGUUAUAACAAGGGGAUACGAGUUGGGAGAUAUAUCUAAAAAUGAAUCCGGGAUAUCCUUGAAUAAUGCUGCAUCAUCAACAAUCUCAUCAACUGAAGAGCUUUUUACUCUAUGUUUAGCACCAAUGCUGGAGCUGCAGGAUUAAUGAAGCCAGCAAUUAGAAACGGAAAAAUAUAUUUUUAACAAACUUACAGGAAAUUAGAACACGCUGUUGCACCAAGAUUAUAAUGAUAUACUAUGAGACAUGGAUAGCAUUUACAUCAGCUGGCAAUGAAAAUCUUCCCCCGCGGCAAGAUUCGUAGAAUAGAUGGUCCUUUCUCGAUUCUAAUUAUAAUUGCACACGUUCAUUUAAAGUACGCUUUUCUUUUUAUACGUACAAUGCUACAAUCACAAAAUUUAAUACGAAAGUUUCCAAUAAAAUGGGAUUGCAAACUAAAUAGUUGGCACAAAGACCAGAAUAAGGAAUAUUGCCGCACAAACUAAUGUUUAGUUUCAGCGAGCAGAUGAUGUCGAUCUCUAACGUGCAAUGAUUAAAUCUAUUUUCUAGCACCCAAGCAUGGCAAAGUACUGAUUUGACCCAUGCACUCAUGCCACAUGUUAUAUUUCCUACCGAACUCUAUAAAAUGAAGUAUCUUGGUUGUGCGUCUCCGCUAGGCGGAAAAUAGUUGCAUGCCAAAGGGGUUAUCUUCUUCUCCGGACUAAUUCAUAAAAAAAAAAACUUGACAAUCCAUUAACCCUUGCAUAUGUUUGUUCAUUGUAAAAAUUGCAGAAUAUUUAUUCUAUUGUUCCAACAUCUUCCCAUGACAUUUUAUGUACCUUCUAAGUUGAGAUACAUGUUGUUUGACCGCAAAACAUAAUUUCGCACUGACAGUCACAAAAAGCUGGCGCAAUACACAAUCCUCUGCUCCUUCACUGGUUUCCUCAACAUUGAUUUCCAGGGAGGCAUCUUUGCUGUGGCUGACACCACUUUGGAUUUCCUGAAAUCCCUUGGUUGCUUCAUCAUGCAGUUUCUCGUUUCUAAACAACUUCAUUGUCAGGACCGUAGUUUUCCCGGUUCCAGAUCGCCCAAGUAUAAAAGUGCUUCUGGGAAAAAGAAUUAUCUCCUGUUCUUGCUCUGUUACUUCAAACGGAAGACUUGCUUCAUUACCAUCACUGUCAUCGAGCAAAUAUCUGACAAUAUCUGAUGAUAAGGGGUAGAAUUUCAUCAGAAGCAAACUCUCGCUCACUUUCAUGUUCUCUGCAUACAACCUACGAUCUGAAGCAUCAGCAUCAGAACCACUCCCAAAUCGAUCUUCACUAGGACUUCGAUAGCGGACAAAAUCGAAAGUACACGCCCAGGUCUUUGGAACUUGCAGAUCCCUAUAAUAGGAAGAGGCGUGUGAAAUGAAAAAAAAUAGGGGGAUAAGAUCAAUUCAAGAUAUUUGAGUCAUCUAUCUGGAAAAGAAUGCUUUCUAAUUUAGUAAGUGAUGUGCUACCUAUCUUCAGUAAGAAGAAAUGAUCAGACUUACCCCUCAAAGCAUUUCUCAUUGCAACGACUAAUAAAAUCAUCACUAUAUGUCUCGAAAAUGCUGUCCAAACGUUUGACCAAUUUUGCCACAUCCUCUAAAGGCAUUACAUCCCAUAUCUUCAGGAUUUGGAUGUAUCUCAGUUCCUUUACAACAUCAAUCGUGCAUAAGACAUAGAGACCUUCAGCCUUAAAUUGUCUCACGAUAUGAGAUGAGUGUUCACAAAUUAUAUCCACAUUCCUCUUCUUUGGUCUCCAGGCACUGGAUAGUCUUGACAGAAGCAUAAUGAUUGACAUCUUUAUCCUGAGUGAUGCCAGCUUUCUGAAAGACUUCAGGAAGUUGUCACUGAAAAUAACCUGAUAAGACCAAAGCAUGACAAUAAGAUAUGUUGUCACAAGUUCUAUAAAACUCGAUGCUUAUUUUGAAAAAUAAAUGUAGCCAUAGAAUACUGUUGAGCAAAGUUUUUUACCUUCCACCUUGCAUUUCUGAAAAGUACACUGCUUCUGUCAAGUAGAUCAUCAAGCUGGUCAUUCUCUUUCUUCACAUCUAAGAUGGCUUUAGCCAAAUCCUUGUCAUCAUCAACAUUGAAGAAACAUCCACGACUCUUCGCAUUGUGAACCACAGCUUUCCACACAGAACCGCUUUUCGUCAAUGUUUUCUCAUUUCCCAGAAUCCACAGACAAUACCUAUAGAUAGGAAAUUAACUCGGGGAUUUACUUGCUAUAUCACUCUAAAAAUGUUAUUUGACACAGUUAAGAGGAUAGAGUACCUGGCCCUGGUAAGAGCAACAUUGGUUCUCUUAGUACUGGACAAGCACCCAAUAUUCCCAUGCCAGUUUGAUCUUACGGUUGAUAUUAUAACAAUGUCUUCUUCACCCCCUUGGAAUCCAUCCACUGACUUCACCUUGACCGUAAAGCCCUUGAUAUUUUCAUACUUUUUUCCAAGGUUAGCUAGAACUGCAGCAACCUGAGCUGUGUAAGGAGAUACGACACCUACUGUCAGAUCUUCUUCUGACCCAUUCCAAGCUGCAAAGAGAAUAAAACCAUCACUACAGUGACAUUAUUUUUGGCGGGGUGCAAAACUUUGAAAGAAAUAUCUUAGGAAAAGAAAUAUUAAUGGCCGUCAUAAUCUACACCUAUAUGAUUAAGUAAUACAUGUAAAAUCCACGUGCUCAAAGCAAUACGUAUAAAAUUCUCUUGACAUACCUCUGUACAGAUUCCUGACUAUCCUCGAGAUAACUUCCACCUCAACAGGGUUUCUAAGGCUACAGCCAUCAUCACCGAUUUGUUCUUCUCCAUCAGGAAUAUUUAUGAACGAGUAAGGGCCAAACGUUGGCCAUGGCAAAUGACUUUUUCUGUAACUUUUGCUCUUCACAUUUGGCCCAUCCAAAAUUUGGUUUUGAUAAAAUUUUGAAGUCGGAAACAGACUUAUUGAUGGAUGCAUCCGGUAUUGUAUAUUGAAAAGUUGCCUUGAAUAACCCAGUGAAGUCAAUCGUUCAAACAGACUCCUUCCAAAACCAACCUGAUUAGAAACCUUUAAAAAAAAAAAAAAAAAAACAUGAUAUCAAAUUCAACAGGCGUUAGGUAUAGAAAAUUUAGCCCAUCUAAGCUGAAAUGAAGAGAAGGAGAUUACAAAUCUUACAAAACCAAAUACAAAGUUCCUUUUCAGACAUUUUAACAUUACCUUGCUUUCGACCAUAGCAGGCAACUGACACUCAUCUCCAACCAAAAUCAGAUGCUUGACACCAGGGAUUUGCAGAGGAAUUACUGACUCACAUUCCUUCAACUGGGCUGCCUCAUCGAUUACCAGUAAAUUGAGAGGCUCCAUCUUCACAGAGUGCAGCUUAUGUGAACAAGAAGCAGUGCAAAAAAUCAGGGAUGCACGUCGAUAACAGAAGUUGGCUAUCAUGCCCUUACUCACAAAGUUUGGAAGUUUUAGAUCCUUCAGAGAAUCACGAACAGUUAGCAACAUGGAAAGGCAUUCCUGUCUCUUCAUAUAUAUAUCAUAUAGUGGACCCCUGGAUGUCUCAAACGAAAACAGGCCAAGUUCAUCACGUGAAAGAGUUAUCUCCAUCAUCUCUGAAUCCAACUUCUCUCCACAUAAUAAAGAUUCAAAAGAAUUUAGUAAGUUAAGGAGGGAUGUAAUAUUCUGGAAUUUAGUUCUGGAUGUAUGAGUACAGAAAGUAUAGAGGCAUGCUCGCAGGGGCUGGACAGUUUCCUUGAAUUGGUCCCUGAAAAACUCAAGAAAUGAUUUGAGCUCACAGUUACCAUCUUCUUCACUGCUUCCACAUUCGCUCCCAUCAUCACCACUUCCUAGUUUCCUUCUUUUUGCGUGUUCGUUUUCCAAAAAUACGCGGUAUUGACGGACACAGUCAGCAAGAGUAUCUAUCAAGGAAGUUAGACACUGAUGCCAACCAGUAAAUUCAGAAAUGCACUCUACACGAUGUUCCAAGUAUAUAUCUUCAAUGUCGGAAUCAACUUUCAGCCGUUCCUUGUUCCCAAAAAUAAGCAUGUCUCCAAAGUAACAGGGCAAACUUUCCGUUUCAGUGCUUAUACCACUAUCUGAUUCCUUUAGCAGCUUCAGAACACGAGUUGCCACUUCCUUGAUGGCAACAUUUGUAGGAGCACAAACAAUGGUUCUAUGUUUCCUUUUCAAGAGAGUAAGUAGCAGUGUAGCGACAGUUUUAGUUUUCCCAGUUCCAGGAGGACCCCAUAUCAGGUCGACAGAUGGCUUGUUCUCACAAUGGAGUUUACUGAGACAGGCCCCAACUGCUUUCUUUUGGGAUUCAUUCAGAUCAUGGCUCAAUCUCUCGUCAAGGCUCUCAGUCGCAGAACCAUUACCUUUUGUAACACAAAGAUUAGAAACUUUAUCAGCCUGCAACCAAAACAUAUUUCUUGUGAUAAUCCAGACCAUGUAAAUAUGGCAGAAGGUUCUGAAACUUAAUUGGUGUUAAUAUGAUAUAAAGAGCAUUGCAUAGCACAAACUUAAAUCCCGUGAAAAAUAUAGUACAGAAAAUUUUAAGGUCUAGUACCAAUGAGUAAGUUGCCUCCAAGGAAGUAAUUUGCCCUAUUCAAGACAUAAUUCAUUCAUCUUCAUAUCAUGAAACGGACCAAAGGUACAAAUCGACAGGAAUAAACUGAAGCUUUGAAGCUUAGAGGAAUAUAAUAGCCAUUUUAAGUCUAAAUGGACCAAAGGUACAAAAAAGGAAAGUCAUACCACCAAAUCUGUGCAGAGAACUUCCUUCAAAAUAUCCAAGUUCAGAGACAUAUGCAACGCAUUCCAUAUCCUUCUGUUAGUGACUAUAUUUAUCAGGAAAAUUGCAUACAUUGGCUUCCACGAAUUAUUUACUUCAAGGUUCAAUAAUGUCUCCACUUCAAAGUUUGUCGAUGACGUUGCCUCAUCCUCUUCAUCGUCUUCUCCAAUCAUCCUAACUAAUGCGAACGCCCAUCUUCUUCCGAACCUCUCCAAGUCAGGAACAGUUGCUGGCUUAGCAUCAGUUAGAAUCAAGAUGUCUCCAGGCAAAGUUUUGUAAGUUUCCUUGCCACGAGUGUUGGAUUCAUUGUUCCACCGACCGGCCUUAACAGCAUAUGAGUUCCCACUUCCCCUGCAUUCCACACAUUCAAUAACCUCAGUGAAAGGCAGCAAAGAAAUAUUUUUCAAACUCGAGCACAGACUCGCCCGGGUUUCUUCCAGUAAAGGGUAGACAUACGAUCCGAGAUAAUCCUGGACCGACUGAAAUUGAUCCGGUAUAGUCUCCACCUACAAAAACAGCUCAGCCAAUUGUCAAAUAUGACCAACCAACCUUGACAUUUCAAAAGAAUACUUGGACCAAAUUCCAUAAAACAUAACAUAUACUCCUAAAAUGCCUAACGAGCUUGCCGAACAAAGUAGAAUCAUAAAGGGUUCUAUUCUACUCAGUUGAAUGCAAGGUUCUUAUAAGGCAGGCUUACUAAAAGCACAAACACCAAAAAAAAAAAAAAAAAAAAAAAAGGAACGAACAGACAUCAUUGGAAAAUUCUCAGGUAAACACAACGUUGUCGUUGAACUUAAACGAAAAUAAACCAAAAGGGCAUGAUAAAAAGAAAGGAAGAAAAAGAAAAAGAAAAAGCAAAGAUCGGGGAAGAGUAGAAAGAAACCUUGUCAUGGUAGAGGUUUUCGUUGAGAAUGUCGUGAAAAGACCAAGAGAAGACAAAAUCAGUCAGGUCAUUAGUACCGUGUCUCCUCCUCCUGCUCAAACCACCCUCAGCUAUCUCCACACCCACCGCUCUGUUUGUGCAUCCUCCUAAAUCCAUCUGAACCCACGCACUAAAAUCUUCUACUUGUUUCUUUCUCCCCUUUUCUUGCCCAUCAAAGCACCAGGGAAAAAUCGCUCUGAGGUUUCAAGGAACUUUCGAGGCGAAUAUUGCGCACAGCUUGUACGGACAUCAUCAGCGCUUUUUGAGCUCCGAAGUGAGCAUUCUUAGCGACGAAGAAGAAUGACACGGGGAAGGCAAAGGCUACCAAAGGCGAAAAGAUGGGGGUACCUUGUCUUCCGAACACGGUCUGAUGGCUUUCUUUACUGCCCAAAUGCUUGUAAUGAUUCCCGCUUUUCUUUGCUUAUCCAUGUUUCGAUUUCUUGCAGCCUAAGAUUCGUCAACUGUUUUCUGUCCGAAAUGUAUCAUCGCAUGAGUGAGGUUAUUUUUUGAAGAUAUUAAAAUUAUUUGCUGAUACUGAAAUAAUAAGUAGAUGAAAAAAAAAAAGGAUAAAUCUUAACCAGAAAAAUAAUGACAAGAAUAGUCCCUGCACUUUAAUAUAAUGUGCAAUUUGAUCUUCGAAAUUUUGAUUUGUUCAAUAUAGCUCUUGAACUUUAACCCAAUAUACAAUGCGAUCUCUGAACUUUUCAAUUGUUUAAAUGUAAUCUCUGAACUUCUGAUAAAUAUUCAAUACAGUCUCUAAACUAUAUGAUAAUAUUGAAUGUAGUUUUUUAAUUGAUUCAAGAGUAGGGAUGACAUUGAACAUUUUGAUACAAAUUCAGGGACUGUAUUUAAUAUGUAUAAAAAAUUUAUGGACUAUAUUAAAAAAAUUAAAAGUUCAUGGACCACAUUAUACAUUAGGCUAAAAUUUAUAGACCACAUCAAACAAAUUGAAAGUUUAUGGACUAAAUUACACAUUAGGCCAAAGUUUGGAGACUAUUUGUGUCAUUUUCUCUAACUAGAAGUAGACAAUGAAUGUGAACAUUCUACUUCAAUCGCUUGACUUUUUUUUUUUGAGCAUCUAUAUUGAUAUAAUAUAUAAUUAAUAUCAUGAAAAUUUUUUAAUCAUCAAAAACUCUAAACCGGUACACAUGUCCCAAAUUAAUUUUUUAACUAUAAAAAAACCUCAAACUGGUAUAUUUAUAAUAAAUUUACCUUCCGUUAAUUUUCAUUAAAUUGGAAUAAUGCCACGAAAAAUAAUAAAUUGAUACAUAUGUGAUAAAUGAAAUGUAAAAUCUUAAAUUGGUAGAUCCAUUCUAACUACCUUGUAUCAUCUAAAUCAGCAAUUUAAUUGUAAAAUUUAAAAAGUACUAAUGAAAAGUAAAUUUAUCACAAGUGUAUCGGUUUUUUUUAUGAUAAAAAAUUAGUGAAGUAAAUUUAUUACAUAUGUAUCGAUUUUGAAUUUUCUGUGGUAUUAACCCUAUAUCAUUAAAAACUCUUUCAGAGAAUUGCCGGAAAACUCAAUAUUCAAAAUUGUAGAUAGUUAGAGACGCAUCCUCCUCAUUAGUUUUGCCAAAUUCUCGAUGAAGCAAGGCUACAGUCAGAUGCCUUUUCCGUCGAGUAUUGUCAAUCAAAGAAGAAUCAAAUUGGUAAUUACUAUCAUCUCUCAGUUACUUAUCUCCAUAACGAGUUAUAAUAUUUUAUGGACUUCCGAAACUUUAUUGAGAGUGUGUUUUAGGAAAGUAAAUGCAAUCACUAUGUUAUGAGUGUGGUUCUUUCGCUCUACUUGAAGUUCUACUUCCAUUAAUUAUAAAAUCACAAAUUAUUUUUUAUGUCUUGAUUGAUUCCGUACGACAAUAUGCAUUAAAAAGUUUGCACUGACGUUGUUUCAAGCUCAGCUUGCACAAGUAUAUUCGAUAAGUGCAUUUAAAGCAUCUAGCCUUGGUUAAUACAUUCUUAUAUAAAAUGUUGAAAUAUAACAUUUCAAAAUAUUAAGAUGCACGAGUCAUUAUCAACAAAUCCAUAUUAAAAAAAAAAUGUGAUAGGAACAUCACUUUAAUAAAAGGCCAAUAGAGUAAAAGCUUUUAAAAGGCUAGUCGCUAGUCUCACAAAAUUCAACCAAUUUCGCGCCGAAAGCUAAAAAGACGUGAUAAGUUCAGGAAUCUAAUCAUGUACAAUGAGUCAAUGACAUGAUGAUGAAUAGAUACUAUGUUUUAAAGCUUCAAUUCAUUUGUAAUAUGUAAGGCCCAUUGUCAUCAUGCUAUGAGAGUUUUUAUGAUGUUGGCUAUAUUAAUUAAUAUUGAAAUUUACCUUUUUAUAAGAUUGUCUAAUGAGGCGAGAUAUAAAGAUUUUUAAUUACUAUAAUAUGAGAUUGGCUUGCGCGGGUUGAAUAGAGCUCGGUUUGUAAUGAGAAGACAUGUGACUGAAAACUCUAUAUAUAAUACUCAAGUAUCUUUUCUAAUCUCGAUAUACAAAUAUCUUAUAUAAAGAGUAGUUGUAGAACGCAAUUUGUGAUGCAUAAUAUCAUUGAGCCAAUAUUACAAUUAGAUCAUUGUUAUUCCACAUUAAGAAUAAUGGAUUUCAAAUCAGAUGCACAAAUCUUUUUGUCUCCAUUUAUUGUGUUCUAAAUUUUAAUUAUGUAGAUCUUCGGAUGGUUUUCACGGCUUGUAUGCACAUGGUGAACCAUUGUGUCACUACGGGGCACACCGGCUUUGCUUCACAAAUACAGGCGCCGCACUAUGAAAUGCUUCGUCCCGAGGCAUCAUGCGACAGAGCCGUCUUGCCUCGAGCCUGGGUGGGUCGUUGUCUUCUCGUCCUCCCUCCGUACAUCGUGCAAUGAUGUUUGUUACUGCAGAAAUGCAUGUAAAAAGAAUGUAAAGCUUUCAUCUUUACCCGUCAAUUCCGCAUUUCAGUGAACUCAUGUCUCCUUUUCUGACUCCGCGAGUCCUAUUCAGGCUAACAACGACAAAAGAAGAGGAUAAGGAAGGGGAAAAGCAAGCAAGCAUCUUGAUUUCUUUCACCCUAGACUGUCCACCGUUUGUCUGCCUGAAAUGUAUCAAAUCUUGAGUAAAUUUACUUUUCAAAAAAUUAAAACUAUUUUUUUUAUAUCGAAAAUGGUAAAUAGAUUGAAAGAUGGAUGAAUUUGAACCUGAAAUUGACGAAGAACAUGAACUUCCCGCUUAUGAUAACAUUAUUUAAUCGUUUCGGUUUUUUUAAAUUUUGAGCAUUUGUGUCGAUGUAUUAUUACAAAAACUUCUCAAAGUUAGAGAUGCCUUCCCAUCGUUGAUUUUUUUAAAUUCUCCGCGGAGUGAGCUGUCAUCAAGGCGUUAUUUGAACAAUUGAAAAUGUUUAUUAUCAAGUAUUUUUAAAUUAAAAGAGAUUCAAUUACGUAACUUCUAGAAUCUCUCAAUUUUUUUUCUCCAUAAUGAAUUAUAACAGUUAUGGACUAUCUAAAUGCUUUUGAGUGAGAUUUUAUUUUUCACUUGGUCUUAAGUUCUAUUUUGAUUCAUUAUAAAAUCACCACUCAUUUUCUACGUUUUCAUUAAUUCAAUAUGACAAUAAGCAUAAAAAAUCUGCACUAACUUUAUUUCAUGUAUUCCUUUCGCAAUAAUCGUCAACAAAUACAUUUAGGGUCUGCAUGGCAAUAUUCCUAUUUCUUUGUUCUUUUCUUCUACGAAAUAGAAAAAGGAAUAGAAAUUCAUUUGAUAAUGUUAGUUAAUUUUUCUAUACUUCGUAAUAGAAAAGUGAUUGGGAAAUAGAUUUAUAAUAGAAACAAGAAGUAGAAAAAAAAUAUCUUAUUGUUUUCGGGAAUAAUUUUUAGAAAUAAGUCAUUUUCUUUCUUUUCUUUUUUUCUCCUUCCUCAUGCUACCGCCACUGUCCGCCAUCGCUUGCCACCUAUCUCCGCCCAACAACCGGCUAGAGGAGGAAGAAGAGGAGAGGGGAAAAAAAAGAGAGAAAAAAUCUCAAAAAAAAUAUUAAAAAAUUAAAAGAAAUUCUACGACAAAAAAAAAAACUUGUGAGUUGUACCAAACACAUUCUUGUUUUUUUCUAUUCUGAAAAUAGAAAUUUUGUACAGUUAUCAAACACGUUAUUUUAUUCAAAAACUAUUCCAGGGAAUAUGAAUAGGAAAGAAUUAUUUUUGAAAAAAAAAAUUGUUCCUGGUAAUAAAAAUAUUACCAACUGCACCCUUCAACUUUGGUAAAUACGUUCCUUAAUAAAGUCAAUAUUUUCAGACAUUAUUAAAGUUAUCUAACACACAAUGCGCUAGUCGUCUAGAAAAUCGUAUAGAAAAAAGAGAUGUGAAAGGAAUAUCACUUUAGAAAAAGUCAGGAGUUCUUUAGACAAAUAGUAUAUAGAAAGCCGCGCUGGCAAUCUCUCGUUUCAUUUGCAAAGCCAAGGAAAAUCCCCCAUUAACCUUACAUACUCAAGUAGUGCCCUUAUUGAGACAAAUGAUAAGGCAAAGACAUCUAUGUUUGAUGUAAAAGUCCACGAAAUGUUCUAUCAAAUUCAUGUGGAACAAAUGUCUGAAACAUUGGUAUAGACAUCCAUAUUGAUAUAUUAUUAAAAACUCUUUAAAAGGUUUGCCCGAAAACUCAACACUUAAAAUUUUUAAUAGUUAAAGACGCCUCAUCCUUAUUAUUUUUGCCAAAUCCUCGACAAAGCGAGUUGCUAUCAGACGUCGUUUUCUAUCAAGUAUUGCCAAUCAAAGGAGAAUCGAUUGGGUAAUUCAUAUCGUCUCUUAAUUAUUUCUCUCCAUAUGGACUUCCAAAACUCCAUUGAGAGUGUGUUUCAGAAGAGUAAAUGCAGUCACUAUGUUAUGCUGUGGAGUGUCGCUCUUUCACUUUGCUUUAAGUUCUAUUUCUAUUAAUUACAAAAUCACAAAUCAUUUUCUACGUUUUGAUUGAUUCAAGACGACAAUAUGCAUUAAAAGGUCUGCACUAGCAUUGUUUCAAGCUCUCCUGGCACGAUUAUAUUGAAUAAGUGCAUUUAAAAUAUCCGGCCGUGGUUAAAACAUUCUUAUAUAAAAAUGUUGAAAUAUAAUAUUUUGAAAUAUUAGCAGAAUCCUUAGAUUUUUAUCGUUAUCUAGCAUGAUGCGUGGAUCAUAAAGAUGUCACGAGAUAAUCACUUUAAUAAAGGGUCAAUAGACUAAAAGCCUUUAUAAAGCUGAUAAGUAAAUUCAAUCUAUCUCGCACCGAAUGCUAAAGAGAUGUAAUAGGUUGGGGAAUCUAUUCACAUUUGAUAUGCCAUUCACAUGAUAAUAGAUAGAUACCAUGUUCCGAUGCUUUGAGUCGGUAAUUUGUAGGACUUGUCAUUAUCGUGCAUGGUGAACCACCGCAUAGCUACCGGCGGAGGUAUCAAAGUCGGUUUAAAACCCAUAUUUUGACUCAUAUUUAAUAGUGUGGGUCGUAAAUGGGUUCCCUUAAAUUUUAAAAACAAGCUUAAGUAGGUUAUAAAUGGGUUACCUAACAAUUUAAAGGGUCUUAAAUGUGUAUUAAAUAGGUUACCUAACAAGCUUAAAUGAAUCAUAAACAAGUCAUUUUUAAUUUUUUUAUUUUUAUUUUUUUUUUAUAACCGAGGAAUCCGCUUGAGCCCCCUUAUGGGGUCACAAGGCCCUACAGUGCAUGGAAUGCCUAGUACCAAUGACUAUACCUUGGGGGUGACUAGCACAAGACAUAUCGUGGCCCCACACUUACAACGCAUUAGCAACCGCGGGUUUCGAACUCUCGACCUUGACGAUGAAAGAGAUACUCGCAACCAACACAGCUACCCGCGGUUGGGUUUAUUUUUCUUUUCUUUUAUUUUUCCUUUAAAAAAAAUACUUUCUUAGCCAGUGGCUGUCAUGAAGACAAUUGGCAAUUGGCCACAGAUGAGGGACAAGCUCACUGACCUUCGGCACCGCAAGGCUCAAGCCUUGUCAAUUUGGCAAGACUCGAGCUAGCUAGAGAGGCCAGUGAGCGCCAGAGGCUAGCGAGCUCGAGCUCGCAAUAUGACCUCUAGCGAUGCUUGAGCUCGCCGGCAUUGAGUAAGAGCUUAGCCUUGCUAGAUUUGGAGAGGUGGAGCCUCACCUGAGGUAGGCUCAGCUCGACUAGAUCCAACUUUGGUUGAUUUUAAUUUUGGGCAUCUGUAUUGAUGUACCAUCACAAAAACUUCUCACGGGAUUGCCUGGAAACUUGAGACUUAAAACUAUCGAUAGUUAGAGAUGUCUCAAAAAAGUGAGCCGCCAACUACACAUUAUCAGAACAAUUGAAUAUGUUUAUUAUUGAGUUUUUUUUUUUAUCAAAAGAGAAUCAAUUACAUAAUUUCUACCGUCUCUUAAUUAUUUUCGUCCCUAGUGAGCUAUAAUAAUUAUAGACUAUAUAAAUGCUAUUGAGUGAGAUUUUGUUUUUUGCUUUGUUUUAAGUUUUAUUUUGAUUUAUUAUAAAGUCACCACCAUUUUCUAUGUUUUCAUCAAUUCAAUAUGAAUUAAAAAUCUGCACUUACUUUGUUUCACGUGAUUCGUUACACAGUGAUCUUCGACAUUCCACAUAUCUAACUUUGGUUGGUACGUUCCUUAAUAAUGUCGGAGUAUGAUAUUCUCAAACAUUAUUAAAGUUAUCUAACACGCAAUGCUCGGAUUGUCGUCUAGUAAAUUGUACAAAAAAAAGAAAUGCAACAAGAAUAUCGCUUUAUUAAAAGUCCGAAAUUCUUUAGACGAACGGCUUUUCAAAAAGCCGUGUUGGCAAUCUCACAUUUCAUUCGCAAAGGCGUGGAAAAUCUGUCCCCAUUAAACUCACAUAAUUCUACGGUACCUAUUAUUGAGACAUAUGACGAGGCAAACAUAUUUAUGUUUGGCGUAAAUUCCACAAAAUGUUAGAUCAAGUUCAUGUUGGACAAAUGCCUAAAACAUUGGUACAGACGUAAGAAUUACUGGUCGACCUAGAGUGACCCCCUGAGAAGUAUAGAUAUUUCAAUAUUAUGACUAUAGUCUACAUUAGACUUAGGAAUCUAUAAUAUGUAUUGUCUGAAGGGGCCAUGAAAACCAUGACACCCGAUUUUAAUAAUAAUCAAGUAUGCAUAUAAACGAUGUCCAUAACUUGUAAUUUAUCAAUCGAAGAAAAGGUAGAAAGAGAUUUCUUCCAUCUUGGAGGAAAGUAUAGCCUUAUCCAAUGUUCAGCCUAACAUUUUAUCUUACUAUAGUGGUCUUUCAACAUGUGUAAAGGAGAUGAAAUCAAUCCCACUUACAAAAAUUUGGGAUUCGAAAGUGCCUAACUCUGGCUCGAUUACGAUUUAUGAUCAUGUCAAUAAGGCCUUGUUUGGUAACCAUCCAAACAAGGCCAAAUUCCGAUUCUUUGUUCUCGGGAGUAGUUUGGGAACAGAAUCGCGUUUGGUAAAAUUUUGUUCCCGGGAACAAAUUUCUUUUUUUUUUUGUUCCAAGAAGUAGGUUUGGAAUAGAAUCAAGAAUUAAAAAAAAAAGUUGAUUCUUGUUCCGGGAACAAAUUUAAGAAUCAAAACAACUCUUCUUCUUCCAUAUUCUCUUCUUCUUCUUCUUCUCUUUUCUUCUUCUUCUUCUUCUCUUUUCUUCUUCUUCUUCAUUGACCGCUGUCCGCCGCUGCCGCCUUCCACCACCGUCCGCCAGUCACCGGACCUCGCCCUGGCCGGGCGAUUCUCCGAUGAGCUCGCUGGAGGCAAGCCCAGCCACCGGCGAGGCUGGGCAAGCCUUGCGACGCCCAGCCCCGCCGGUGGUCAAGCGGGCCUCACCUAGCCCCAGCGAGGCCAACCCUCGGCAAGGCUAGGCGAGCCUCACCCAGCCCUGCUGAGGCUCCCCUAGUCCCCACGGUGGCCAAGCAGGCCUCGCCCAGCCCUGACGAGGCCGGCCUCACUGAGGGCCGGUGAGGUCGCCGGCCCUCAUCUGGCCGAUCGCCGAUCCGGCGACCAGCCUGAAGAAGAAGAAGAAUAGGAGAAAAAAGAAAAAAAGAAAAGAAAAAAAAGGAAAAAAGUAUAAAAAUUAUUUAAAAAUUAAAAGAAAUUGAUUUGGAACAUAAUCAAUGAGCACGGUACCAAACACAAUUCUAUACCAGAAUCAGAAAUGUUGGACAGUUACCAAACGGCUUAAAAUGCUUAGAAUCUGUUCCCGGGAACAGAAUAAAAAAAAAAUCAUUUCUGAUCAGAAUUUACUUCCGGGAACAGAAUCGUUACCAAACGCGUUCUAAGUGGCCAGAUUUUUGUUUAUCAUUCGUCAUUUAAUCUGACAUCACAUCAUCUACAGCACAAUUAUGUAUGUGGCGAAAAAAAAAAAUCUAAGUCGUAUCAUAACAAUUUUACAUUACAUAUGAGAAGUCAAAUCAACUUUGAAAAGCCAAUUGGUGUGUAUGGCGCCUGGAAAUGGAGUCCUGAAAUUUCGAUGUCUUGAAGGACAUCAACAAGCUGCCCCUUUGUGUUGCUGGGUGUCCCAUCCCUCAGUAUCUCGAAGUUGAUCCCGUAAUUGGAACUCGAACCGGGUUCUUGGAGGAGAUCGUUUUCGCGCCAUGCAUGUUGACCGUGAUCAUCGAUGGUCGCCGACAUUUGCCCAAAUAAGCUUUGCUUAACAUGCCUCUUAUCCCGCUGGGCCCUGAUGGCCUAACAUGGUACCUAGACCUGAUUUUGGUACUUUAGUUCCCUUCUUUGAGUAGAUUGCUUUCGCAAUUGCCUUCUCCUCCGGGAAUUUGAGAUCUGCAGUGCUUAUGACAUAGGUUUGAGCAGCUUUCCUCCAUUCAGAAGUUACCAGAUCUCUGGCCUUGACGGUCUUUAAGCAUCGAAUAGGGCCUUCCGCCUAUUUCAAUGGCCUUGAAGACAGCCACUUCCACGGCUUGCUCUGCACACCCUGGUUUAGAAGUUUCAGAGGCCGAGUGAAAGUUUUGAGGUUUCAGUUGUCCAUCAGCACUUGGCCCCAGCAAAAGAACCCUAAUUGAGAUAUUGCUCAAUUUAUCUGGUCACACUGCCCACAUACUCUGUUGAUGUUAUAAUCCUAAACGAUGGAUAUGCAUUGCCGGCACAAAGCUAUUUGAUUCUGGCAUUCUACUAGGGGAAUGUCCCUCGACCAAGGGUGUCCACGUGACCAGUGGUCUGAAUCCUAGAUGCCAUUGUCUUUGGUGGGAACGAUGACUAUAUGACUUGUUGCAGCAUACUCUGUUGCCUGUUGCUACCAAGUAAACCCUUGACUACAUUCCGUCGAGCCAUGCCAACUUUGGUUGUGCUUUUGUGGACUCCUGAAGGGCAAUCUUGCGAAGGGGGACUCCUUAGGUUAGGCUAUCCCUUGGUGGGAGUUCGCAUGACUAUCACGCCCAUCUGGAAUUUGUCCUCCAUGCCGCGACUUCCAUCAACCUGCUCAUCAGGCCCAAUCUGCACGAUACUUUCUUCUCUAGGGGUGAGGUCAUAUGAUGCCAUUGCCAUGCGCUCAUGCAUGAGAAAAAUCCCUUAAAAGCAGGCCGCGCGCUGAUCAGUUGCUUGAGAAAGAAGCCUAAUGCCAUCUGCACAGGGUCGACAGUCCUGCAUAUUCUUGGAGUAGCCCCCCAGAGAUGAUGAUUCAAGAUCAGAUCAGCCUCAGUGCGGGCCAUGGGAUCGACAGCUAGUCUUUGUUCUACAAUGAUAUGUGAUAUGCUAGCUCCUUUAAUCGAUAUAUGUCGAACAAAUCUGCUGGAUCGACAGCUAGUCUUUGUUCUACAAUGAUAUGUGAUAUGCUAGCUCCUUUAAUCGAUAUAUGUCGAACAAAUCUGCUUGAAGAGCCUGAUCGAAGAGAUCCUUGUCUACUUUCAUCGUUUCCUUCUUUUUCUAGAAAUCUCAUCUAACCAAAUCCGCUCGUUAUUGUUUUACAAUGUACUAGCAUGGAAAGGAGUUCCAUGCUACUAAUUGCAAACGAGUUGGUAGUGUCGGUAACUUGUUCAUCUAGUUGCGUAUUGGUAACUUUCAACAAGUUAAAACAAAUAUCAAAGUUUCUUUAUUCCUCAAAUUUACCAACCAUUUUAAUAAUCUACCAACAUUUACUUUUGUGACUUACCAACCAUUUGAAAUUACUAAAUCUUAAUUUGAUUAAUAUACCAACAUUCAGUUAUCAACUUUGUUUUAGAAACUGAUUUCUUUGUGAUUUACCUGUGAUUACCAAUGCUUUCGAAGCACCAACUUCAUUUAAAAAUUUCCCACCUUAGUUUCACUCACAUAUCACCAUUCAUCACAUUAACAAAGUGCACCACAACAGCAAUGGGUACAAGCCGAGCCAGGCCGGCCGGCAGCCCCCCCGUCCCGGACGCCCUAGCUGAUGAUGAUCUAGGGAAUGUCCACUUCCCUGGCCGUGCACUAUCACCGCGGCAUAGUCCCCAUAGGCCUCAUGCCCAGAGAAGUACGCGCUAGAGUUUCCCCCCUUGAGCUUGUUCAGAGAGAAUGAGUACUUCAGCGUGUCCUUGCCAGAUUCAAGCCCAAAGGUCCUUGUCUAAUUGGACAUAGCAUUGUAAAAGCCGUAGCAAUAUGCGGCCUGGUCGGUGUUACGCUCGAUGACGCUGCCGAAGAACUGAACUGCCUUGCUCCUGGUGUUCAUCCAGGCCGGGACACCCCACGGUAGGUCGCCGCCCGGCCUCCUUAGGGCAUCCCUGGGUGGGAACAGCCCCCCGGCCUCCAUGGCAUUGUCCAGUAUCUCAAAAGUCAGGCUGCCUCCUAUGAGCCGGAACAGUUUCCAGUAGUUGCCCGCCGCCCUCGUCUCGGGCUCCAUAGCUGGGAGUCUCGCCGCCGCAGAGCUCGCACAGAGGCACGAAACAUGCUGGCAACGUCGGGACCCGUCGCCACAGCCUGCUUCCUCGAGAUGUACACCGUCUGAUGAAUUUUCCUAUUGCACGAAUGCACGUAAAAACUACUUCUUUUCCCGUCAUUCCACGCCUGGGUGGGUGGAUUCAGCUCUCUCUUUUCGGACCAGGCAAGUCCGAUUCAGGCAAAAGAUUUUAGAAGAAAAUGACGAGCAGAACCGAAAAAGAAAUCUUGAAUUCUUGCACCCUAAGCUUUCUACAUAUACUAGGCAUGUCCACUGUUUUUUCCUGUUCGAAAUGUAUCACUUGCGCGUCUAUAUCUAUCUAUUGUUACAUGCGCUUUUCAAAGGAUUGCCUAGAAACUUCGCAUUUAAUAUUGUGCGUCUAUAUUUGUCUAUUGUUACAUGCGCUUUUCAAAGGAUUGCCUAGAAACUUCAAAACUUAAGUAGUAGAUAAUUAAAGAUGACUUCUCCUUAUCAGUUUUGCCGAAUUCUCAAACAAAAAUAGCUGCUGCCUAGAUGCCACCUAAACAAUUUGGCGUGUUUUCCAUUCGAGUAUUAUUAAUUGAUGGAAAAUCAAUUAUGUAAAAUUCUACCAUCUCUCGAUCAUUUCUCUUUAUGACCAAGUUUAAUAUUUAUAGACUUUCUGAAUGUUAUUGAGUGCCCACUUCAGAAAAAUUAAACAUGGUCAUAAAUUAUCUAGAUAAUAAGCUUUUAAAAAAUCGAAUCGGUAAUUUCACACGAUUUAAUAAGUUCAUAUGAACAGCUGAGCACAAUCUAUUUGCAUAAACUUUAGAUAUUUCUAUACAUUAUUGAGUUUAUUGAAACGAAUAUAUCUAUGUGGACAUAAAAAUCCAAGAAAUGAUUUCUUAAUUCUACUUUCAGAGUGAACCCCUGGAAAAAAACCCAAAAAAAAAAGACCCGAAUAUUUUAAUUAAAAAUUCGGAUUUUCUCUAUCGGUCUAGUAAAAUCCAGCAUUCAGACCCGCAAAAUGAGAAGGAAACCCGAAAUCCUGCGCUUGUUCUCCUGAAUCCUCCUGCGCCGUGCUUCCGCCGCACGCCGCCGCCGAACCCCGCCGGUCUCCGCCGCCGCAGCCCGCCGGUCCCUCCGUCCGUCCAUAACCUGAAGGUGACUCUCUCUCUCUCUCUCUCUCUCUCUAUCGUGAAUUCUCUUCCUCUGCAAUUUCGUCGUCGCCGGGGUCUCUCCGUCGCUACCUCGCCGGACGCGCGAAUCCCUAAUUCGCGGCGGGCGGCUGUCUCCGGCGCUCCUCUCUGGCGGAACCUCGCCGAUUGCUCAUGCGCUAGGAACCUCUGCGGCAGGAAAUUCGAGGGAUGGACGUGAUCUCCCAGCUGCAGGAGCAAGUCAACACGGUCGCGUCGGUCGCCUUCAACACCUUCGGCUCGCUGCAGAGGGACGCGCCCUC